rnacentral:lncRNA from 1 species
CCCAGUUCCUGCUCAUUACCAUCCAGUCAGUCUUGGACCCCUUGAUCCACAUUUGGGACACCACGCCGCUGCCGCCGACAUUUGCCACUGUCACAAGCUCAAAGUAGUCGUUCCCGUUGAUGGUGAACCUCAUGCCCCCACUCCUCUGGCAGGGAACCCUCUUGUAGUUGACGGGCACAAUGCCGGCUUGGUAGAUGGCGAUGGUCUCCCAUGCAGGCUGAGACAUGUCGAAGUGCUUCCGCGGCGGGUUGCACCAUCCGCCGUUGUCACUGGCCAGGGCGUAGUUGGGCGGGCAAAAGUUGGUGGCCGUGAUGGUGAUGGACGUGCCCUGUUUGCAUGACUGUGUCUUGCUUGCGUCGCAGGUAAUGGUGAAGCACAUGCCGCACGACGCACCGUUGUUGAAGAGCGCUGUGCUCAACGCAGCCGAAUUAACCCCGUACCCGGCGUUGUACAAGUUCCCGUACCCGCACGCACCACCUGCAUUUUUGUGUAAAAGUUGCAUCCUGCUUAGUAAAAGAAGAUCCAAGAUGUGCGGCAUUUGAAUCAUGCAUGCAGCUCAAGCAUAAAAUAAAUCAUACCCAUGGUGUCGGAAGCGUCGCUGCCGCCGUAGAAUGUUGCGAAUGCAGGCGUCCAUUGAGCAACGGAGGCCUUGAAUGCAAAGGCCAACAAGGUGAUGAGAAGAAGCAGAGAAGGACUCUCCAUUUCAGUUUCAGAGUACUCCUAGUAGUAAGUAAUGUAGCUAGGCAGACAAGUCCUGAAGGUUUUUGUCUUGUGCUUUGCAAUGGUAGUGGCUUCCCUAUUUAUAGUGUUCAUAUCAUCAGAUCGAGCUUGUGUGUUGGCUGCUUAUAAUUGAAAGCUUGAUUGAUUAUGGAUAUUUUAUGUAUGAUGAUUUUCGUUAGGAUUGGUCAACAUAACAAUUAUUGGGAUGAACAUGCCUUGAUUUGCUCAUGAUGGCCGUUGGCUCUUGACGGUUAAGACUAAAGAGACGGAUAUGCGGAUUAAACAGCAUUAUACCCAUGUGCUGUUUUUCCCUAGAAAAGUACACGAGGCACUGCUUUCAAGUUCUCUUAGUGGAUGGGAUGUCUUGUAUUCCGACGAAGUAUGAAGUUCUAGUAGGCCGGCCGGCCGGCAGACGUAUGGUCUUUAUCGGCAAAAAGAAGAAGUAAAGGCAGACUUGUGAUGUUAUUCAGUUAUAUGUUGAUGGGGUGACGAGAUACCUGAACUUGUGAAGACGAUCAGUGUUGCCCUUUAAAGUUUAUCAGAAUUCAGUAAAGCGAGCGUGACGAUUUGUUAGACCGUGAAGGAAAAUCGUUCUUUUAACACAAUUCAGUUGUUUCCAAUAAUCAAAUGAUUUAGUUUGUAACUUAGGAGGAUGCGAUGGGGAUAAAUCACAGAUUUUAUUUGGAGUUUGAACACUAGAAUGAAUGUUCAAACUCUAAACUGCUAGCACGUCAUUGCUUACAGUGCAACCAUUUUUGAGUACAAUUUAUGAGCACACCUGACAGUCCAACGCUAGGCACUAAUGCUCUUGUGUGUGAACGCUAUUGUAGCUUGUCAGCUGUACAUAUGGAUUAAUCGUGUAGACAAUCCAUAGUCAACCCCAUAACCACCGUGCCUUUCAAUUAGAACAUGCAUGUCAGCCUAACAAAGUCUUGGGUAAUCAUGUGCAAGUACAUUUUAAUCCACCGAUCAACAAUCAGGCAUGUGAUAAUUUGCACCUGCUUAAUCCAGAAAAUAAUGCACCUGCUUAAGUUAAAAAUUUCUGAAAAAAAUACACAGGUACAUUAGGAAAGCAGUGUCUUGUGUAAAUUUUCAUGAUGAAAAUACAUUUUUAUGUGUGCUACACAAAACAAAUCAUGAACUUUUAUAGUGAACAAUAUACAUGGUGGAAACACGUGAUUCUUUUUUGUGUCGCUCACAUAAAACUUAUUCAGCAUGAAACUUUACAAACAUUUAGUGUAUAUGGUGGAAACACGUGAUUCUUUUGUUUUGUAUGUGUAUUCUUUGUCAGAUUUUUUUGAAGCAAUAAAAUUUAAUUUUGAUUAUUUAUUAAUUCAGCCUCUAUGGAGCUCGGUAUGCAUUAGCGAUUUCCGGUACACACCAUGCUAUUAAAACAUUUUCUCAAGCGCUCUCAGGAUCCAUCUUACGAGUGCGUUUAAAUAGCGGGCAUGUGUAUGUAAGUAAGCUAGAGUGAUCCCACGCUAAUGUUGACACGUCAUCACGAUUACCGUUGUUAAAUUUGCGUUGGUUCAAACCCCGUUCAAUUUCGUUACAAGUUUAAUUCGUCUGAAAAGUGGUUUUUUAAAAGUUUUGCAAAACUGAAAAUAAAAAUGUUGGAUGGGUUGCAGAUAUUCCCUAAGAUUUUAUAUAAUUGAAACGGGCAUUUGGGAGUAUUUUAGAGCCUCUGAAUAAAUAAAAUAGAAACUAUUAAAAUAGAAAAAGAACUAAAACAAAACAAAAAACCCGGCCCAACUGGGCCAACCGGCCCAACCGGCCACACACUAGCCCACCUGCACCAGGGGUAUAAGAGCAUGUCUAAUAGAACCCUCAAACCCUUAAAUCUAAAACCAGUUUUAAGGGUUAAGAAUUGACCAUUUUUGACACUUUUAAGGGUUGAAAAACAGGCUCCGUUAUAAGGGUUGGGUUUGAGGGUUCUAGUCUUUGCCCCAACCCCAACCCUUAAAAAUGUCAUUUGGCAUAUCACAAUUUUCACUAGAAAAACACAAUAAACCUUCAAACAAACACGGAAAUAAAGAUCGUUGAUGCAUGGUUUAAUAGUUUUUACAUCACACAAUCAUCAUCUUCCCCCUCUCAUUGGCACCAUCACCAAAAAGUUGCACUUGGCGCCAUUUCCUAGACCACUUCCACGUCCAUCAAGCACCUCCAUUGUCGCCGGUGGUGGAGUCUUCCACACCGCCAUCGCCACCACCACUCAUCGGAGUGUCACCUCGAAGAGUAGAGGACGCACCAUGGAAUAUCCUCUUCCUCUCCGCGAUGUCCUCCUUGUAGUCCUUCCACCAUUGCAAUUGUUCUUGAUCCAUGUCCUUCUUGGACAUCAUCAUGUGCUCCUUCUCUUCCAUCAUGAGUUCUUUCCAUACCUUUGCCUCUUUCAGCUUGAUCAUCCUCUCCUCCAAGUCGGCCUUGCGCUUUGCUUCUUCAUGCUUUGCUUCAACUUGUGCAAGCUUGACCUCUUUCUUCUUCUCGGUGAUAAGAAGCUUCGUCUCCAAUGUCUUCGUUGUCAAUUCCUCUCUUGCCUUCAUCAUCUGCUCCAUCUUCUCCCUUAGGCUUGACGCCUCUCCUUCCAUCUUCACCCUUAGCUUGCCCUUCUUGGUUCCCUCGGGCUUGCCCAAGUUCCUCUCCUCCUCCUCAUCUUCACUAUCAUCCAUCCUAAGCAUUGCCGACUUCUUGGGUGCGGUCUCUUGAUCCCUCAACUUUCACUUGUUAAAGGUUUGAAGAAUUGCCCAAGCAUGCUUAAAUGGGAAUGGCUUGCCCUUGGAAGCGGCCAUCUCCUUGUACCUCAUGUCAACCACACAUAAUCACAUAAGAACCCACCAAUAGCAUAGUACACACACAUAAUCAAAAUAGUGAAGAGAUAUGUACUCACAUAGUCACUGUCCACGGUUCCACUAGGUGGUGCAUCCCUCACUUGGUCCAUGGCCGCACUCCAACGAGCACAAGCGGGCUUCAUCAACUCCCACCGGCCUUGAAGCGACCGGUAAGUGCGAGAGAUGAAAGUGCGAGAGAUGAACCCACUAUUCUUCGGGUUGAUCCUACAAUAGUUGUUCUCGAUCCUUUGCCAAUACCGUUUACCGGUUUGAUCGGUGCCGGUGGUUGCAUCCAUCCCCACAGCUGCACAAGCACGAACCAAGAAGAUAUCUUCCACUUCGGUGUAGUUUGUCGACCGCGCGUGUGGGCGGGAAGCGGCGGUGAAUGCCUCCUCCCCUAUCUCGGCCACCUCCUCCUCGUCAUCCCCUUCAUCGUCCUCAUCUUCCUCCAAGUCGUCACCAACCCUAAAGGGUUCUAGAGGCGGAGCCCCGAGGUCCACCUCCGCGUCUUGGAGGAGGUCCAUGAACGAGGAUGGGGUUGCCAUUUCCUCGAACACCUCGUGAGCGGCGGGAGGAGGUUCGGCGACGGCGGCGGGCGGGGCCGCGGGCUUCUUCUGCGCCGCGAGCUUCUUCCGCUCCGGGGACGAGCCGACGACCUUGGAGGAAGCCCCUCGCGGCCCACGGGAGGACACCUUCGGCCGACUCUUCUUGGGGGCGGGCGUGGCGGCGGGGACGGGGGCCGGGGCGGGAGCCGGGGAGGCGGGAGGAGGCGGUGCGAGGCCCGACCCGCCGCCGCUUGGCCCCGACGUGGGUCACCGCCACCACGUCGGCCACGGUCUGGUGCAGGCAGGGGGCGGGGGCGGGGGCGGGCAUGGCGGCGGGCGGGGCGGGCGAGGCGGCGGGCGUGGCGCGGCGGCGGGGGAGGCCUCCAUGGCGGCGAGGCGGCGGGAGGAGGCGGUGGCAGGAGCCGGGAGGCGGGAUGAAAUCCCUCCCGCGCGAGGGUUGAACAUGAGUGCGGGUUGGCGAGAGUUUUUCCUCCCAACCCUCACUUCUACAGGUUGAGAAACAGUUUGAGGGUUGGACCUCUAAUUUUUUUUACGGGUUUGAGGGUUUAGGGGUUCUAGUCUACCGUUUUUUUCCGACGAAAACUGUAAAAAAACGGUUAUUUUUAAGGGUUUGAGGAUUUGAGGGCUAUACUAGACUUGCUCUAAAAACCCCCUCGGAACCCUAGCCCAUAUCGUUGCCUCCCCCACUCCCUCCACCCCCUCGCCGGACUCAUCACGAUGGAGCCAGGCUCCCUCGCGCGAGCCCUCUCGAUCCCCUCGCCUAGCCCACGCUCGACCGAGCUUCUCGCUCGCUCGUCCCCAAACCCGCUCGCCUCCCCAGUUCCCACGUCGCCCUGGUCCAGCGCCCCUGCCUCGCUGGUUCCCUCGCCGGUGUCAGCUGCCGCCGCCCCGGCCUCCUGCACCACCGGCCGGUGCUGCCCGCUGCCGCCAGGGCCUCACCACCGGCUGAUCACAAGAUUGGUGGAGCGUGGAGAAUGAAAAGCAAAAGGAUGGCUUGGGUUGCUUGAGAUAAAUUGACGCUCUCUAAGUUCCAAGGUGGCAUGAGCUUGAGAGAUAUAAUGUUAUUUAAAGUGUUGUAGUAAUGGUGAAAAUGUUUUUAGGACCAAUCACGGUAAAUCACCUAAUCCAUAGUGUAUUAAAGUGUUGUAGUAAUGGUAAUUUAUCCUCAGUAUUGCAGAUGAUUGAAUUUAAAUCGACACACCAUGAUUCAUUAUCUUUCACCAGUUGCUCCUCAUAGAACGAUUCACACAUUCGCUACACUGCAAACUUAGUUUAUUUUUUUUCCUUGGUCACACACACAUAGCUAAGCCCAAUUGGACCAAAUAAUUGUAUAUCAUCGAUUUUGUCAUGGGAGUAGCCACCCAGUCUAUGUAGCAAUAUGUGCGGCUGGCAUCAAAAACUCGGACAGGAUUGCUAGAAAAUCCAACGACCAGAAAUGUUGAACCUUCAAAUCUGAUGGCGGAAACCACUAAUGGUCUAAGAGGUGUGGCAAAGUACAGUUUUAAUCUCUAAAUGUGCUUGAUUAUGGACUAGAAAACUAUUACCGUAAAUGGAAACUUGUCAAAUCUUGUUUUUACUAGCAAUGCAUUUAAGGUUUGGCAUGGUCAAUACUCCCUCCAUCCCGGUGUAUAAGUCAUUCGCGUAGUUCUAGGUCACCGAUUUGAGAAAUUAAAUAUGUGUUAUAUGUCAUGAAAAGUAUAUCACUAGAUAGCUACUCGGAUGUAGUUUCUAAAUAUAUAUUUCUUAUUAUAUAUGAUACAUAUUUAGGAAGUUAAAUUGUCGACCUAGAACUACGCGAAUGACUUAUACACCGGGACGGAGGUAGUAACAUGGAUUGGAACUGCUAAACAGAGGCCUUGCUUGGUGAGUUGGCAUGUGAAAAAUAUAAAGGUUUGGACGGACCCCUAGAUCCCUCACUGACACGUCUCGUAGAAGUUCGAACGGUCACAAUGAAAGGUUAUUGUAGGUGUAAUAUGAUGAAUGAUUUUCUUGGCAAUAAUGAUCCACUCGAAAUACUAACGGUCGUCGACAUUUUAAGAAAGAGUCAAAUAAGGAAUUCUCACUACUUGUUAUUUGCAAGCGAGUGAGAUGUGUAGAUGAUUAUAGAUAGCAAGAUAAAAUAAAAACAAGUAAAUGACAACAAGGUAUUAAAGAUUUUGUAAAUAUGUCGUGAAUAGGCAAGGGGCCAUAGUUUUUUCUAGUGGCAUCUUUCAUUAAAAAUAGCAUACGGUGGGUAAACAAAUUACUAUUGGACAAUUGCCAGAAACACGGAUAAUUAUGCGAUAUGCACGGGAGUGAUCAUAUGUAUAUAUGCAUCACAUCCAUAAACAAAUAAGCUGACUCCUGCCCACACAUAUUACUAUUACUCCACUCAUCGAUCGCUAUCCAGGAUGUAUCUAGAGUACUAAGUAAAACAGAGUAAUGCAUGGAGAACAAUGACAUGAUGUAGAUAAAAUAAACUCAAACAAUAUGAAUAAACCCGAUCGUUUUAUCCUUAGUAGCAGCAACACAAAGACACAUCUUGUCCCCUUCUGUCACUCAGAUAUAGAAAUUCGCCAGGUUGAACCUACUACAACGCACCUCUCUAACCGAAGAAAUAUCAAUCUAGUUGGCCAAACAAUUUCAAUAGAUCAAAGAGAAUUACGAAGCUAUGAUAAUCACACACAUAAGAAUCAUAUAAGUAUUCGGAGAAGACUCAAAUAUUUAUCAUGAAUAAUCUAAACAUAAACCCAUAAUUCAUCCUAUCCCAACAAACACACCGAACAAAAGGAAUUACAUCAUGUGGAUCAAAGCGAAGAUGCGAUGAUCAUUGUAUUGAAGAUCAAGAGAGUGAGAUUGCCAUCUAGGUACUCGCUAUGGACCCGUAGGUGUGUGGUGAACUACUCACACAUCACCGUGAGGGAAGCGAGGUUGAUGAAGAGGCACUCCGUGAUUGAUCCCCCUCCGGCAGGGUGCCGGAACGGAGCUCCAGAUGGCCUCCCUUCGUAACAAUGACUUGCGGUAGCGUAAAAAGUGUUUCGCAAUAUGAGUAUAAGCUAGAGAACGGAGUCGGGAGGGCCUUGAGGGGCCCACAAGCCAACAGGGCGUGCCCUCCAAGCCGCACCGGGUUUUCUUGGGGGGACCCUCGUGUGGCCCCCAACCUUCCUCUAAUGCUUGUUGGUCUUCUUUUGGUCCGGAAAAAUCUCUAAAAAGUUUCAGGUCAAUUGGACUUCGUUUGGUAUGGAAAACCUGAAAAGUGGAAAACAUGCAGAAAACAACAAUUAGAACUCGGCACUCGGUCAAUAGUUUAGUGCUCAAAAAUAGUAUAAAUUGAUAAUUAAAUACCCCAAAAGUAUUCUAGAAUGAUAAUAUAUCUACAUGAAACAAUAAAAAAUAAUAGAUACAUUGGAGACGUAUCAAGCAUCCCCAAGCUUAAUUCUUGUUCGUCCUCGAGUAGGUAAAUCGUAGAAACAGAAUUUUUGAUGUGACAUGCUGUCCAUAAUGUAACCUUAUGCAUGUAUGCUCACUGAGAAAUGAUGAAUUAACAAAUAUUAACACAUCAAUACUUGUAUGUAUAAGCAGAAAAAUCAUUAAUCUUUCAAAGUAUACGAUCCUUAAAGAUUGUUUUACCCCAUCCAUCUUAUUAUAUUAGCAAGGCAUGGCUCCAUCUUCAUCACAUUAAUACAAAUAUCAAGCACCACGGUGUCCAAGUCAGGCAAUUGAACCGUACUUUUUCAAUAUGCAUCGACUUUUUAUUCUUCACACAAUACAUGACCGUGAACCAAUUGACAUACCAUAUAAGUGGAAUAGAAUAUGCUGGUAGGUUUCAAAUAGGUAACAAGUGAAGAAGAUAGUCUCACAUCAACUAGGCGUACCAACGGGCCAUGGAGAUGCCCAUCGAUAGAUAUCGAUGCAAGGAGUAGCGAUUGCCAUGCAAAUGACGCACUAAAGCUAUAAGUGUAUGAAAGCUCCACUAAAGCUAAGUGGGGUGUGCAUCCAACUUGCUUGCUCAUGAAAAUCUCAAGCAUUUGAGGAAGCCCGUCAUUGGAAUAUACAAGCCAAGUUUAUGAAAAAGUGAUUCCCACUAGCAUAUGAAUGAUAUAAGAUGAGACUCUCCAUAUGAAGAACAAGGUGCCACUUUGAGGCACAAGUGUGGUAAAUGAUAAUAGCAAAGUCCCUUCUCUCUUUUUCUCUCAUUAAUUUUUUUCUCUUUUCAUUUUUUUCAUUUUUAUUAUGGUGGGAUCAUUUGGCCUCCAACAUUUUUAUUUCCUCAUUGGGACAAUGCUCUAAUAAUGAUGAUCAUCACACUUUUAGUUACUUACAACUCAAUAUGAAAAUUGAUCGGAUGAUAUGACUCUGUAUGAAUGCCUCUAGCAGUGUACUAGGAUGUGCAAAGAUCUAGAAUGAAAUGUAUCAAAAAUAUGAUGAAUGGUGGCUUUGCCACAAAUACUACGUCAGCUCUAUAUGAUCAUGCAAAGCAUUAUGAUGAUUUAUGAACUAGACAUGUGAAGUGACGGUGGAAUUUGCAUGGCAAUAUAUCUAAGAAUGGCUAUGAACAUGCCAUGAUAGGUAGGUAUGGUGGCUGUUUUGAGGAAGAUAUAAUAAGGCUUAUGUGCAAUAGAGGAUGUCAUGUCACGGGGUUUGGAUGCACCGGCGAAAGUUGCACCGAUCCUCAAGGUGAGAACGGGCGAUGGAUGAUACCGAAGAGGCUAGCAAAUAUGGGGAGGUGAGAUUGCGUAUGUCCAUGGUUUCACAUUAGUCAUGAAGAACUCAUGUACUUGUUGUAAAGUUUUAUUAGUUUUAUCACAGAUCAAAGUACUACUCGCAUGCCCCGAGGGAGAGGGUUGAUAGGAAUUAACCAUCGCGCGACUCCAACUCAAAACAACACUAGGAUUUCAACAAGGAAUAGAAAUGUUCGCACAUCAUCACCAUGCCCUUUUAAUAUUUAGAUGAACAAGAAGUUUAGCAUCUCUUAAUAUUGUCACCUCUCUGAAUUAGUAUUAAUGGACUCACACCUUUUUCAUAUCACCACAUCAAUAUUAUUAACCAUAAUUUCUCUAUAUGUGCUACAUGAUGGUUUUAAUUAUCACUAAUUGAACAUCCAUUAUUUUUUAUCUAGUCUUAUGACCCAUGGAAAUUAUCGUCACUAUUUAUUGAACUAUCAAACAAAUAUAAGUGAAGAACAAGAGCAUAAUAUGUCUACAAAAUCUACACGCCACCGUGCUCAAAAUGAUAUAAGUGAAGUACUAGAGCAACUGCCUAGCUCAAAAGAUAUAAGUGAAGCACAUAGAGUAUUCUAACAAAUUGUGAUGACGUUGUAUCUCUCUCAAAUAGGUGUGUCCAGUAAGCAAUGAUUAUGGUAGACUGAAAGUAAAAGAAAGCAAAAGCAAAUGACACUCCAAGUAAAACUCAUAUCAUGUGAUGAAUAAAAAUGUAGCUCCAAGUGACAUACCGAUGGAUUGAGACAAAAAGAGGGGAUGCCUUCCGGGGCAUCCCCAAGCUUAGAUGCUUGAGUCUUCCUAGAAUAUUACCUUGGAAUGACUUGGGCAUCCCAAAGCUUAGGAUUUUGCUGCUCGUCAUUCCUUUGUCCAUCAGGACAAUACCCAAAACUUGAAAAAUUUAAUCGCAUAAAACUCAACAAAACUUCUUGAGAUCCGUUAGUAUAAGCAACAUAUCAAAUACUUUCAAGCGCUGUUACAAGUUGAUUUUUAUUUUAUUUUAGCAUAAGGAACUAUAUUCUAACUUCUCCAUGACUUGUACACGCCCGAUACAGUCUAUAGCAUCAUCAAAACAAGCAAACUAUGCAAGCAAAAACAAAAUCUGACUGAAACAGAAUAGUGUGUAGUAAUCUGUAAUGAACCUAUACUUAUGUAACUCCAAAAAUACUGAAAAAUAAGGAAGACCUGAGGAAUUUGUAUAGAAAUAUUUGUAAAAAAAUCAUCUUAUUAAGACCUUCUAGUAAAAUCAGAGAAAUUAUGCACUAGACAUCAAAUUUUAUGUUUUUAUACCGUAUCAAUUCUACUCAUCAUACAAAUCAUCCCAAAGGCUAUACUUGGCACAAACACUAAAUAAAACAUAAAAGCACAAUCAUUACAGAGGGAAUAAUAUUGUUAUUACAAACAAAUAGAAAUAAAUGAUAACUAUUGGGUUGUCUCCCAACAAGCUCUUUCUUUAUAGCCAUUAAGAUAGGCUUGAAAUUUCAAUGAUGCUCACAUAAAAGACAAGAACUGAAUCACAAGACAUGUGACAAGAACAUUUAAGUGUAACAUACUUCCUAUGAUUUUCAUUCAAGGAAUUAUCAUGGAUAACUUUAUAAAUUUCACAACUUUUGGAUUCAUGAUUUUCAAACAAGACCUCAUAAAGAUAAUCUAGUGCAUUGUCACUAGCAAUUGUUUCAACAUAAACUGGUCUUUUGAAAAGAUUAGCUAGUGGAUGAGGAUCCAUUUAUCUUAAUCUUUGCAUUUUACUUUGUGUUUUGGUGUGACAAAGAUAAAGAUAGCAUAGGUAGGCAAGUAAACUAGAGAGCAAAGGUGCAAACUAGCGACAAAUUAAGCAAGCAAAUGUAAAUAUUUUUGUAUUUUUAUUUUUUAUGAGACAAACUAAAUAUACCAGCAAAUUAAAAGGAGAACGAGGGAAUGAAAAUUUCUGUCGAGUUACUUGGUAGUUGGUGAUGAUAUUCCCCGGCAACGGCGCGAGAAAUCCUUCCUCAUACUUGUGAUGUGCGUUGGGUUUUCCAUGAAGUGGAACAGGUUAUCACAUCACAAAGUGGGUAAGUAUUUCCCUCAGUUAUGAAACCGAGGUUUAUCGAACCGAUAGGAAUAUAAACCACAACCGUCUUUAGCGGCUACACACAAAAGGACAAACAACUUGCAACCAACGCGGGAAAGAGGGUUGUCAAUCCCCUUGUACUUGUUAUUUACAAGCGAGUGGGGUGUGUAGAUAAUCGUAGAUAGCAAGAUAAAAUAAAAACAAGUAAAUGGAAGCAAGGUAUUGAAGGUUUUGUAAAUAUGCUGUGAAUAGACCCGGGGGCCAUAGUUUUCCCUUAUGACAUCACUCAUGAAAAAUAGCAUACAAUGGCUAAACAAAUUACUGUUGGGUAACUGAAAGAAAAGUGGAUAGUUAUGAAAUAUUCACGGUAAUGAUCAUGUGUAUAUAGUCAUCACGUCCAUUCACAAAUAGAUCGACUCCUGCCGCACCUAUUACUAUUAGUCUACUCAUUGAUCGCUAUCUAGCAUGCAUCCAGAGUAUUAAGUAAAACAAAGUAAUGCAUGAAGAACAAUGACAUGAUGUAGACAAAUUAAACUCAAACAACAUGAAUAAACCCCAUCGUUUUAUCCUUAUUAGCAGUAACACAAAGUUAUAUCUUGUCCCCUUCUAUUGCCGGGAUAUAUAAAUUCACGAGGUUGAACCUAGUACAACACACCUCUCUCACCGAAGAAAUAUCAAUAUAGUUGGCCAAACUAUUUCAAUAGAUCGGAGAGAAUUAAGAAGCUAUCAUAAUCAUGCACAUAAGAAUCAUAUAAGUAUUCUUAGAAGACUCAAAUAUUUAUCAUGAAUAAGCUAAACAUAAACGCACAAUUCAUAGGAUCCCAACAAACGCACCGCAAGAAAGGAAUUACAUCAUGUGGAUCAAAGCGACGAUGUGAUUAUCAUUAUAUUGAAGAUCAACAAAGAGAGAUUGCCAUCUAGGUAUUGGAUAUGGACCCAUAUGUUUGUGGUGAACUACUCACACAUCCUCGUGAGAGCAGCAAGGCUGAGGAAGUGGCCCUCCGUGAUCGAUCCCCCCUCCGACAGGGUGCCGGAACGAAGCUCUAGAUGGCCUCCCAUCGGAACAGAUACUUGUGGCAGCGUAAAAAGUAUUUUGAGAAUGCUUCUAUGUUUUUAGGGUAUUGCUACGGCAACAAAAGUCCUUCCCUUGCAAUGCCAGGAAUUCUUCUUGCUACUUCUCUUGCUCGCGUCGGUUUUUCCCUUGAAGAGGAAAGGGCGAUGCAGCACAGGAGCAGUAAGUAUUUCCCUUAGUUUGAGAACCAAGGUAUCAAUCCAGUAGGAGAAUCUCGCCAAGUCCAGAGUACCUGCGCAAACACAAAAGAGCUUGCACCCAACGCUAUAAAGGGGUUGUCAAUCCCUUCAAGAUUGAUUGCAAAGUGAGAUUUGAAGGCGGAAAGUGCAACGAAGAAAAAGUGUAAGGCUGAAAAUAUGGUGUGGAGUAGACCCGGGGGACAUAGUGUUCACUAGAGGCUUCUCUCAAAAUAGCAAGUAUUACGGUGGGUGAACAAAUUACUGUCGAGCAAUUGAUAGAACCGCGCAAAGUCAUGAUGAUAUCUAAGGCAAUGAUCAUACAUAUAGGCAUCACGUCCGAGACAAGUAGACCGAUACUUUCUGCAUCUACUACUAUUACUCCACACAUCGACCGCUAUCCAGCAUGCAUCUAGUGUAUUGAGUUCAUGACGAACAGAGUAACGCCUUAAGCAAGAUGACAUGAUGUAGAGGGAUAAACUCAAACCAAUGAUGAAAAACCCAUCUUUUUACCCUUGAUGGCAACAACACGAUGCGUGCCUCGCUACCCCUUCUGUCAUUGGGUAAGGUCACCGCACGGUAUGAACCCAAAACCAAGCACUUCUCCCAUUGCAAGAAUCAUAGAUCUAGUUGGCCAAACAAAACCCACAACUCGAAGAGAAUUACAAGGAUAUGAAAUCAUGCAUAAGAGAGAUCAGAAGAAACUCAAAUAAGAUUCAAAGAUAAUCUGAUCAUAAAUCCACAAUUCAUCGGAUUUCGACAAACACACCACUAAAGAAGAUUACAUCGGAUAGAUCUCCAUGAAGAUCAUGGAGAACUUUGUAUUGAAGAUCCAAGAGAGAGAAGAAGCCAUCUAGUUACUAGCUAUAGACCCGUAGGUCUAUGGUGAACUACUCACGCAUCAUCAGAGAGGUCAUGGUGUUGAUGAAGAAGCCCUCCGUAUCCGAAUCCCCCUCCGGCAGGGCACCAGAACGUGCCCCAGAUGGGAUCUUGCCGAGACAGAAGCUUGCGGCGGCGAAAAAGUACUUUCGAUGGUCUCCUGAUUUUUUAUGGAAUUUUAGGGAAUAUAUAGGCACAAAACCUAGGACAGAGGAGGCUCAGGGAGCCCACAAGCCAGGGGGGCACGACCCCCCUGGCCGCGCCAUGAGGGCUUGUGGGGUCCCUGGUGGCCCCCUGCCUUGAUUUUCCGGCUUCCCGAUCUUUUUCUGUUUCGGAAAAAAUCUUUUUGGCAGUUUCAUUCCAUUUGGACUCCGUUCAAAAUCCUCCUCUGAAAGGGGUCAAAAAUAUGGAAAAAACAGGAACUGGCACUUGGCACGGAGUUAAUAAGUUAGUCCCAAAAAAUAUAUAAAAGGCAUGCAAAACAUCCAAAGUUUGACAAGAUAAUAGCAUGAAACCAUCAAAAAAAUGUAGAUAUGUUGGAGACGUAUCAGGUAUCUCAGACUUUAUAAGCCAGAGAACAGAGUCGGGAGGGCCUCGAAGAGCCCACAAGCCAACAGGGCGCACGAGGCCGCGUCGGGUUAGCUUGUGGGGACCCAGUGUGGCCCCCAGACUUUCUCCGAUGAUUGUUGGUCUUCUUUUGGUCCAGAAAAAAUCUCCAAAAAGUAUCGAGUCAAUUGGACUUCGUUUGGUAUGGAAAACCUGAAAAGUGAAAACGUGCAGAAAACAGCAACUAGCACUGGGCACAAGGUCAGUUUGUUAGGGAUAAAAAAUAAUAUAAAUUGGUAAAUAAAUAGCCCAAAAGUAUUCUAGAAUGAUAAUAUAUCAGCAUGGAACAAUAAAAAAUUAUAGAUACAUUGGAGACGUAUCAAGGUCGUGCAAUGCUGUGCACAUAGUCACACGCUCACCACGUGGGUGAUGUACCACGUUGGCAGAGGCUGCAAAGACAUCGCCAGUGGGCGCACACGAGGAAUAUUUACUGUUUGUGAUAAAACGGUAACGAGAAAUUGUCCUCUCCGAAGACGAGUCCCAGGGCUUACCCCUUUGGUGCAAGGGGACCAACAUGACACCGUUCACUAGGACGGACAUCAUCGGUGAGCCCACGAGUGCGUCAUGGAUGACGCCUUUGCAGAAUGAAGACCGACUUUGUAAGAGAAGACUCGAUGCUUGUCUCCCUUUGAAUUGUCGCCCUGUGGUCGACCUUUUCCUACCAAUAUUUUGGGAAAAGAGGCCCAAGGCAAGGAUAAGAGGGAAGAGCUACCACCGUAGGGAGGGGGACAUUUUUUGGAGCUCUCAUUCUCCUAGAGAAAGUUCUUCUUCUCCCUGGGAAAACCUUUUAGCCCCGAUACAAACCAAAGAGCAAUCCACCGAGCAUGAGUAGGGUUCUACACCGCGAGCUGGCUUGAACCUAGGUAAAUCCAUGCAUCCCUUUCAUACCCUAUGCACGUAGGUUCACCUAACUCGAGGGGUAGAUUGUGCUCAGCUCCCGAGUAUUCGAACCGGGUUCCUGAGAGGUUUCCGCAGGCACAAAACCAACCUCUGAAAUUUCAUGCUUUGGAGGCAUUCAAAGCCCAACAUGAGAAGUCCUUCAACCUCAUCCAUUGUUGGAUGGUCAUCAACGAGGAGGAGAACUUCAGGGCCAAUAUGCAGCCCUCAAGGUGCGUGGAGGGAAGGAAGCCGUCGAGGAGCAUUGUGAGGGAAAGACACCACACACACGGGGGAAGACCAACUCCAAGAAAGAGGACAAGCCUGAUGCAGCAUCAAAUGCCUUGCAUGCCACGUUGGAAGGCAUGAUAAUCAAGAAGAAUGCAAGGGAGGAGAAGUGCUAGCAAGACAAAGACGAGCAAAUGAAGGCAUUCAUGGAGAUCCAAAGGAGGAGGCUUGAGCUCGAUAUGGAGAACCAAACGAAGAAGCUUGAGAUGAGGGCGGAGAAGCAACGGUAGAUGCUCGAUAUAGAGGAAAAAUAAAUGGCACUCGCUAGCAUGCUGAGGGGGCUAGAGAUCAUAAAGGUGAACUUGAGCAAGGUGUUCCCGAGGAAGAGGCCUUGGUUCAAGAAGAUGCAGGCCUACAUGCUCAAGUUUGAUGACGAGUCAUCUAUGAUGGCAUAUAGAGCCAUCCUUUUUUUGUACGCCCCCAAGUGUCCCGGCAUGACCACAACCGAGAUGGUGGCGUUGUUGAACUCUCGUCCCUUUUUAUGUGCUGGUGUGGCUUCGACAUGUAAUUUGGGCAAUGGCAUGGCCGCUGGCAUGAUUUACGUCCACGAGGCCUUUCAAUAUUAUGUGCGGACGAUAUUUGGGUCUACGCGUUGGGUGCAUGGCCAACCCAAACGCAGAAGGCGGCGGACAAGCCAACCCAAAUGGACAAAAAACGGACAAAUGAUGGAUUCAAUUGGGUCGACGCAUUGGAGUUCCUCUUAUAGUUCUAUAUCAGCAUUCUAUCCUUUUACAACAUCUACAACUAGACCCCUCAUAACCGUCUCAAACGUCCGGGCAUGCCAUCUGGCCAGUGACUGAUCACAAAAACACGACCCAGCCGGACCUGUCGAACCCACUUCAAACGACCGGGCUAACCGACACCCCUCAUAAACAUCCCAAAUCUAGGGUGGACAUGGGACGGCCCCAUCACGCCUGGACACAUCCUCCACGUCCUAUGUGACACACCCGUCCCACCAUCGAACCUGCCGUCCUCCCACAAAAACCCCACCCUAGCCGGCUUGCUCUGAACCCUAGCUCACACUAUCUCGCUGCGUCCUCUCCUCUAGAUCUCCGAUUCUGAUCCAUCCACUCCAAUGUCGAGCUCCGGCAGCCACUCCAGCUCUAACGUUGACUAUGACGAGGUGCUAGCCCUCCGCAUUGCCUUGGAGCGGUCCAAGGUGGACACCAGCGGUAGCUCCCAGUCUGGAGCAUCAUUGCUGCUCCUACACCGGCACAACGCGGAUGUCAGAGCUGGGCACUCCCGACCCGCACGCAGUUUUGGUAGGAGGGCAUAGUCCGCAUCGGCCUCAUGUCAUCGCCUUCCCUCGACGGCCGCUUCUCCAUGCGGAUAGCGGUGGGUCAUAGUGCCUGCGCCGCCGGCCCACAUGUGCACUUUGGAAUCGAAGGCGUGCACCACCCGCCAUGACAUGCAGUGGGCAAGGGAGGGGGAUGUGGUGGAGCAGUCCGUGUGACGCCGCCGCGGGAUGUCGACGGGGCCUGACGAGGACGAACGUCUUCUUUCAUGGGUGUACCAUCAGGCCCUCACAACGGCUGACACGGACGCUCGCCGCCUCCGAGAGAAGAAUGCCAAUGCGCUCCGUCUUGCUUUUGAGAACUCGGAGUGCGAGGCGAAGGAGGCAACAACGUAGGCGGAUCGGGUCACCAAGUUAAAGUGGGAGUAGGACAGGGCGGUCCAUCGGUUGAAGGGGAUCAUAUUCCUCUCCGACUUCAACGACAAAGAUGAUGACAACUGCACCUUCUCCGAGGACGACCAAGACCCUCUCCCAGUCGCGAAAGGCUAGAGAUGCAUCGGCGAUUGAAAGGGCAAAGGUCUGGUGAGGAAGUGGUUAUCUCGCCCCCUACGCAUUGUUCAGAUCAAUUUUUAGUUGUAUAAUUUUAAGAACUAUGUCCGGUGAACUUGGAAUGAUCUUUAGGGUGAUAUUUGAUGUCCAUUUGCAGUCGAUGUUGUAUUCGUUUGCAUCUGAUUUUGGUGUCCUAUGUUUGAUCAUGUAGAGCGUCCCAACGUUUCACGCAUAGUCUGGAUAUAGGGUGUACGAUAUGAGGUACACAUACGUGGAGAGGAAAAUAUGAGGCGUGCCCGGUCAGUUCCCGCAAACGCGCUCGUGCGCGUUCUCGGGCGUUCGAGGGGCCAAAUUAGCCCAUCGCGACUACAUAUGCUCUUAGGGCAUCUCAUCAUCAAACCACCCACAUAACAUCAGGCGUGUUUUGUCAUUCAACAUGGUAUUUUAUUCAUGCCCGAGCAGAACGGACAUGACCUCUCAAUGUUAUCGAUAUCAAAGCGGCGUGCCGACCGAGAGAGCGUCACCCAUGCCGUUUCCCGGUGCAGACAACUACUCCGUGUUUAAACGACACCCGUAGGUCCAUCGCCCUACAAUAAUGAUAUGUGAUUGCCGAGAAACCUACUCUGUGUCACCCGUCCAUCGUUAGCCACCCACCAUUAAUCACACCAUCGCGACUUGCCAUCCGCCAGCUAUAUAGACCCCAGCCCCUGCCAUAGUUGCUGUCAUCCUCCUUCGGUCCCUUUGUCCUCACCCACCACGCUUGCCAUGGCCUCCUCGCGCUCCAAAACCAUUUGGGAGAAACCCUCGUCCGAGCAGAAGAGGGAGAUGGCGGCCAUUGCUACCGGCUCCUAGCUGGCAAGCAUAUGGAAGCCACCAAUGUCCUAAUGAAGGACACAACGAGGAUGAGCUGGUGCCACCCUCCUCGCGGGUGCAUGCCGACAUCACCAUCAGCAAGGCCCGUGCCCACUACAGGACAUGGUGUAGGAGGAGCGGGAGGCCAACUUCCGACAGGCGCAGAGAGACUAGGCCUACAACCUCCAUCUCCUCGAUGAGCAUCAGCGUACAGAGGAGCAACUAGCUGCCGACACAAUCACCAUGCUAGACAUGGGCGUGGCAGAGCAGGAGGCGCUGCUCGACUCCUACCGCUCCGCCCGUGACAUCUGCCGCGCCCUGAACGUUGUCGGUACUGCAUCCGUCAGACGUAAUUACAGGCCGCCUACAUGAAGCUUGACCAGGCGACGGACUAGGUGUUCGGCAAGAGCGACGACAAGGAGAACAUCUUCAGCUCCACCACGGCCAUUCCCCGCAGCCACGACCACGAAGCCGACACAUCAAUGGGCGCCACCGAAAGCGAUAGAGAGUAGUGCAUGGUAGGUCGUCAUCGUUCGAGUCCCAAGAAUGCCAACACUCCUUCCCUCCUGCUGAAGCUAAGCCUAGCGGACAGAUCAUUGUCAGUCGAUUAGCAGCUGGUGGCGGGGGCUGCAGAGGUAGAGCUAGAGAGCACUGACAGGGAACUGAAGAAUUUGAAGGCAAGAGCCAGAGGCCUCACUUCUCGAGGCUCAUGGCCGGACAUGAGAACGGGCGCGGACGAUCAUUUAGAAUAGGAUUAGAUUUAGGUUGAGUAAAAGAUUGUCCAAAAUGUAAUGAAUUUCGUCCGGUUUAUUUAAAAUCAGCCGGUUUACAUGAAUUUCUUGUUGCCAUCAAUCACCACUGGUUCUAUCUAAGUUCCCCAUUACUUUCUAUAGUGUUUCUUGUCGUAAGUUUUCUAUCUGAGUCGUGAUAGUUACAUUUCACAGAGAUAUGCUUUCUUUCUAUCACAUUUUCUUUUCAUAGUUGUUUUCUUUCGUAGAAAUACGUAUGUCUAAUUUUAUUUCCCUAUGUUGUGUUGAGAAUAUUUAAGAUUUUGGAAAAAAAUAAUCCCUAAUUCACCCUCAUGUGGUCAAUAUACUCCGGUCCUACACCAACAAUCUAAUACCCAUACUAUAUAACCAUGCGUGUAGAGUUGAAGUUAUACGAUACAAACAUGCAUAGAAUGCUCCUCUAUUUCGAGAUUGGCACCAACAUGCUAACUUUGAAUAGCUUCCCAUACGAGGCCUUACAUGGUGUCCCUUUUUUCUGAGAAUCCAUGGUAUCCCUUCUAAAUUAUGUGGAUGAUGCACAAGGCACAUGAUUCAAAAAAAGUUCCAAGUAUGAAGCUCAUGUUUGUUAUUUUUCAACAUGUCACAAAUGAGUUGUGAUUUUCACGAAACAUGAAAUCGGAAAAUAAAGUCGAGUCAUGUGCAUGAAAGUUCUUUAUGGGUUUUUUAGAUGUCAGGAAAUAGAUUUUUGGAUAUCACUCAUACACCAGACUAUGAUAUCAAUUGUUAGAAUAGGAAGCACGCGGUGAUUUAUUGAGAAUAGGGGAAGCAACCACACGAUUUAGUAACCGGUUUAAUGAACAAGCAUGACUAUGGUGCUCCUGAUCGGCAUUGCUACCGCCACAACACUGAGCCACCAAGCAUCGGCUCCCCCUUAACGCUUUUAGGUGUAAGUAGUUCGGGAAGGUCACCGGCCAUAUAACCAUGGCGGGGUUUAGAGAGAUCGCUAGCGGCAGCAAGGCAUGCACGGUAGGGUCGCCAACCAAGGUUAGCACGUACAUGCGGUUGGUUGGCAAUACAUACAAGUUGGUAUUUGGUCAGAGAAGGAAGAAGUUGGAGGAGGAAGAUGUCCCAAUCAUUGUAUUUCAAAGCAAAAGCAGAGAAAAUCAAUUGAAACUCAAGCACAAAUAGGCGAUCCCGUGUUAAACACUAAAUAUUUGAUUGAAGAUAAAUUACUCUUCGAAUGUUGGGCACACACAUAUAAUGAUCUUAUGCCACAAGAUAAUUAAGGCUUUGUUCGGUUAAGCCUGCCCUCAAGAGGAUUAAAGAGGUUUGGAGGGGAUUGAGGGUGAAUUUAACUUGCGGGGAAUUUGAUCUUCUCCAAUCCACUCCAAUCCCCUUCAAACCCUUUGCAACCGAACAAGCCCUAAUGGAAGCUAGGUACAUAAACUUGGACAAGCAAAACAGAGAUACAAAUAUAAAGAAACAAAAGAGGAGAUACAGCCUCGGAUGAAAUCAUCGGGCAUGCCUAUUCAAGUACCCUCAUGAGAUGAGUACCUAUAUCAACCUCCAGAGAUGUUAGAACUGUUGCCAUGAAGUGUAGGUGCCACCAAACCACCAGUUGUACGGCGCAACAUUGUCGGCCGUGACAACCCGACCGUCGUCGGUUUGUACCCUGAAGGACAAGCUCUGGCCGUUGAGGUAGGCAUUGCUCUGCCAGCUAGCGCCCCAGUUCCUGCUCAUUACCAUCCAAUCAGUCUUGGACCCCUUGAUCCACAUUUGGGACACCACGCCGCUGCCGCCGACAUUUGCCACCGUCACAAGCUCAAAGUAGUCGUUCCCGUUGAUGGUGAACCUCAUGCCCCCACUCCUCUGGCAUGGAACCCUCUUGUAGUUGACGGGCACAAUGCCGGCUUGGUAGAUGGCGAUGGUCUCCCACGCGGGCUGCGACAUGUCGAAGUGGUGCCGCGGCGGGUUGCACCAUCCGCCGUUGUCGCUGGCCAGGGCGUAGUUGGGCGGGCAGAAGUUGGUGGCCGUGAUGGUGAUGGACGUGCCCUGUUUGCAUGACCGUGUCUUGCUUGCGUCGCAGGUGAUGGUGAAGCACAUGCCGCACGACGCACCAUUGUUGAAGAGCGCCGUGCUCAACGCAGCCGAAUUAACCCCGUACCCGGCGUUGUACAAGUUCCCGUACCCGCACGCACCACCUGCAUUUUUGUGUAAGUUGCAUCCUGCUUAGUAAAAAGAAGAUCCAGGAGGUGCGUCAUCUAAAUCAUGCAUGCAGCUGAAGCAUAAAAGAAACCAUACCCAUGGUGUCCGAAGCGUCGCUGCCGCCGUAGAAUGUUGCAAAUGCAGGCGUCCAUUGAGCAACAGAGGCCUUGAAUGCACAGGCCAACAUGGUGGUGAGAAGAAGCAGAGAAGGAGUCUCCAUUUCAAUUUCAGAGUACGCCUAGUAAGUAAUGUACCAAGGCAGGCCAAGUCCUCAAUGUUUUUGUCUUGUGCUUUGCAAUGGUAAUGGCGUCCCUAUUUAUAGUGUUCGUAUGAUCAGAUCGAGCUUGUGCGUUGGUUGCUUGUAAUUGAAAGCCUGAUUGAUUAUGGAUAUUUUAUAUAUGAUGAUUUUUGUUAGGAUUGGUCAACAUAACAAUUAUUGGGAUGAACAUGCCUUGAUUUGCUCAUGAUGGCCGUUGGCUCUUGACGGUUAAGACUUAAGACACGGAUACGGGGAUUAAAUAUCAUUAUACCCAUGUGCCGUUUUUCCCUAGCAAAAUACAUGAGGCACUGUUUUCAAGUUCUCUUAGUGGAUGGGAUGUCUUGUAUUCCGACGAAGUAGGACUUCUAGUAGGACGGCCGGCCGGCCGGCCGGCAAACGUAAUCGUCUUUAUCGGCAAAAAAAGAGUAAAGACAGACUUGUGAUGUUAUUCAGUUAUAUGUUGAUGGGGUGACGAGAUAUCUGAACUUGUGAAGACUAUCAGCGUUGCCCUUUAAAGUUUAUCAGAAUUCAGUAAAACGAGCGUGGCGAUUUGUUAGACCGUGAAGGAAAAUCAUUCUUUUAAUCCAAUGCAGUUGUUUCCAGUAAUCAAAUGAUUUAGUUUGUAACUUAGGAGGAUGCGAUGGGGAUAAAUCACAGAUUUUAGUUGGAGUUCGAAAAACUAGAAUGAAUGUUCAAACUCUGAACUGCUAGCACGUCAUUGCUUACACUGCAAUCAUUUUUGAGUACAAUUUAUGAGCACACCUGACAGUCUGACGGUAAGCACUAAUGCUCUUGUGUGUGAACGCUAUUGUAGCAUGUCAGCUGUGCAUAUGGAUUAGUCGUGUAGACAAUCCAUAGUCAACCUCAUAACCACCGUGCCUUUUAAUUAGAACAUGCAAGUACAAUUUAAUCCACCGAUGAACAAUCAGGCAUGCGAUAAUUUGCACCUGCUCAAUCCAGAAAACAAUGGACCUGCUUAAGUUAAAAAUUUCUGGAAAAAUACACAGGUAUAUUAGGAAAGCAGUGUCUUGUGUAAAUUUUCCUGAUGAAAAUACAUUUUUAUGUGUGUUACACAAAACAAAUCAUGAAUUUUUAUAGUGAACAGUAUACAUGGUGGACACUCGUGAUUAUUUUUUUUGUAGCUCACAUAAAACUUAUUCACCAUGAAACUUUACAAACAUUUACUCCCUCCGUUCCUAAUAAGUCUUUUUAGAGAUUCCACUAGUGGACUAUAUACGGAUGUAUAUAGACAUACUUUAGAAUAUAGAUUCACUCAUUUUGUUCCGUAUGUAGACUACUAGUGAAAUCUCUUAAAAGACUUAUAUUUAGGAACGGAGGGAGUAGUAUACAUCCCUAUGUGUAUGUGCAUUUUUUGUCAGUUUUUUUGAAACAAUUAAUUUGUUUUUGAUUAUUUAUUAAUUCAGCCUCUGUGGAGCUCGGUACACAUAAGGCCUUGUUUGGUUAAUCCCUCCAACAAGGGGAUUGGAAGGGAUUGGAGGGGAUUAAGGUGAAUUUUGACUUGCAGGAGAUUUAAUCCCUUUCAAUACCCUCCAAACCCUUUUAAAUUUCGAGAAACCAAACAAGGCCUAAGCGAUUUCCGGUACACACCAUGCUAUUAAAACAUUUUCUCAAGCGCUCUCGGGAUCCAUGUUGUGAGUGUGUUUAAAUAGCGGGCAUGUGUAUGUGAUGAUCACAAGAUUUGUGGAGCGUGGAGAGUGAAAAGGAAAAAAGAUGGCUUGGGUUGAUUGAGAUAAAUUGACGCUCUCUAAAUUCCAAGGUGGCAUGAGCUCGAGAUAAUGUUUUUGGGCCAAUCACGGUAGAUCACCUAAUCCUUAUAGUGUAUUAAAGUGUUGCAGUAAUAUUAAUUUAUCCUUAGUAUCGCAGAUGAUUGGAUUUAAAUCAACACGCCAGGAUUCAUUGUCUUUCGUCGGUUGCUCCUCACAGAACGACUCACACAUUCGCUAGAGUGUGAACUUCCUUUAUUUUUCUCCUUGGUCACACACACAUACCUAAGCCCAAUUGUACCAAAUAAUUGUAUAUCAUCGAUUUUGUCAUGGGAGCAGCCACCCAGUCUGUGUAGCAAUAUGUGCGGCUGGCAUCAAAAGCUCGGACGGGUUUGCGAGAAAAUCCAACAACCAAAAAUGUUGAACCUUCAAAUCUGAUGGCGGAAACCGCUAAUGGUCUAAGAGGUCUGAAAAAGUAUAGUUUUAAUGUUUUUAAAUGUGCUCGAUUAUUGAUGGAAAACUAUUACCGUAAAUGGAAAGUUGACAAAUCUUUUUUACUAGCAAUGCAUUUAAGGUUUGGCAUGGUCAAUAACAUGGAUUGGAACUGCUAAAGAGAGGCCUUGCUUGGCGAGUUGGCAUGGGAAAAAUAUAAAGGUUUGGACGGACCCCUAGAUCCCUUACUGACAUGUCUCGUAGAAGUUCGAAGGGUCACAAUGAAAGGUCAUUGUAGGUUUAAUAUGGUGGAUGAUUUCCUUGGCAAUCACGGGCCAAGGAAAUACUGAGGGUCGUCGACAAUUUUGUCUGCCACUUGAUGCUGAAGCAAUCCUAAUGAUUAGAAUAUCAUGAAGCUGAGAUGAUGAUUUACAGUUUUUUUUCUGAUAAGCACGGUAGAUUCUCCAUGAAGAGUGCAUAUUACCAUAGAGACCAUAUCGAGUGUUGAUUUAAUAGAUUGUUAUUUGUGGCUCAAAACUUUUUGGAAUUAUUAUACCCUGAAAUCAUUUUAGGGUUAUUCCUAAAGCCAGAAUUGAGGUACAAUAUGUGUGUAAGCUUUCCUUUUUAGUGUUUUGCAUUGGAAAAUAAUUUCCUUAUAUCCCACAUAGCAUUUGAAACAUUAGAUUAAAAUUUGGGGAUUUAUGUGAACCUGAAAUCAUUUUAGGGCAUACAUAUAAUAUCCCAUAAUAGAGUUACAAAUUAUUUAUUUAUUGUUCCAUCUGAAAUAUAUUUUCCUAAGCCACAAGUAUUUAAUGAACCUAUGGAUUUUUCACAAAAUUUGGACCAAAUAUGAUCUUUGAAUCAAAUUCAAAAUUGGUUGAAAAAAUAAAACAAAAAAGAAAAGAAAAGCAAAAGAGAAAACGAAAUCUACCCUGCCCUAUUACCCAGACACCAGCCCUUGAUCUUACUAACGCCCACUUGAGAUAAUCAACGCUCAGCACGGCCCAGCCCAGCCGACCUAUGGGCUAUCUGUAUUCCAAAUAGAUGCACAAGAGCAAUAUAACAUUGAUGUUCGAUUUUAUGUCGAUCCAAGGGAUGACGAUCUUCCCUCUCUUCUCUCUCAUUGACAGCCGACCCCAACAACCCGUCGUCAACCUCUCACUUGAUGAACGGGCGCCCAUGACCCCUGACCCCCCCCCACACACACACCUAACCUCCCACUUGUAAAUACACCUCACUUCCCUUAAAAAAACCUCUCAAGAAGCGCCCACAUCGCCGCCAGUCCGUCUCAAAUUCGGUAUAAUGCCGGGACCUAUGUAGUUACUAUACACAAUAAUUCAGGUGAGCACCGACCAUCACUUGUCCCAGCACCGACAAUCUCGUCCUCGACACACAUGGGAAAAUAGGUUAGCCAUGUUUCGCAACCCCGGAGCCCCCUCGAAGCAUGACUUCACCUUCACCGAACCGCGUCGCAGCAUCAUUGCCGAUUUCGACGAGGUAAGCUCGUUGUCGACCUCAUGAACAUGCCACUCAUCUCUAAUUUGACACAAUGCACACCCUUGGUUAGUAGAUUUGUUAAGGAUCAUUCUAAAUCAAUGCAUGCAACCUCUACCAAAGCUCGCUCGGCGCCACGCAAAUUUGGAGAGCCAUUGUGCUUGAUCUCGUCGACCCCAAGCACACUAAUUCCACCACCAUCUUUGUCGGACUCUGACGAGCGCUGUCGACCACUACAACGUCAAAUCCAUCCAAUCCCAAGCCUUGUCGUCCUUGAAAUCUUUGGCAACUACCCCCAUGAGCACCGAAACCAUAGCCCAUGCGUUGUAGGAUCUAAACCAACGACAAAAGAUCGAGAAGCAGACAAAAUGGUAUUAACCAUCAUUUAUGACCGCAAAGUGGUACCAUCCAACCAGGACAUGCCAUGUGGUCAUUUAAUCUCAAUCGUCCAUAAGGGUGCGAUGUUCAUUACAUGGCUUACAUUAAUGCCCGCUAGCAAGCCAUUGAAGGAUUCAUUUAGUCCGCUGUUAACGGGGUGAAUGCUCUGUAGAACCGCACCCAUAAGGGUGCGAUGUUCAUCGAUGAUGGAUGAGAUGGCGAAGGCAUCCUCCAUCAUUGCCGGCCACCCAACCGUAGCCUGCUUUGUCACGGGCAGCGUCGGAGGCGGAACCGAAGACUCCAGAAGACUAGAGCUCACACUAGUAGAAAAUGGCCCAUUUGUCCCGGUUCCAGAGGCCCAUUAGCCCCGGUUCUUGAACCGGGACUAAAUGGUCGGGACUAAAGCCCAAAACUUUUAGUCCCGAUUCCUUUACCAACUGGGACAGAAGGGCCUCCACGUGUCCUCCGCGGGAAGCCCAGGCAGGAGGGCCUAUAAUCCCGUUGGUAAUACCAACCGGGACCAGGAGGUGGUUUUUUUUGAAUUGGGGGGCGGGUGUUGGGGGGUUUUGGAGGGUUAAUUUAAGGGUUUCAUAUUGUGCUAGCUAGCUAAUAGAGAGAAGUGUCCUCUCUUUAUCCGUGAUGUAGAAGUAAUGACUUUAGCAAGUUAUCCUCGAUCUCUUAGGUAUUGUGGCAUACCGACCAUUCAUUUACAACAUCUGGGCUAAUGAAACGUCGAAGAUUCAUCCACACAUGAAUCUAAUCCGCUUUUCUUCCCCCCAAUGAUAUAAUAACCAAUCAUGAUCAUAAUAACAAAUCAUCAUGAUAAUCAUGAUCAACAUCAUCAUCAUAUUAAUAUAAAAACUCUUGCAUCACUAUAGCUAAUAAUCAUCAUAGUCAUUACCGCCAACACUAUUUAAUCAUCAUUUUCGUCAAUGAGACAUCAUAUAUAUAACAAAAGUUGGUCACUAGUCAUAAUCACAACUCCUCCUCCUCAUCAUAAACUAUAACACAAUGUAGCACAUAAUAACACAUUGUACAUAGGACCUACUACUCUCUCAUAGGACCUACCCUACCCUCUCUUAAGUAGAAUAUCAAAAAACAAGAUAGGCCCUGACUCUCCAUUAUGGAGAAUGGAGAUCAUCUUGUCUCCCAAUCUUGGCCUACGCACAAUCUUGCUCCCAAGUAGCUCUCUACGAUUGACCAAACAUUUUUUCCAAUCUCUGAUUGUCAUUUCAUCGAUUUUAGAUAUCUGGUAUGGACAGGAGUGAUGCAUAUACCUAGGCUGACCUGGCAGUGCUGGUCAUAUGGUCGUAACAUCAACGCGACCUCUUGGAAACAUCAGAUGAGGCACACAAUCUUGCGGGAUUUUCUGUUGAAAAACAUAGUAUUAACUUUGUAGCUAGCAAUGUAGUUUAGUUUUACAAUAGUUUAUGCAAAAGAUGCACGGAUGUCGUAAUAGUAGAAAAUCUUACCAUGCAAUCUCCAUGCAUGUUAUCGUAGUUCAUGACGUGCACUAGUGGCACGUAUUGACCAUAAUGUGGGGGAGUUUGCUGAUAGGUAUUGUAAUUCUCAAGAUCAUCGAUAAAUGCGACAAGAUGAUGUUUCUCCUUACAAGUUAAUUUCACUUCAUCAUUGUAGUAAUAGGUUCUGUCUACCAUCUUCCGUACAUUUUUUGAAGAAUGAAAAUAAGCUUUUAAUGGAAAUAAGUUGUCAACUAUUUUUAAAUAAACAAUAUAAAUUACUUAAUAAAUAUGGUUGAGAAACUCACAUAAUGGUAGAACUGGGGGCGUCUGCUCAUCGACCCAGAUGUCGAUAUUACCUUUAAUUUCAUCUUCCGGACGAAUAUCAAAGGUGAUAAGCAUAUUAGGCUCAAAUGCAUAAGCCUUGCAUAGUGCUUGACAAUUUGUGCAUUCAAAAUAGGAGUAGGUGUCCGCAUUAUACGACUUUACGGCAAAAGCAUAACCAUGCUCGGUCCUCAAGUGAACUCUCUUUACCUUCAUAGUUUUUUCAGUACUAAAACCAAUCUUCCAAGACACAAAUUCUUGCAUGGCAGGGGAUACGCUAGUAGAACAGUUAAAAAAAAAUUAUAAGUCGAAGCAAAAUAAGUCAUGCUUAAUUAUGAAAAAAGACUUAUCAUUGUGACUUAUUGUAUCCACUUCGAAGUCCUCAUCCAGCAUGAUGCUGAAGUGCCUAUAAUAAACUAGGUGAGGCGUGUCGCACAUGCCGCGCUCGUCUUGGCAGUAUUCGCACAUAGCGAAUUUCCUUUCGUCGUCACACAUUUCCUUCCUAAAACUGAUCAACACAUAGAUCACGAUUACUCAAUAUGCAACGGGUUGAUUUAGGUCUCUCGAGUCUUUCCUUCCUAAACUCUCAUCUCACGUAUAUGGUGGACAUCCCCUCUGAUAUUUCGACCGUCGGUGAUGGUCGCUACUCCUUCUUUCCCUAGUGCAUUACAAAUAUCUAGCACAAGGAAAAGAAGGAGAAGCGACCCCCAUGACAACAGCCGGUGAUGGGGUUAUAGUCCCAGGGUAGGGUCAUAGGUCUACCCUAUAGGUCCUACCCAAGGACUAUCCUUCAGAGAAGACAAGGCCCUUAGACAGUUCCGACUGAACUAAGGACGCCCCCAUCAUCCAGUCGGCGACGAUCCACUCGGAGCAUAUCUAACGUACCGACUGGAAUCCACUAUGUACAUCGUAACCUCCCAGGAGGGCAACGGUCAUACGUUUUCAUACACCAUUAUUAGCAUUUAAGGCUUACGUUACCAGUAACACCAGUUUUAACUCACCACAACUCCACCCCUGUCCACCGGACCAUUAUGAAGGGCAACGCACUCUAUAUAAGCCGCCCUUCCCCGCUGGUGCAGGGGUUGGCACUUGCUGUAAUCCCACAAUACACUCGACACAAAGCUCCCCAGAGCACUGAGACGUAGGGCUUUUACCUCCACUGCAGAGGGGCCUGAACUCAUACAUCCUCGCCGUAGCUAAGUGUAACGACCAAGAUGCGGUCCUUCCCGAUCUGGGGGUCGAGGCCCCCGAAUAGGAAAGAAGCGCAUCUAAGCGUUUCGCAAGCAAGUAACAUAGCACAAAUAAUAAUACAAGUAGACAAUUCGGGAUUCAACUGUCUUCUUAUUAAUAACUCAGAGUACAUCACAGAUACAAACAAGGUAGUUCCGCUACGGACUACAAAACAUGGAAAUGCUAUGCUACCCUGCUGCAGGCCCACGAUCACGACCACGCCUCAAUCCUCUGGAUAGUUCACAUAGAGGCGGUCUGUCUCCUCGUCGUACUGCCACGACAGCUGGGUGCCGUCGGGAUCAUCUGUCUCUGGGGUACCUGUACCUGCUGGGAGUUUUGGAGGAAUCCGUGAGCCACGGGGACUCAACAAUCUAAGACCUUGGUGCCAGAACUAGUCAUGUUAUUGGUAGGAUAAGGAUGAAGUGUAUCAGGCUGCAACAUCCUAUGCUUGAAUAAGUGGCUAACUUACGCAAAUAGAAGUGAAGGUGGUCUACGCCAACGGUCGGGUUUACUUGAUCACUAAGUGAUCCUGAACACCUACCUACGGCAUUCAUAACCCCACCGUGUUCCCGAUCGAAGAGAGAUCUUCGAAGGGACAGUCACGGUUACGCACACAGUUGGCAAUUUUAUUAGCUUAUGUUUAAGUUCUCUAAUACCACAUGUUAACAAAAUAUUUCAAGUUGCCACUUAACCGCGGGCACGACUUUCCGAAAGAUUAAACCCUGCAGGGGUGCUCCAACUAGUCCAUCACAAACGAACACACGCCGCAAAGGCAUCCUGUAUCACGAAUCUCGUGAUCUCGUCGGAUUCCUUAGAGGAAAACCUCAACUUUGGGGGAAACCAAAACUUCACUGGGAUUCCUAUACGCAAGAUAUACCGCUAAGGUAAGACAAGGCUAGCAGGACCUCCCGACGUGUCGACGACCCUGAUAAGAGCCGCGUAUCUCAGUCUCAGGACACGCCGGAUGAGCGAUGGUUACCACGCCAAAACACCGAGUUGCCCCGGGGAGCGUAAUAAGCUGCUCUGGGUUGGACCAACACUCAUGAGGAGCACUGGCCCGGGUUGUUGAUUAAAGUCCUCGGGGUAGCUACUCCCUAUGCAGAUUAUUAUUAAGUUGUUUAGCAAAUUAACACCAAUGUCGGGUCCUGCCGGACAAGCCUUAGCACUACGCGAUUUAUCGAGGGGGUCCCCAUAACAACCCCGAACAUGUUAGGAGCGAUCAUUAUGGAAUCAAACACCCGUAACCGGUAACUAAGGCGGCAAUAACGGAACAAAGCACCCGGCAAAAGGCUAGGCCUCCCGUCAUUUACCAAGUAUAUAGGUGCAUUAAUUAAAUAACAGAAUUUAAUAUAAUGAUAUCAAGCUCAUGUCAUCACAUGAGUUUAAAACACCUGCAACUAGCAAUGCUAGCAUUAGUAGGUGAGCAAGCCUACUUAGCCACACAAGUUUGCUCGGAAGGAGAACGGUGUUUGGGCUCAUGGCAUUUCAAGAGGCAAUUUAAUUUCAGUGGUAGGCAGCGAGCAAUAUGACAUGGAAACGAAACUAACAUAACAAGUCUAGAGAUGGAAUCAAGGUCAUAUCAUCUUGCCUGUGAUAUCCUCAGCUUGGAAUGGUUCUGGUUCGUCCUGCACGUACUCUUCUGACUCCACGUAUUCGUUCUCCGAUCCCGGUGCUACCCAACAUAAAAACAACAGCCAAUGAACAGAAGCACCACAAGAUGCAACAAUCACAUGACGCAUGAGAUGAAAAUUGAGCAUGCCCCACUAUUUCUAUCACUAGCACAAGUAAAAUAAACUACUGCAAGUUUCUGGACAGAACUGUACUCUAAGCUAUUUUUACAUGCAUGAGAAUGACAUGAACAGAUGCGGCUCGUGAAAACGGUGCAAAACCAUAUAAAGAACAUUGCAAACGGAGCUACGGUUCAACGGGAAUCAACGAAACAAGAUAUGAAGCUCUACGUGGAAGUUUCAACACCACACUCACAAUUGGCACAAAUCUGGUAUUCCCAGGUUGCCAAGACAAGUAACAACCCAACAUGAGUGGAUUGAAGCAAGGAAGAACACCACAACAUCAACUAAGCACACACAUUGACCAAAAUGACAAAACUGCAUAAUCUGCCAUAAUCUGCAUCUUAGCUCUUUGGGAGCUGCAUGCAACAUAGCUACAGGUCUUCAAACAUGACAAAUAAUAUAUGUGGCUGUAUCCAACCAAGAACACUACAAGCACCAGCAAGAAUCACAACAAAAGGAAUUAAACUCUAGAAGAUACAAGGCCACAAACUUUCCCAAAACCACCAGAUCUCAGGGACUUAGUGAAAAUUCCUGCACCUGAGUUUCUGUCUCUGUUCUGAAGCUUUUUGACAGCAAUCAAAAAACAACCUACUGGACUUAAAAUGAUUUGAAAUUUGACAGGGAGCUUCACAUACUUACCAGGUUAAAAAUCCUAGCACUGAACUAAGGCUAGUUCUCAACAGAAUGACCAGCACAUCCUCCUCUAUAGGGGAAGAAAAUGUUUCCAGAAUCCCAGACUUAGUGAAAUUUCAGAUUUCACUAAUCUGGAAUUUUUCAGCCACAUGCCCACUUUGUCUAGGCAUAGUUUGCACACACAUAACACCAAGUGAUGAAUGACACCACUAUGGUGUAGAGCAAAACCCCUACUACUAUCACACAAAAGCUCAUGCCCUUGGGCUCCACCUAUUCCAUGGAAUCAAAGAUCAAACUUGCAACAAAACUGAAUAUGUCAACUCCAUAAGGUAUCCUACUAAGACUUCAACUACAAAGGUUGGGUUCAUGUGCACAAUGACAAAGUGACAUGGGGGUUUGAACCCCAUGUUUGUGUCAUGCACAUCAACAACACCAAUACCUAUCACAAGCCAACCCCACACACAACAUGCCCUCUCUCAUAUUAAACAUGAGGAGGUGCUCAACUUGCAAAGGUGGGAAGGUCCACACACACACAUAUGUCAAGCAUAACAUAUAGCUAGUCCUACCCAAUCUAGUUAGAACAUACACUAACUACACUCACAUCAUGAUAGCAACACCUACACACCCUAGCUUGCUCAUGUGCACAUCAAGGCUCAUCAUGCCUUGGCAUGUGUGAGGCUCACACACACAUCAAUCACACUAGCACCACAUGGUGCAAGAGCCCAACUCCAAGCACAAGGGAAACACACUCACAUCAUAACUAUUCUAGUGCAAACCACAAGCCAAUACUCACACAUCAUGGUGUAGCUCAAAUCCUACACUCAUGCUCACAUGGGUGUGUAUUCCCAAGUGUGUGGGGAGACACACACACAUACACAAAACUACUACCACCAAAGCUUAAACUCAAGGGCUUGUACAAUUGCACAAGCAUGUGUGUAGGGUCACACACACACUUGCACACACACUCACCCUCAAGCACACACUCACACACACAUAAAUCUACACACCUACCCUAACACACAUGAACCCUACAUACAUACUCUCUCUCACUCCUUCAUCAAACAACAGGGAAGUUAAAAAAAACUAUAAGGGCAUUGUACCACAUUGAUCUAGGCAUAGAGUAGCAAACAAAGCAAGGGAAAAACAACAACAAAUCAGAAAGAAAGAAAAGGGAAAAAAUGGGGUCUCUCUGGGAUUCGAACCCCAGAGCCCCUGGUGCAACACACCACACACAUCCACUGCGCUGCUGCUACUGCUGUUGACAAAGGAGAUGGAAUAAGCAGGGUAAGGCUUCCCUGAAGCCCUCUGAACCGAAAAACAAGCAAACAAAAGACAAUGCCGAGGGGGGGACUCGAACCCACGCCCUCCUCAUCAGGCACACGCUCUACUACCACUACGCUACGGCUCGACAACUGGCACAUCCUCAUUGUGAAAACAGAAGAAGGCCUCUCUGCUGCUACGAGGUGUCCCGCCGGCAACCGUACCAUAGGGAGCUGGCGGCGCCUCUCACGACCAUCUACGGCAGGAAGUAACCUCGGCGGGGGACGCAGGGAACCCAGGGGUUCCGUUUUCGCUCUAAGCACGGGAAAAGGUGCCCGCUUGGCGCCAUGUCACUGCACCGGAGCUUCUGCUGCAACGACGCCGUCAUGGUCUACCGUCUACUCCGGCAAAGCGUCGGUCACUCCUCUCCUACGCAUGCUACGCCGAGAGGGGGAGCGAAGAAAAGGUACUGCAGCUCACCUCGGCUCACCUACGGGAACGAACGAAGAGGAAGGAGGGGGAGCGAGCCGAUGCAGAGGAGGUGGCCGGCCGGGGAAGACGUGGACGACGAGGACGUCGAGGAUGUCGAGGACGUCGACGGGUGGCUGCGGGAACGCGACCUCCUCGGCCACCGCGUCCUCCUGGCACUGCUGACGGGGCGAGAAGUCGUCUCCUGCUGCCGCUAUGAGCUCAACGAGCUCCUCUCAUGGCGGCCUGUGGGGUUCUGCCUGACGGCGCGAGGGACGAGGGGAGGGAAAAAACGGCGCCCUAGGGUUGCGGGGAGGAGGGCCGGUCGCUUAAAUAACCUCGGGAGGCACGCUUGGAGCCACCAGAUCAAGGGGAAGGGAGAUCAGUGGUGGAGCGUUGAUCGUACGAGCGUGACGUCGGGGAAGAAGAAGACGCGCCACUAGCUGGGCUGCUACAGCGAGGAGUUACGGGCCAGGAAGAGGAGCUGCAGCGAGAGAAAGAGAGGAAUGGGCCGCCAGGGGGAGAAAGCCCACCUUAGGCGCCACAUAAGGAAGAAAAAAAACAUCCUAAGCUAUUUCCUGAUAACAGAAAUAACAGAGAGAAAAAGAAAAGUCCAAGAUAAACUACAAGUGCUAAAAUAAAAAUGGCACUUGCAUUGGACAUGUAAAAUCUAACCCUAAUUAAUAAAAAUAGAAACAAGAGUCUAGGAGCACAUAAUUAUUUUACAAAACAGAAUUUACUUGGUCUGUUUUGUAAUUAUAUGCCCCUCAAAACAUGUUUUAGAAAUAGCAAACACACCACUCCGUACCCCACACAUAACCUGUUAAACCAUGGGCAUUUUUAAAAGAGGGAAGGGAGAAGGGAAUCUUGACAUAGGAGAAAUAGAGAGGAGGAGUGGAGAAGGUGGUUGGUUUUGAAAACUAAGCAGUUGCUAACACAUGCACCACUCCACUCAAGCCACACAAGCAUGAAAUCACAAGACACAUGACCACAAGAUUAAAAGCACCACAUGGAAUCAUAUGACCACAUGCACCAACACCUAACACAUGAAAUGAUAUGAUAUGCAUGCACGCAAGGGAAGAAAUAAAAGGACACAUGAAAUCAUCCAAGCAUAGGACACUCUCAUAUCAAUGACAAGGUGGUCCCACAUGAAGUAGGUCCAAAUAGGUUAGGUUUUACACUUGGGGCAUUACACUAAGGCUCUGCCCAUAUACUUUCGUACCCCAUACUUCUACUGUCAGACUUAUACCCACGACAGUUGGCGCCCACCGUGGGGCAGGCGUCUAAGCGACUUCCGGCGAGUUUGCGAUUUCAUCUUUUCGUCAUGUCAUCCGACGGAGAUCUGUGCAUGGGUCAUGAGAUCCUCUUCGGUGCACUCUCCUUCAUCGCCGACGAUUCGGCAUGGCUUUGGGAUGCGCCCCUAGACGUCGAGGGGCUUCCGAGUCACGGGGCCACGCACUUCCGUGCUAGUUCCUGCGGCGUUCUUCUUCUCCAGCCAUCGACCCUGGUGUCGAUCUUUGCCCCCGGUGUCGAUCUUCGCCCCUGUCACGCGCCGCAACAAGCAAUCCCGUCGUCCGCGGCUCCAGCGUUGGGUGCGACACGCCAUAGCGCGACAAAACAUGUCCUCCCAAGUGGCGGUGCUCGAAUCGGUUGUGGUCCCGCCGUCGUCCCAGUGCUUGGAGUCAGUUCUGACUGAACUACCUUCCGAGUAUCAGGGUCACGGGCCUGCAGCCGAAGUACUCAUGGCCGAUUCGCACGAAGGUCCCCUCGGGACUGGUCGGAACGAGCGUGAGUUCGGAGAAUCAUCCGGCGCUCGUCGUCAGCACCAUCGUUCUUCCAGUCGACGCACUCACCAGAGCAACGUCGAGGUGUUCCGCACACCCGUCCUCAACUUGGCUGCAGCCGCCAGGAUAUCUGAUUCUCUCCAGCCGACUGAUUCGGAGGCUGGUAGAGGAAUUGAGCAGAUCCGCGCCUUGUUGCAUACGGCGCAGCAGCAAAAUUCAGCGGUCUCCCAGUCGCACAACAGGAUCCACAACAGUUCUAUUCAAGCGAACAUGCAUCGGUCGGUUUUCAGUCCCGACUCUCAUCAGCGACGCAGAGGGGGCAGCCGUUCCAGGGACCCGUGUCGGAAUCCGCUUCCCAUUCGGUCUCAUCCUGAAGAUCGUCGCCGUUCGCGUACUCCUCCGUGGAGUGGGCCUUACGGACCCCGGCAUUACGAUGACCGUCGUUCGGGCGGUGGCGCGCAUGAUCCAAGACCUGAUGCAAGAGGGUACAUCACCCAAAAGAAGGUCGAUAGAAGUCGAGCCCACCGUGAUGGUCACGAUAGAGACCGUCCGAGUGGAAGCAGGACCGUUGUUUCUGGCCCCGAGUGCUUCAGUCGGGCCAUCCGCUCAGCUGACAUCCCUCCCAACUUCCGAUUGGCGUCGGGAAUCAACAAAUUCAAAGGAGAGUCCAAACCAGAAACUUGGUUGGACGACUACAGAGUGGCGGUCCAGAUCGGUGGCAGAGAUGACCAUGUUGCCAUGAAACAUCUCCCACUGAUGCUCGACGGUUCGGCGCGAGCUUGGCUAAACCAGUUGGCUCCGUCAAGCAUCUACAGUUGGGCAGAUCUAGCCCGAGUCUUCAUCAGGACCUUCGAGGGAACGUGCAAACGCCCUGCUGGUCUCGUAGAGCUUCAACACUGUGUCCAGAAGCAAAACGAGCCCUUGCGCGAUUUCAUCCAGCGCACGACGACCCUCUACCACACGGUGGAGAAUGUCACAGAGCACCAAGCAGUCUGCGCCUUCAAGGCAGGCGUUCGGUACAGAGAUCUGUACCUGAAGUUUGGUCGGACAUGCGACAUCUCCAUGAGCAAGAUGAUGGAGAUAGCCGCGCGCUAUGCAAAUGGAGAAGAGGAGGAUCGCAUACGUAGCGGCAAGCAUAAAUCAGUCACCGACGGAGAUGGGAGCAACACUCAAAAGCAGAAACAGAAAGCUCAAUCCACUCCGCAAGCAGAGGCGGCAGCCGUUAGAAAUGCUAAGUUCAAAGGCAAGGGGAAAGAAAAGUACACCCCCAAGAAGAGGCAGUCAGGAAAUUCCAUCCUAGAUCAACCGUGUCCAAUCCACACGAAGACGGAGGAAGAAGGCAAUGUCAUAUUGCCGAAGCAUAACACUCGGCAGUGUCGCCUCCUGAUCCAAGGAUUUGGCGAAGGACAGCCGAGUGAGAAGGACACCGAGCAAGAUAAUGAGGACAAGGAGGAUCCGUUCCCACAAGUCCAUGCAACGUUGAUGAUUUUUGCUGAUGUGGAAAGCAAAAGUCGACUGAAGCUGGUCAACAGGGAGGUAAACAUGGCAACCCCAUCCACUCCCACGUUCCUCAAGUGGUCACAGACUGCAAUCACCUUUGAUCAGUCAGACCACCCAGCACACGUACCCACCCCAGGGAGGCAAGCUUUGGUCGUUGACCCGGUGGUGGAAGGAGGUAGGCUGCGCAAAGUCCUCAUGGACAGCGGCAACGGCUUGAAUAUCAUGUACGCCGAUACUCUCAAGGGAAUGGGCAUUCCGAUGUCCAGACUUAGCGAGAGCAGUGUGCAGUUCCAUGGAGUCGUCCCAGGAAGAAAGGCCAAAUCACUCGGCCAGAUUGCGUUGGAUUUCGUCUUCGGCUCUGACAAGAACUUCCGCAAAGAGAAGUUAACAUUCGAGGUGGUAGACUUCCAGAGUGCAUACCAUGCGAUUCUGGGCCGUCCGACAUAUGCGCGUUUCAUGGCCCGUCCAUGUUACGUCUAUUUGAAGCUGAAGAUGCCCGGUCCCAAAGGUGUGAUUACUGUCACAGGCAAUCGGCAGCGGGCCGAGGAGUGUCUACAGCAGGGGUCGAGAAUUGUUGAUCAUCAGAUGGCUAUACUCGAACUGGAUGAGUACAAGAAGACCGCCGACCCCGCUGACCUGAUGCGUUCAAAGAAGCCAGCUUCCGAGUCCGCAUUCCAGUCGGCGGGAGACAUGAAGAAAGUCAGCAUCCACCCGACGGACGACACCGCCGCCCCGACAAACAUCUCCACCACCCUUGAUCGAAAACAGGAAGCCGAGCUCAUCCAAUUCCUCCAUGAGAUCUGGGACAUUUUUGCAUGGAAGCCUGCUGACAUGCCAGGUGUACCCAGGGAGUUGGCUCAACACCGACUGCAUGUGGAUCCUGCUGCUCGGCCCGUCCGAGAACGCCUGCGUCGGUCCGUCGCGCACAAGAGGAAAGCAAUCGGAGAGGAGGUGGCUAAACUUUUGGCAGCCAACUUCAUUCGCGAGGUACAGCACUCCGAGUGGCUCGCUAAUGUUGUCAUGGUGCCCAAGAAGGACAAGUCUCUCCGUAUGUGCAUCGAUUUCAAGCAUCUCAAUAAGGUCUGUCCGAAAGAUCACUUCCCACUCCCCCGCAUUGAUCAAAUCGUUGAUUCGACUACGGGUUGCGAGUGCUUAUCCUUCCUUGAUGCCUAUUCGGGCUAUCAUCAGAUCCGUCUGUAUGGUCCAGAUGAAUUAAAAACAGCCUUCAUCACCCCAUUCGGGUGCUUCUAUUACAUCAUUAUGCCAUUCGGUUUGAAGAAUGCAGGAGCAACUUUUAUGCGCAUGAUCCAAAAAUUCCUCCUAGACCAGAUCAGUCGAAAUGUGGAGGCAUAUAUGGAUGAUAUCGUUGUCAAGUCACGCAAAGGUUCCGACAUGCUGACUGACUUGGCAGAAACAUUUGCCAACCUACGUAGGUACGAUAUCAAGCUCAACCCAGCCAAGUGUUCAUUCGGCGUUCCCAGCGGGAAGUUACUCGGUUUCUUCGUUUCCGAAUGAGGGAUCGAUGUCAACCCCGAAAAGAUCGGGACCAUUGUUCGAAUGGAGCGGCCGGUAAGAGUACAUGAUGUUCAAAAGCUCACAGGUUGGCUAGCGGCUUUGAGCAGGGUUAUCGCUCGACUCGGCGAGAAGGCGUUACCUUUGCACAGACUCUUGAAGAAGUCAGAUACCUUCGAGUGGAUAGACGAAGCCCAAAUCGCAUUCGACGACCUCAAAGCCCUGCUUUCCACCCAGCCGGUUCUUACUGCCCCGCUCAGUAAAGAACCCCUUCUUCUGUACAUCGCGGCUACAAAUCCAGUCGUCAGCACCGUUCUGACAGUCGAACGCGAAGAAGAAGGCAAAGCGUACAAGGUUCAGCGGCCAGUAUAUUAUGUUUCCGAAGUCUUGACUCCUUCCAAGCAGAGGUAUCCCCAUUAUCAGAAGCUUAUUUAUGGGAUCUACAUGACUGCAAAGAAGGUGGCUCAUUAUUUCCAAGACCACUCGGUAUCUGUCAUAUCUGAUGCUCCGUUGUCGGAAAUUCUCCACAAUCGGGACGCAUCAGGCCGAGUGGCAAAGUGGGCAAUGGAGAUGCGAUACUGCGACAUCAAGUUCGAAGCCAAGAAAGCUAUAAAGUCUCAAGCUCUUGCUGAUUUCAUAGCGGAAUGGGUAGAACAACAGCAACCGACUCACAUCUACUCGGCUCAUUGGACCAUGUUCUUCGAUGGGUCCAAGAUGUUGAAUGGCUGCGGCGCCGGCGUAGUGCUCAUAUCCCCGAAAGGUGAUAAACUCAAGUAUGUGUUGCAGAUCCAUUUUGAUUCUUCCAACAACGAAGCAGAGUACGAAGCUCUCCUUUACGGGUUGCGCAUGGCCAUCACACUCGGCGUCCGUCGCCUGAUGGUCUAUGGCGACUCAGAUCUAGUGGUUAAUCAAGUAAUGAAGGAGUGGGAUGUAAGGAACCCCACCAUGACUGCAUACUGCAACGCAAUAAGGAAGCUCGAGAAGAAGUUCGAAGGUCUGGAACUUCACCAUGUUCCCCGACUAAAAAAGCAAGCAGCAAAUGAAUUGGCAAAACUUGGAUCCACUCGGAGACCGGUCCCGAGUGAUGUCUGCCUCGAGCACCUACACCUCCCCUCGGUAAAAGAAGAUCCUUUUACAGAGGAACCAGUACAACCGAAGAGCUCAAUAGAUCAGACUGAAGUCGAGGUCCCCGCUGUGGUUGAUUUGAUCAUGGAGAUUCUAGCUGUCAUUCCCGAAUGGACUAUGCCGUUCAUUGCGUACAUCAUGAGGCAAGAGUUACCAGAAGACGAAGUCCAAGCUAGGCAGAUCGUUCGCAGGUCGAAGUCCUUCACCGUCAUUGAUGACCAGUUAUACAGGGAAAGUGUUUCAGGCGUCCUUCAGCUGUGUAUCUCUCCUGAGGAGGGGCAGUUAAUCUUGGAAGAAAUUCACUCGGGAACCUGCGGUCAUCAUGCCUCCUCAAGGGCAAUCGUUGCGAAAGCAUUCAGAGCUGGUUUCUUCUGGUUGUAGGCGAAUGAAAUGGCAAAAGAUAUAGUCGACCGUUGCGAAGGUUGUCAGUUCUAUUCAAACAAGUCCCACAAGCCAACGUCAGUGCCGAUGACAAUUCCUCUUGCUUGGCCAUUCGCCGUGUGGGGAUUAGAUACAGUCGGACCAUUCAGAACAGGCCAAGGAGGAUUGACUCAUCUGCUGGUAGUAGUCGACAAGUUUACCAAGUGGAUUGAAGCCAAGCCUAUCAAGAAGCUUGAUGCCCUUACGGCCAUCAAAUUUAUCAGAGACAUCAUCGCCAGAUACGGGGUUCCACACAGCAUAAUCACCGACAAUGGCACAAGCUUUGACUCGGACAGGUUCAAAGGUUUUUGCGCAGGCCAAGGUAUCCGAGUGGAUUUUGCGUCCGUGGCGCACCCCCAAACAAACGGGCAAGCAGAGCAGGCGAAUGGACUUAUUCUUCAAGGGUGUAAGCAUCGACUCCUGUGAGAAGUUGGACAUGCCGCCGGCGCAUGGGUCACCGAGCUGCCUUCGGUGCUAUGGGGCCUCCGCACAACUCCGAAUAGAUCGACAGGGCGAUCCCCAUUUUUCCUCGUUAAUGGAGCAGAGGCAGUCCUUCCGAGUGACUUGCUUCACAACUCUCCACGAGUCGAACUCUUCUUCGAAGCCGAAGCAGAGCAAGCCAGGCAAGACGGAGUGGACCUUUUAGAAGAGGAGCGCGAGAUGGCAUUGAUUCGUUCAACAAUUUAUCAACAAGAUCUGCGAUGAUUUCAUGUGCGGCACGUCAGGAGCCGCACGUUCCAAGCAGGCGACUUGGUGCUCCGAGUGGAUCAACAGAGACCACACAAGUUGGCUCCCUCCUAGGAAGGACCGUUCAUCAUUUCUAAGGUGCUGAACAACGGAGCAUAUCGACUCUACAACCUCGACAGAGAAACGGACGAGCCGCAAGCAUGGAAUGGAGAUUUACUGAAGCGCUUCUACACAUGACCGCCGACAGAGAUAAUGUAAAGAACAAGAGCCAUCGAAGUAAUACAAAGCAGAUUAAUUUCUUGCCGAUUCAAAAUUCUUCCGCGUUUGCAGACUCCGGUCUAAAAAACUAACUCCGAGUGUGCACUAAAAGUCACACUCGGGGACUUGGCUGCGACCCAGAGUAGCCUAAGUACAAACUCGCUCCGAGUGUCCACUAAAAGUCACACUCGGGGACUUAGCUGCGACCCAGAGUCGCCUAAGUAAAAACUCGCUCCGAGUGUGCACAAAAAGUCACACUCGGAGACUUAGCUGCGACCUAGAGUCGCCUAAGGAAAAACUCGCUCCGAGUGUGUACGAAAAGUCACACUCGGAGACUUAGCUGCAACCCAGAGUCGCGUGAGUACAAACUCGCUCCGAGUGUGCACUAAAAGUCACACUCGGGGACUUAGCUGCGACCCAGAGUCGCCUAAGUACAAACUCGCUCCGAGUGCACACUAAAAGUCACACUCGGGGACUUAGCUGCGACCCAGAGUCGCCUGAGUAAACAACUCGCUCCGAGUGUGGACGAAAAGUCACACUUGGGGACUUAGCUGCGACCCAGAGUCGCCUAAGUAAACAACUCGCUCCGAGUGUGCACGAAAAGUCACACUCGGAGACUUAGCUGCGACCCAGAGUCGCCUAAGUAACAACUCGCUCCGAGUGUGCAUGAAAAGUCACACUCGGAGACUUAGCUGCGACCCAGAGUCGCCUAAGUAAAAAGCUUCCUCCGAGUGGGCACUCGAGAUACACUCGGAGGCUUAGCAGACCCUCAUUGAGGCUCAUGUGGAUGUGAAGACAACUGAAAAUUACAUGCUCCGCAUGUUUGCCAUUGGCUUCACCAAGAGACGCCCAAACAAAAACCACGAGCCAAAAUCGUGUAAAAAAACUCAGCGAAAGAAGAGCAAAAGAUCCGGUUUGAAUUCAAAUUGGUUCUGCGAUCAGUCGGCUCGGUGUGAAUCUAGUUUAUCCACACCGAGCCACGAAUGUACCGGCCAACAACAGUGGCCAAAGUUUAAUACAGACUCUACUCGGCAUACCGAGGUAAAUGUGCGUUAAGCAUAAAGUUUAUCAAGCGUCGCCGGGACUGGCAGGCUCCACAAAGGUGUCGAGGUCGAUUCCAUCUGCAAUCCGAGUGGCUGUGUCGAGGAAGGUCUCCAUGAAAUCUUCAAAUCGAAGCUUCUUGGUGUUGGCGACCUGCAACGUCUUCAGCUUGUCUUCGCGGGCUUCCUUGCAGUGCACUCGGACGAGAGACAGCGCCACGUCCGCACCACACCGAGCGGCAGACUUCUUCCAUGCCUGCACUCUGCUUGGAACGUCCUCCAGUCGAGUCAUCAACCCCUCUAUCUCGUUCCGAGAGUCAUCUUCAGGCCACAACUCCUUGUCGAUUCGGCCGACAACUCCUCUCAGGCGACCAAUGAAAGGACCCACCCUGUUAAGGCGAGAAUUCACUCGGAACAUGUCCCGGUUAGCUUCAUCGCCGAGUGGAACAUUCGGAACAAGCGACCGUUCAAUUUCGGCUGUUUCGGCCUCAACGUCCCGACAGAAAUCUGCAAAGAAAAGACAAGCAAAAAAUAAGCGCGGAGUGAACUCCAAAGUCAAAAAGCACUCGGCAAGAACUUACCACCAAGUAGUGCGACCAUCUUCUUCGCCCAGUCGCCGACGUAGUUCUCCUGCGCUCUGCACCGAGUGUUCAUUACCUUCAGCUGGCCCAUCCAUUCGGAUCUCUCCCUCUUCAUUUUUUCUACUUCGGCUAGCAGUGCCUUGUUAGUCUCCCGAGACUCCUCCAAAGAUUUCUCUCGUUCAGCGAGAGCCUUCUUCAUGCCAGCCAGAUCAUUCACAGCUACCUCCAAGUUCGCAGCAAGUUGAGUCUUCUCAGCCUUCAUAUCAUUAUAGGCCGAUCCCAUUUCACAAGUCUUCUGUCAAAGAGACACCAAGGGAGGAUCAGCCAUAUUCAACAAGGAAAAAGUCUCGACAGAUAUGACAAAACAAUCAAAGCUCAAAAUUCUUCAGACCCCUACCCAUGCAAGCAAUCGACAGCGGUCUCGGGGACUACACCCAGUGGGUUCACUAAGAGUGACCCCACUGGUAUGAAGCUCGAACAGGUCGGCCCUAUUGAGCUCCAUAGCAAACCAACAACACUAUGAGAUUACUAUUACUCGACCCGAGUAACACUACUCUCGGGGACUACACCCAGUGGGUGCACUCGGCGUGCCCCCACUGGUACCAUUUGGGCAGAUCAACCUUGAUCUGUAGAGUUUAUGGAAAAUACAUAUAAAGACAACUGCCGGUGCAAGCACUUGACAGAAGUCUCGGGGACUACACCCACUGGGUUCACUCGGAGUGAACCCACUGAAAAAUCAACCUACUGUAUCCGAGUAUCUCACUGAAACCCCCAGUGGGUACCAAGAGGAAUGUAAACACUUACUGGCGCACUUACUCGGAUAGCAUCCCGAAGCUCCAAGCUCUUCUAGUACAGAGACGCGAUGGAGUCAUAUGCUCCCUUGGCGUCGCCCACCAUCAGCUCCACUUGCACCAUGGCGUCCUUGGUGGCUCCUACAUGAUCCUCCGGGAGGCGUCGGGCAUCAUAUUGAACAGCUGACGGACCCGGCAUGGCAGAAGGCUCCCUCGGCAUCCCGAGCUCUGCUCCAGUCGGUUCCGCAGUGAGGGCCACCGUCCAAGUUGGCGGAACACUCAUGGAGGGAUUGGCAGCAGGUUGGAUAACCCCAGAAGCAGGCGCCAAAGUUGGUUCCGACCUCCUUUGGUCGUCAUCGUCCAGAUGGAUCACCUCCGAAGGAAGCCCGACUGAACAAAAUGAAAAUACAGAAAAAGGUCAAGACCAAAGACAACACACGCGAAACGGUAGUACAGCUCUCGGAGUCGUGACAACGUACCUUGCUGGGACGUGGCGGCGUUACCAGUGUCCAUGGGAUCAUCAUCCGGAUGCGGCAGAGAGGUGGAGGAGGUAGCAGCUCUGUUGAGUGAAAUCCACUCGACAGAUAAACAUGAAUUCUCGAAAAGAAGAGUUCAAUCGGAUACUGAAGGAAGAUGGAAGAGUAAAGAUAUUUACGCUGAUGCGACCGGAACAACGAUCCUCAUCCGGGGCAAGGCUUUCCGAGGUUUAGGCCCGUUGGGUUUAGCCACCUUGGACGGCUGGUUCAUGGGUUCGGCAGAAGCACCCCUGGUUCUCUUCACACUCCGAGCACUCGGAGCCACGGGAGGAGCCGGUGGAGCAGCGGGGUCAUGAUGGCGCUUAGUUCGGUGUUCUGGUGGUGAGGGUGACGAGCUUUGCUCUCCACUCUCCUCCUCCUCCUCUUCUGUCUCCUCCUCCGUCUCCCCACUGUCAGAGACGUACUCGGUGCUAUCCGCGCUGCCCUCCAUGCUGCCUUCCUCUUCCUCGACUGGAUUCCCAUUCGGGACUGCAGAAUGCCAGUUCGUCCACUCCUGCACAAAACACAGUCGGCAACAUCAGUCGGCGAGAGAAGAAAAGCAAUAAAGCUGAGAAGGUUAAAAGCACUCGACGACAUGACACACCUCAUUCGGAGGAGGAUUUUCGGCGCGGAAGGCCUUCACCCGCCGAGCUCCCACGGGGUUAUCACACGUGCCCGUGAUGCUGUGGACCCAUGCGCUCACGGUCUCCUCGCUCACGUCUUCGGGAUGGGACCGAGUGGUAUCUGAAGGCCCCAUGUAAUGCCACAUAGCAUGGUCUCGGGCUUGCAGCGGCUGGAUGUGUCGAUCCAGAAAAGUCUCCAGCAGGUCCAUGCCGGUGACUCCCCUCCGGACGACGGCUAUCAGCGCGUCGACCAAAGGCUGGAUCUGGGUUCUUUCUCCCUUAGAGAGCGCAAGUUUCCUGGGAGGGCCCGGACGGUCUAAGUUGAAGGGUGGCAACCCACUCGAAGCAUUCGGGCAGGCAAUGUCCUCGCAAUAGAACCAGGACGAUUGCCAGUUCCUAACCGACUCGGAUAGUUGAAGGGAGGGAUAACUACUCUUUGUUUUCUUCUGAAAGCCUAAGCCCCCGCAGAGCUGGAGGAUGUGUGUCUUAUCAUCCGACUGGCUAAGCUUCUUAACAGUUUGGGAUCUAGCGGAGAAGACAUAUUUAAAUAGCCCCCAGUGGGGAGGACAUCCUAUGAAGCACUCGCAGAGGGUGACGAAUGCGGAAAGAUGAGCUAUCGCAUUCGGAGGAAAGUGAUGGAGCUGCGCCCCGAAGUAAUUCAUGAUACCUCGGAAGAAAGGAUGGGGAGGCAAGGAGAAACCCCUGGCCACGUGGCUGAGUAGCAGAACGCGCUCCCCCUCCUUCGGCGCCGGCUCCGUCUCGCCUUCCGGCAACCUCCAGGACUUGUUGGCGACCAUGCCGUGCUCCACCAGCUCCAGCACGUCGUUCUCCGUCACCGAGGAGGGGAGGAAGCCCCCCUAGAUCCAGCCCGCCGGCAGCGCCCGCUGCCGCUACUGAGUGGAGGCCGCCCCCUUCUUCUUCUUCUUCUGCGCGUCGAGCUUGCUGGUCUGCCCCUUUGUCAUGGCGAGGGCGACGGAUCCGCAGAGGAUGAGAGGAAAGAGGUGGCUUGAGGCGUGCAGGGAGUUGCGGGAGGAGCGAGAUUAAUGGGAGGAAGAUGAGCAGCGCAACAGGAAGGGCCGCCGGGAAAGCUUUAAUAGGCCUCCGACUGGGUCACCUACAAGUGGGCCCGAGAUCUUAUCCUCCCACCGGCUGCAGCAAGAUUGGUGAAGAAGAUAACGGCGCGGUAAUCGAGGAGGCAAAACCCACUCGAUGGCGAUCUCGUCAUCCCCGCUGAGCGAGCGGCAACUGAAAUUUGAGGAUCUCGGAAAAUCCGGCGCUGUCAGUUUGACCAGUCACGUCAAAAGAUUCCGCGGAAGCACUCGGUCCCUCACGGUUCGUUUCACUGGCAUAUUCACUCGGAUCACUAGUUGAAAUGAUAAAAUGGAUCGAGGCAAACAACGCUAAAGUCACCUCAAUACCAGUCGGUUCCAAACUCCAGACAUCACUUCAUCGUUCCAACCCCGAUCUAUUCGGGGACUAAUGAUGGGGUUAUAGUCCCAGGGUAGGGUCAUAGGUCUGCCCUAUAGGUCCUACCCAAGCACUAUCCUUCAUAGAAGACAAGGCCCUUAGACAGUUCCGACUGAACUAAGGACACCCCCAUCAUCCAGUCGGCGACGAUCCACUCGGAGCAUAUCUAACGUACCGACUGGAAUCCACUAUGUACAUCGUAACCUCCCAGGAGGGCAACGGUCAUACGUUUUCAUACACCAUUAUUAGCAUUUAAGGCUUACGUUACGAGUAACACCAGUUUUAACUCACCACAACUCCACCCCUGUCCACCGGACCGUUAUGAAGGGCAACACACUCUAUAUAAGCCGCCCUUCCCCACUGGUGCAGGGGUUGGCACUUGCUAUAAUCCCACAAUACACUCGACACAAAGCUCCCCAGAGCACUGAGACGUAGGGCUUUUACCUCCACCGCACAGGGGCCUGAACUCAUACAUCCUCGCCGUAGCUAAGGCUCUGCCCAUAUACUUUCGUAACCCAUACUUCUACUGUCAGACUUAUAGCCACGGCAGUCGGGAUUCGUUCUCUAUCUAGCACACAAGGAAAAGAAGGAGAAGCGACCCCCACGACACCUAAAGUCAACCCGUUCCAUACAUAAAAUAAAUGACAUAUAACUCAUCAUCAUCUUACCCAUUUAUAACUCAUGAAAGUCAUACAUGGAGCAACGACAAACUGAAACAUAACCGAUAUUAUCACUAAUACAUCCCGAAUAUUAUCAUACAAUAUCACUGAUAAAAACCCAGUUGACGUCUCAAGGUGCACGCGGUGGCAACCCAAAGAUAUAUAAGGAACCAUCACCAGAUCAUUGCUCGAGUGAUGUCCCUGGAGAACCUGGCAUCCAACGCAGCCAUGUAGCGACCGACGUGCUCGUCCUCCUCCCUGACACUGCGACGUACCACCUCCGUGGGGUCCAGAUCCCUCGCCACCGAUAAUGACCCACGCGACCGCUACCAUAGAAGCUCCGGGUCAACGAUGAGACCUGGAUUCCUCACCAAGGUGCGCCCCCCGGAAGGUAGCACCUCCCAGUGCCAGCCCGACGGAACCCAGUCCCGGACAUGCCAGCGCCUAUCAAGCAGGCUCUCGCUAACCACUCGACGAUGAGGAUGCGGGCCGGGCAUCGUCGACAUCAAUACAAAUUCCUCUGAGAAAAUUUUCUUAUUGUUUAAUGUUUUACUUUCUAGUUAUCAUUUAUACAAUAAUCAUCUGAUUUGAAUUUAGCUAGCGCCCACUACCUAUUUUUAUCAACAUGCAAGUAUGACACCAAAUAUAUAAUAAUAAAACAUAAUAUAUAUAUAUUGCAAAUAUUUCCGCAACAACAUUCAGGGCUUGAGCAAAUAUUUUGCAAAUAUACAAGAAUCAUAUCCUAGCAAGAACCCUAGGCAUGGGGAUAUGGCGAUGUCUCACAAGAGGUUUGGGUCGGUGUCGGGGUCGAGGUCGGGGUCGAGGUCGGCGACGGGCUCGGGGCGGGGCGGCAACGGCGACGGGUCGAGGGCGGCGGCGACGACGGGCUCGGGGCGGGGGAGGCGACGACGACGGGCUCAGGGCAGGGGUAGCGACGACGACGGGCUCGGAGGCGGCGACGACGACGGGCCCGAGGGCGGCGACGGCGACGGGCUUGGGGUGGGGGCGGCGACGGCGACAGGCUCGGGGGCGGCGACGACGACGAGCUCGGGGACGGCGGCGACGAGGAGGAGGAAUGGAUCGGUGGCGACGGCGCGGGGCAAAUGGGGAAAAUUCGACAACUCCCGCCUUAUAUGCGAAAACCUCUUGUCCCGGUUCGAGGAAAAAACCGGGACUAAAGGUCAAUUUUCAGUAGCCUAACGGGCGGGAAGAAGAGACCUUUAGUCCCGGUUUGUGCCGCAAACCGACACUAAAGGGUGUCUUUGGUCCCGGUUUGUACCAUCAACCGACACGAGCGGAAGUCUUUGGUCCCGGUUGGUGCCACAAACCGACACGAGUGUCCUGUGCCUGCUGCGUCCAAAGUGCUUGGUGAAGUACCACCAAAAACAAGAUCUAUUCUUCACAUGAUUCGGCAAAACCCUAGCUCCGCCAACCCUAUAUAAUCUCCUCCCAACCACAACGCCAGCUUUCCCCCGCCCACAGCCUCCAACCCCUCCCCCAACCCGAAAACCAUCGGCGGCGGCACAACGGGACUAGGGGAGAAGGAAGAUGGUGAAGUUCGUGAAGCCGGGCAAGGCGGUGAUCCUUCUGCAGGGCAGGUAUGCCGAGAAGAAGGCGGCGAUCAUGCGUGUGUUCAAGGAGGGCACCCGCGACCGCCCCUACGGGCACUGCCUGGUCGCCGGCUUGGCCAAAUACCCGAAGAAGGUGAUCCGCAAGGACUCGGCCAAGAAGUCACGCGUCAAGGUCUUUCUCAAGCUCGAGGAUAGGUUCAAGACCGGCAAGAACAUGUCGUUCUUCACCAAGCUUUGCAUGAUUCGACAUGAUUCAAGAAAUGCCAACAAAAUCUAUUCUUCACAUGAUUCGAUAUGAUUCGACAUGAUUCAAGAAAUUCCAACAAGAUAUAUUCUUCACAUGAUUCCACAUGAUUCAAGAAAUUCCAACAAGAUCUAUUCUUCACAUGAUUCGACAUGAUUCGACACGAUUCAAGAAAUUCCAACAAGAUCUAUUCUUCACAUGAUUCGACAUUAUUCAAGAAAUGCCAAACAAGAUCUAUUCUUCACAUGAUUCGACAUGAUUCAAGAAAUGCGAACCAGAUCUAUUCUUCACAUGAUUCAACAUGAUUCAAGAAAUGCGAACCAGAUCUAUUCUUCACAUGAUUCAACAUGAUUCGACAUGAUUCGAGAAAUUCCAACAUGAUCUAUUCUUCACAUGAUUUGACAUGAGUCAAGAAAUGCCAACAAGAUCUAUUCACAUGAUUCGACAUGAUUCAAGAAAUUCCAACAAGAUCUAUUCUUCACAUGAUUCGACAUGAUUCCACAUGAUUCGACAUGAUUCAAGAAAUUCCAACAAGAUCUAUUCUUCACAUUUCACCCACAUAGCAUGUGCUAAAAAGUUAAGAGGGUUGCCUCAAAAACUGGAUGCACUUCGUGUACAAACCGGACAAUCUCUUUCGAAGUAUAAGGGUUUCAUAUGAAUACUCAUCUGUUACAAAAGGCAUUUCAUUUUUUCAAACUUAUUUGAACUCCAGACUUUUUGUGUGUUCAAAAUGAACCAUUCAAGGCCACAUCAUCAAUUUUCAACACUUUCCAACAUCAUUUGGUUUUUUUCAUGCUUUUACUGAUUUUUUGGAGCUAAAUGACCCACAAGUUGAAAAGCACUACAAAUGAACUCUUAAUAGGUUGAAAGUUGGCAUGGUAUCAUCAUUUCACCCACAUAGCAUGUGCUAAAAAGUUGAGAGGGUUGCCGCAAAAACUGGAUGCACUUCGUGUACAAAUCAGACAAUCUCUUUUGAAGUAUGAGAGUUUCAUACGAAAACUCAUGUGUUACAAAAGGCAUUUCAUUUUUUUCGAACUUAUUUGAACUCCACACUUUUUAUGUGUUCAAAAUGAACCAUUCAAGGUCACAUCAUCAAUUUUCAACAUUUUCUGACUUCAUUUGGUAUUUUUCAUGCUUUUAUUGAUUUUUUGAGCUAAAUGACCCAAAAAUGGAAAAGCACUACAAAUGAACUCUUAAUAGGUUGAAAGUUGGCAUGGUAUCGUCAUUUCACCCACAUAGCAUGUGCUAAAAAGUUAGAGAGGGUUGCCGCAAAAAUUGGAUGCACUUCGUGUAAAAACGGACAAUCUCUUUCGAAGUAUAAGGGUUUCAUAUGAAUACUCAUGUGUUACAUAAGGCAUUUCAUUUUUUUCGAACUUAUUUGAACUCCAGACUUUUUGUGUGUUCAAAAUGAACCAUUCAAGGCCACAUCAUCAAUUUUCAACAUUUUCUGACUUCAUUUGGUUAUUUUUCAUGCUUUUACUGUUUUUUGGAGCUAAAUGACCCAGAAAUUGAAAAGCACUACAAAUGAACUCUUAUUAGGUUGAAAGUUGGCAUGGUAUCAUCAUUUCACCCACAUAGCGUGUGCUAAAAAGUUGAGAGGGUUGUCGCAAAAACUGGAUGCACUUCUUGUACAAAUCGGGCAAUCUGUUUCGAAUUAUGAGGGUUUCAUACGAAAACUCAUGUGUUACAAAAGACAUUUCAUUUUUUCGAACUUAUUUGAACUCUAGACUUUUUGUGUGUUCAAAAUGAACCAUUCAAGGUCACCUCAUCAAUUUUCAACACUUUCUGACUUCAUUUGGUAUUUUUCAUGCUUUUACUGAUUUUUUGGAGCUAAAUGACCCAGAAAUUGAAAAACACUACAAACGAACUCUUAAUAGGUUGAAAGUUGGCUGUGUAUCAUAAUUUCACCCACAUAGCAUGUGUUAAAAAGUUGGGAGGGUUGCCGUAAAAACUGGAUGCACUUCGUGUACAAAUCGGGCAAUCUCUUUCGAAGCAUGAGGGUUUUAUACGAAAACUCAUGUGUUACAAAAGGCAUUUCAUUUUUUUCAACUUAUUUGAACUCCAGACUUUUCAUGUGUUCAAAAUGAACCAUUCAAGGCCACAUCAUCAAUUUUCAAGACUUUCUGACUUCAUUUUGUAUUUUUCAUGCUUUUACUGAUUUUUGGAGCUAAAUGACCCAGAAAUUGAAAAGCACUACAAAUGAACACUUAAUAGGUCGAAAGUUGGCAUGGUAUCAUCAUUUCAUCCACAUAGCAUGUGCUAAAAAGUUGAGACGGUUGCCAAAAAAACUGGAUGCACUUCAUGUACAAAUCGGACAAUCUCUUUCGAAGUAUGAGAGUUUCAUACGAAAGCUCAUUUGUUACAAAAGGCAUUUCAUUUUUUCGAACUUAUUUGAACUCCAGACUUUUUGUGUGUUCAAAAUGAACCAUUCAAGGCCGCAUCAUCAAUUUUCAACUCCAGACAUUUCAUUUUUUCGAACUUAUUUCAUUUUUUCGAGAUGGGUGCGUGUAUUAAAAACCAUGACAUCAUAUCAUGAAUAGAGAAGUGACCAAAUUAAUAGAAAUUCAUCAUCACAUUAAAGAAAAAUUACAGUAGUGAUCAAAAUAAAUACAUAACGUUCUUAUAUAGUUCUCUUUAUUGAACAACAUAUAGCUCUCUAGAGCAUCUAAUUAGAACAUAUAUUAAAACUACUAAAUUAAAAUGCAACAACAAAUGCGAUCAUAACCACAACUAAGGUACAAAUUGAUCCAACGGCAUAAUGAUACCAAGCCUCAGUAUGAAUGGCAUAUUUUCUAAUGUUUCCAAUCUUCAAGCGCAUUGCAUUCAUAUUGAUCUUGUGAUCUUCACGCACCUCAGCAACAUCCAACUCCAAUAUAAUCUUCUCCUCUUCAACUCUUUGUAAUUUUUAUUUCAAGUAAUUGUUUUCUUUUUCAACCAAAUUUAACUUCUCGACAAGAAUUUUUAUGUGGGUUGGAAUUUCCGGUUCACAUAUCUCCUAGAUUAAAAAAUAUAUGCCACCUUGGUCAUCAUAAUUGUCAUAAACACUAAAUAAAAAAAUAGUCAUAAAAGAUAAUAUAUACCACAUCCGAAUCAUAGUCAGGACGAGGGCUGACGGAGGCAGAUACCAAAACCAUCACACUAUAUAAUAACAAACAAUAAUAGAAGUAAGAAAAUUACACAAGCAUCUAUCUAAAUCAUACAAGUAAGAACUCUUUUCUUUUAGAAAGAAGAUAAGAAGAAGAGACUAACCACGGUGGUGCCGAUGCCGAGAUGGACGCGGGUGAUCGACGGCGGUGAGGACGGGGAAGGGACACGGACGGACCGCCAAAGAUACACAAAACUACUGGAAAAUGGAGCUUGGACAAGGAACUUCGAGAGGAGAAAGCUUAAGUGCGGCUUGGGCAUUUCAUCGAACACCUCAUGUUCAUAGGAUGUGAGCUAGAGCACCACAAAGCUCUCCCAUGGCCGGCCAAAAAACAGAGCAGUGCACUUCUCUGCUCGCGGUCGGGUGGUAUAUAUAGGCCAAGCAUUGGUCCCGGUUUGAGGAGGGAACCGGGACUGAAGGACAACAUUUGGUCCCGGUUCCAGCCAAAAAACGGGACCAAUUGUUGUGGGCCAGGAGCGAGGCACAUUCUCCCAGUUCAUGUCUGGAACCGGGACCAAAGGGGCCAGACGAACCGGGACCAAUGGCCCACGAGGCCCGACCGGCGCCCUCGCCUCACGAACCGGGACCGAUGCCCCCAUGGGUCCCGGUUCGUAAGUGAACCGGGACUAAUGGGAUUUCAUCAGGUGGAUCAUAGCCCUCUUUUCUACUAGUGUCACCGGAGCUGUCUCCGGAGGAAGCUUGGAGGAAAUUCGGUUCCCCUCUCCGCUUGCAGGGAAGGAAGCAACCUCCUAGGUCCUAGUGACUGAGGCCUGGACCUCAGCUAGGAUCUCCCAGUCUUCGGUGGCCAGUGUAUCAACUUCGGCCUGGACCUCUCGGUCCUUGGCGUCCAAUGUACACACCUCGGCCAUCACCACCUAGUCUCUGGCCGGUGGGGCCUAGUGGGAUACCACCUCAAUCGCUUCAUCCGAGGCCUGGGGAAGGGUAGCGCGGGACGCAUUCCCGCUCUCUGCCAGCUCGGCUGGCUGCGAACCCCCCUCUGAGACCUAGUCCAUCAGAAGGUCGUAAACAGGGCUGUGACAAGAACAACUCGUUUCUCACUACUAACAAAUAUAUGUAUAGAACAUUGGAUUUCAUACCUUUGGGACGGGGGCUUGACCCUUGCUACCACUUGAGCUUGCGUUGGUUUUUCCCUUGAAGAGGAAAGGGUGAUGCAGCAGAGUAGCAGUAAGUAUUUCCCUCAAUUUGAGAACCAAGGUAUCAAUCCAGUAGGAGUAUCAAGGCAAGUCUCCAAAGUACCUGCGCAAAAACAAACAAACUUGCACCCAACGCUAUAAAGGGGUUGUCAAUCCCUUCACGAUUGAUUGCAAGGUGAGAUCUGAAGGCGGAAAGUGCAACAAAGUGAAAGUGUAGAGCUGAAAAUAUGAAGUGAAGUAGACCCGGGGGCCAUAGUGUUCACUAGAGGCUUCUCUUAUGAUAGCAAGUAUUACGGUGGGUGAACGAAUUACUGUCGAGAAAUUGAUAGAAUCGCGCAAAGUCAUGAUGAUAUCUAAGGCAAUGAUCAUACAGAUAGGUAUCACGUCCAAGACAAGUAGACCGAUACUGUCUGCAUCUACUACUAUUACUCCACACAUCGACCGUUAUCCAGCAUGCAUCUAGUGUAUUGAGUUCAUAACAAACAGAGUAAAGCCUUAAGCAAAAUGACAUGAUGAAGAGGGAUAAAUUCAUGCAAUAGAUAUAAACCCCAUCCUUUUACCCUUGAUGGCAACAACACGAUGCGUGCCUCGCUACCCCUUCUGUCACUGGGUGAGGACAUCGCACGAUAUGAACCUAAAACCAAGCACUUCUCCCAUUGCAAGAAUUAUAGAUGAAGUUGGCCAAACAAACCCCACAAGUCGAAGAGAAUUACAAGGAUACGAAAUCAUGCAUAUAAGAGAUUAGAGGAAACUCAAAUAUCAUUCAUAGAUAAUCUGAUCAUAAAUCCACAAUUCAUCGAAUCUCGACAAACACCCCGCAAAAGGAGAUUACAUUGGAUAGAUCUCCGUGAAGACCAUGGAGAACUUUGUAUUGAAGAUCCAAGAGAGAGAAGAAGCCAUCUAGCUACUAGCUAUGGACCCGAAGGUAUGUGGUGAACUACUCAUGCAUCAUCUAAGAGGUAAUGGUGUUGAUGAAGAAACCCUCCGUGUCCGAAUCCCCCCUCCGGCAGGGCACCAAAACGGUCCCCAGAUGGGAUCUUGCGGAGACAGAAGCUUGCGGCGACGGAAAAGUAUUUUCAUGGCGCUCUCCCGUGGUUUCAGAUUUUUAGGGAAUUUAUAGGUGGAAUAAGUAGGGCAAAGGAGCCACGGGGGGCCCACAAGCCUGCUAGGCGCGCCCCCAAGCCGCGCCUAGGGGGCUUGUGACCUCCCCCGGGGUCCUUUGCCUUGGUUCUCAAGUUCCCCGCGUAUCUUCUGUUACAGAAAAAAUCAUUCCGAAGAUUUUAUUCUGUUUGGACUCCGUUUAAUAUUCUCCUAUAAAAAGGGUCAAAAACACGGAAAAAACAUGAACUGGCACUUGGCACUGAGUUAAUAGGUUAGUCCCAAAAAAGAUAUAAAAUGCAUAGAAAACAUCCAAAGUUGACAAGAUAAUAGCAUGGAACCAUAAAAAAUCAUAGAUACGUUGGAGACGUAUCAAGCAUCCCCAAGCUUAACUCCUGCUCGUCCUCGAGUAGGGAAGUGAUAAAGACUGAAUUUUUGAUGUGGAAUGCUACCUAACAUAUUUGUCCUUUGUAACUUCUUUCAUGUGACAUGAAUGUUCAGAUCCGUAAGGUUCAAAACAAUAGUUUGCUAUUGACAUGAAAGCAAUAAUACUUCAAGCAAACUAGCAAGGUAAUCAUGAACUUUCAAAAUAACUAGGCCAAAGAAAGUUAUCCCUACAAAAUCAUAUAGUCUGGCUAUGCUCUAUCAUCCCCACACAACAAAUUUAAAUCAUGCACAACCCUGGUAUUGGCCAAGUAAUUGUUUUCGCACUCUUACUUUCUCAAACCUUUUUCAACUUCCACGCAAUAUAUGAGCGUGAGCUAUAGAUAUAGCACUAUAGGUGAAAUAGAGUGUGGCGGAGGUUGUGAGGCAAAAAGGAGGAGAUGGUCACAUCGAAUCGGCGUAUCAAAGGGCUAUGGAGAUGCCCAUCAAUAGAUAUCAAUGUGAAUGAGUAGGGAUUACCAUGCAACAGAUGCACUUACAGCUAUAAGUGUGUGAAAGCUCAAAAGGAGAACUAGUGAGUGUGCACCCAACUUGUUUGCUCACGAAGACCUCGGGCAAUUUUGAGGAAGCCCAUCAUUGGAAUAUACAAGCCAAGUUAUAUAAUGAAAAUUCCCACUAGUAUAAGGAAGUGUCAAAACGAGAGACUCUCUAUCAUGAAGAACAUGGUGCUAUUUUGAAGCACAAGUGUGGAAAAAGAUAGUAGCAUUGUCCCUUCUCUCUUUUUCUCUCUUUUUUUUGUUUGGGCUCUUUGGCCUCUUUUCAUUUUUUUGGUGGGCAUCUUUGGCCUAUUUUUUUAUUUCCUCGCAUGGGACAAUGCUCUAAUAAUGAUGAUCAUCACACUUUUAUUUACUCACAGCUCAAUGCUUAGAGCAAUGAUGACUCUAUAGGAGAUGCCUCCGGCAGUGUACCGGGAUGUGCAACGAUCUAGCUUGGCGUAUGACGUUGAAACAUCUCGCUAGCUAUCUUGUGAUCAUGCAAUGGAAAUAUGAAAGUGACGGCACAAGUCAUGAGAUGGAACGGUGGGAGUUGCAUGGCAAUAUAUCUUGGGAUGGCUAUGAAAAUGCCAUAAUAGGUAGGUAUGGUGGCUGUUUUGAGGAAGGUAUAUGGUGGGUUUGUGCACCGACGAAAGUUGCGCGGCACUAGAGAGGUUAGCAAUGGUGGAAGGUGAAAGUGCAUCUAUACCAUGGACUCACAUUAGUCAUGAAGAACUCAUAUACUUAUUGCGAAAGUUUUAUUAGUAAUCAAAACGAAGUGCUAAAUACAUACUCCUAGGGGCAGGGUUGGUAGGUGUUAACCAUCGCACGAUCCUGACCGCCACACAAAGGAUGACAAUCAAUAAAUCAAUUAUGCUCCGACUUCCUAACAUAGCGGUUCACCAUACGUGCAUGCUACGGGAAUCACUAACUUCAACACAAGUAUUUCUAGAUUCACAACACCCUACUAACAUAACUCUAAUAUUACCUUAUCCAUGUCUCAAAACUAAUUGAGAGGAAUCAAACUUCUCUUUACUAAUCGAUGCACAUGAAUAUGGAAGUUUUUAUUAUAUCCUCUUUGGAUGCCUAUCAUCUUUAGGACUACUUUCAUAACACAAGCCAAUUACCCAGUUACUCAGAGAGAGCACUCUCAAAAAGAUAUAAGUGAAGAUCGAGAGUUCUUAUUUCUCCAAAAUAUGACACCGUCGUGUUCUAAAAAGAUCUAAGUGAAGCACUAGAGCAAAGUUAUCUAGCUCAAAAGAUAUAAGUGAAGCACAUGCGAGCUAAAUUGCCUAACUCAAAAGAUAUAAGCGAAGCUGAAUGAGUAUUCUAGCAAAAUCACGAUGAGUGCAUGUCUCUCUCAAAAAGGUUUGCAGCAAGGAUGAUUGUGGCACAACAAAAAGAAAAGACUCCUAUAAUACACAACACUCCAAGCAAAACACAUAUCAUGUGGUGAAUAAAAAUAUAGCUCCAAGUAACGUUACCGGUGGAUUGAAGACGAAAGAGGGGAUGCCUUCCCGGGCUAUCCCCAAGCUUAGGCUUUUUGGUGUCCUUGAAUUUGGCUUGGGAUGCCUUGGGCAUCCCCAAGAUUGAGAUCUUUCCACUCUUUAUCCCAUUGUCCAUAAGAACAUCACCCAAAACUUGAAUACUUCACAACACAAAACUUAAACAGAAACUCGUGAUAUCAUUAGCACAAGAAAACAAACCACCACCUCUUUAGGUACUGUAGCAAACUUGAUUUCUAUUUAGAUUGAUGUUAAAUUACUGUAUUCUCACUUUUCCAUGGCUAGUACCCCCCGAUACUAUCCAUAGUUUCAUCAAAAUAAGCAAUCAACACAACAAAAACAGAAUCUGUCAAAAACAGACCAGUCUGUAGCAAUCUGUAUACUUCGUAUACUUCUGGUAUGUCAAAAAUUCUGAACAAUUAUGACAACUAGGGAAAUUGGCAUAUCAACCAGCAGCAAAAAGAAUCAACUCAAAAGCUCUUUCGGGAUAGGAAUUAAAAAUAAUUUCGUGAGCGCAAAGUUUGUGUCUUUUUCAGCAAGAUCAAACAACCAUCACCAAAACUAGUCAUAAAGGUUUUACUUGGCUCAAACACAAAAAGAAACACACAAAAAACACAAUCAUAACAGAAUUAUGAUGGUGUGGACACAACAAAACAGAAAUCAAAAAGCAAAGAUAAAUUCAUUGGGUUGCCUCCCAACAAGCGCUAUUUUUUAAUGCCCUUAGCUAGGCAUUGAUAAUUCAAUGAUGCUCACAUAAAAGAUAGCAAUCAGACACAAAGAGAGCAUCAUGAAACAUGUGACAAACAUAUCUAAGUCAUACUUCCUAUGCAUAGGCAUUUUUAUAAGAAAACAGAUUGUCAAGACAACCAAUAGUUACCAUAUGCAAAGAAGAAGAAAGAGACAAUAGCAAUCUCAACAUAACGAGAGGUGAAUUAGUGAUAUGAAAGUUUAUACCAAAAUAUUUUCCUCUCUCAUAACAAUUACAUGUGGGAUCAUAUUCAAAUUCAACAAUAUAGCUAUCACAUAGGAUAUUCUUUUCAUGAUCCACAUGCAUGCAAAGUUGGCGCUCUUCAAAAAUUGUGGGAUUAUCAUCAAAUAAAGUCAUGACUUCUCCAAACCCACUUUCAAUAUUAUUGCAAAUAUCAUAUUCAUCAUGAAGCUUAAACAAAUUUUCAAGAUCAUAAGAAAAAUCAUUACCCCAAUCAUGAUCAUUGCAACAAGUAGUGGACAUAGCAAAACUAGCAUCCCCAAGCUUAGGGUUUUGCAUAUUUUUAGCAGGAUUGUCAUUAAUAGAAUUCAUAGUGAAACCAUUGCAAUCAUGCUUUUCAUUCAAGGAGCCUUCGUGAAUCACUUCAUAAAUUUCUUCAUCACGAUUUUCAGAUUCACGCAUCUCAAGCAAAACUCCAUAGAGAAAGUCAAGUGCACUCAACUCACUAGCAAUUGGUUCAACAUAAUUGGAUCUCUUAAAGAGAUUAGCAAGUGGAUGAGGAUCCAUAUCAAUAGAUUUUUAGCAAGCGAAGAUGCAAGCAUAUUGAAGGCACAUAGCACACAAGCAAAGUAAAGGCAAACGAAAAAGGCAAAUAUUUUUGUAAUUUUUGUUUUUCAGAAGUGGGGGAGAGGAAAACGAGAGUCAAAAGGCAAAAAAAGUAAAUGCAAGAGCUGAGUUUGCGACAGUUACUUGGAUAAGCUUCACUUAGAAUAGUCCCCGGUGCUAGAAAUUGACACGUUGAAGGGAGACUAUUAUUGACUUGAUACUCCCCGGCAACGGCGCCAAAAAUUCUACUUGCUACCUCUUGACCUUGCGUUGGUUUUUUCCCUUGAAGAGGAAAGGGUGAUGCAACACAGUAGCAGUAAGUAUUUCCCUCAGUUUGAGAACCAAGGUAUCAAUCGAGUAGGAGUAUCAAGGCAAGUCUCCAAAGUACCUGCGCAAAAACAAACAAAGUUGCACCCAACGCUAUAAAGGGGUUGUCAAUCCCUUCACGAUUGAUUGCAAGGUGAGAUCUGAAGGCGGAAAGUGCAACAAAGUGAAAGUGUAGAGCUGAAAAUAUGAAGUGAAGUAGACCCGGGGGCCAUAGUGUUCACUAGAGGCUUCUCUCAUGAUAGCAAGUAUUACGGUGGGUGAACGAAUUACUUUCGAGCAAUUGAUAGAAUCGCGCAAAGUCAUGAUGGUAUCUAAGGCAAUGAUCAUACAUAUAGGCAUCACAUCCGAGACAAGUAGACCGAUACUGUCUCCAUCUACUACUAUUACUGCACACAUCGACCGCUAUCUAGCAUGCAUCUAGUGUAUUAAGUUCAUAACAAACAGAGUAACGCCUUAAGCAAGAUGACAUGAUGUAGAGGGAUAAAUUCAUGCAAUAGAUAUAAACCCCAUUUUUUUACCCUUGAUGGCAACAACAUGAUGCGUUCCUCGCUACCCCUUCUGUCACUGGGUGAGGAUACCACACGGUAUGAACCCAAAACCAAGCACUUCUCCCAUUGCAAAAAUUAUAAAUCAAGUUGGGAAAAUGAAACCCACAACUCGAAAAGAAUUACAAGGAUAAGAAAUCAUGCAUAUAAGAGAUCAGAGGAAACUCAAAUAUCAUUCAUAGAUAAUCUGAUCAUAAAUCCACAAUUCAUCGGAUCUCGACAAACACACCGCAAAAGAAGAUUACAUCGGAUAGAUCUCCAUGAAGAUCAUCGGAUAGAUCUCCAUGAAGAUUACUAGCUAUGGACCCGAAGGUCUGUGGUGAACUACUCACACAUCAUCGGAGAGGCAAUGGUGUUGAUGAAGAAGCCCUCCGUGUCCGAAUCCCCCCUCUGGCUGGGCACCAGAAUGGUCCCCGGAUGGGAUCUUGCGGAGACAGAAGCUUGCGGCGGUGGAAAAGUAUUUUCGUGGCUCUCUCCCGUGCUUUUAGAUUUUUAGGGAAUUUAUAGGCGGAAUAAGUAGGUCAAAGGAGCCACGGGGGGCCCACAAGCCUGUUAGGCGCGCCCCCAGGCCGUGCCUAGGGGGCUUGUGACCUCCCCCGGGGUCCUUUUCCUUGGUUCUCAAGUUCCCCGCGUAUCUUCUGUUACGGAAAAAAUCAUUCCGAAGAUUUUAUUCCGUUUGGACUCCGUUUAAUAUUCUCCUCUGAAAAGGGUCAAAAACACGGAAAAAACAGGAACCGGCACUUGGCACUGAGUUAAUAGGUUAGUCCCCAAAAAGAUAUAAAAUGCAUACAGAACAUCCAAAGUUGAAAAGAUAAUAGCAUGGAACCAUAAAAAAUUAUAGAUACGCUGGAGACGUAUCAACCCUAGAGGUUCGUCGGGGAACCGUCUCAAAGGCUCCGAGCUCCUCAUCGGAAUCUAGGCCAACGCCGAGCAGAGCAACCUUGCUCUUGCAAGAUCUCUUUGGGGCCCGAGGAGGUAGCCCCUCCUCGGCCCCCUCUUGCGCCUCCCUCUUCCUCGUUUGGAAGGAAUCUUUCUCCUCCUCAUCUUCUGCAUCCUCUCCCUCGUGGGUGAAGGAGGCAUGGGUGUCCCCGGACUUGGUAUCCGGAGGACCCCUUGAACGGAGACCCCCGCGGGUAUCCUUCUUCUUCUUCUUCGACGUCUUGUACGUCGCCGCUACCAGCAUCGCGGUCAACAAUGCUGACCAGGCUUCCUCGAGCAGGGGAGCUGGGCCGUCUAUGUUUUUGGCUUUGACCAGCUAAUCUUGAAGGGACGAUAGGAGAAAUGGUAAGACCCUCGGUAAAAAUUGGAGCUUUAAGUAGGUAUAUGAGCUUGAACAUAUCUCCAAAGGGGGGGGGGGUUUAGCAUCCAAGGCAGUGUCUUCCUCCUCCACCGACCACUCCUCCUGAGGCUUGAGCAACAUCCACCACAUGUUCUCAUGGGUGGAGCGGUAGAAAUCCUGCACCAUCCGAGGGUCGGUGGGCUUGUAGGACCACAUCAGAUUAUCCCUACGAUGACAGGGAAGGAUGCGGCGAUGGAGCAUGACCUAUACCACGCCGGUCAGCUCGAUGUUUGUCGCCACCAUAUACUUCAUGCGCUUCUACAGUACCUUCACAUCCAAAGCCGAGCCCGAGUCUAGGCCUUUCUUAACCCACGAGGUUAGCCUCACGGGGGUAUGAUACGUCUCCAUCGUAUCUACUUUUCCAAACUCUUUUGCCCUUGUUUUGGACUCUAAUUUGCAUAAUUUGAAUGGAACUAACCCGGAUUAACGCUGUUUUCAGCAGAAUUGCCAUGGUGUUGUUUUUGCGCAGAAAUAAAAGUUCUCGGAAUGACCUGAAAAUUUACGGGGAUUUUUUAUGGAAUAUAUUAAAAAUACUAGCGCAAGAAUCAACCGGAGGGGUGGAGCUGAGAUCCCACAAGCCCACCAGGCGCGGGCCCCCUGGCCGCGCUUGGUAGGCUUGUGGGGCCCACGUUGCUCCACCGCCUCCAACCUCAGCUCUAUUUAGUCCCUUUCGUCUGAAAAAAAAAUAAAGGAGAAGAGUUCAUCGCAUUUUACAUUACGGAGGCGCCGCCACCUCAUGUUCUUCCUCUCGAGGGCAGAUUUGGAGUCCGUUCUGGGCUCCGGAGAGGAGAGAUCGUCGCCAUCGUCAUCACCAACCUUCCUUCAUCGCCAAUUCCAUGAUGCUCUUCACAGUUCGUGAGUAAUAUCAUCAUAGGCUUGCUGGACGGUGAUGGGUUGGAUGAGAUCUAUCAUGUAAUCGAGUUAGUUUUGACAGGGAUUGAUCCCUAGUAUCCACUAUGUUCUGAGAUUGAUGUUGCUACUACUUUGCCAUGCUUAAUGCUUGUCACUAGGGCCCGAGUGCCAUGAUUUCAGAUCUGAACCUAUUAUGUUGUCCAAUAUAUGUGUGUUCUUGAUCCUAUCUUGCAAGUUGUAGUCACCUACUAUGUGUUAUGACCCGGCAACCCCGGAGUGACAAUAGCCGAAACCACUCCCGGAGAUGACCAUAGUAUGAGGAGUUCAUGUAUUCAGUAAGUGUUAAUGCGUUGGUCCGGUUCUUUAUUAAAAGGAGAACCUUAAUAUCCCGUAGUUUCCAUUAGUACCCCGCUGCCACGGGAGGGAUGGACAAUAGAUGUCAUGCAAGUUCUUUUCCCUAAGCACGUAUUGUUGGGGAACGUCGCAUGGGAAACAAAAAUUUUCCUACGCGCACGAAGACCUAUCAUGGUGAUGUCCAUCUACGAGAGGGGAUGAGUGAUCUACGUACCCUUGUAGACCGUACAGCAGAAGCGUUAGAGAACGCGGUUGAUGUAGUGGAACGUCCUCACGUCCCUCGAUCCACCCCGCGAACAAUCCCGCGAUCAGUCCCACGAUCUAGUAGCGAACGGACGGCACCUCCGCGUUCAGCACACGUACAGCUCGACGAUGAUCUCGGCCUUCUUGAUCCAGCAAGAGAGACGGAGAGGUAGAAGAGUUCUCCGGCAGCGUGACGGCGCUCCGGAGGUUGGUGAUGACCUUGUCUCAGCAGGGCUCCGCCCGAGCUCCGCAGAAACGCGAUCUAGAGGAAAAACCGUGGAGGUAUGUGGUCGGGCUGCCGUGGAAAAGUCGUCUCAAAUCAGCCCUAAAACCUCCGUAUAUAUAGGUGGGAGGGAGGGGGCCUUGCCUUGGGGCUCAAGGAGCCCCAAGGGGGUCGGCCGAGUCCAAGGGGGAGGACUCUCCCCCUCCAAACCGAGUUGGACUAGGUUUGGUGGGAGGGAGUCCCCCUUCCUUCCCACCUCCUCCUUUUUUUUGUUUCUCUCUUAAUUUUCUUCUCCUUGGCGCAUAGGGCACUUGUGGGCUGUCCCACCAGCCCACUAAGGGCUGGUGUGGCUCCCCCAAUGCCUAUGGGCUUCCCCGGGGUGGGUUGCCCCCCCCCGGCGAACUCCCGGAACCCAUUCGUCAUUCCCGGUACAUUCCCGGUAACUCCGAAAACCUUCCGGUAAUCAGAUGAGGUCAUCCUAUAUGUCAAUCUUCGUUUCCGGACCAUUCUGGAAACCCUCGUGACGUCCGUGAUCUCAUCCGGGACUCCGAACAACAUUCGGUAACCAACCAUAUAACUCAAAUACGCAUAAAACAAUGUCGAACCUUAAGUGUGCAGACCCUGCGGGUUCGAGAACUAUGUAGACAUGACCCGAGAGACUCCUCGGUCAAUAUCCAAUAGCGGGACCUGGAUGCCCAUAUUGGAUCCUACAUAUUCUACGAAGAUCUUAUCGUUUGAACCUCAGUGCCAAGGAUUCGUAUAAUCCCGUAUGUCAUUCCUUUUGUCCUUCGGUAUGUUACUUACCCGAGAUUCGAUCGUCAGUAUCCGCAUACCUAUUUCAAUCUCGUUUACCGGCAUGUCUCUUUACUCGUUCCGUAAUACAAGAUCCCGCAACUUACACUAAGUUACAUUGCUUGCAAGGCUUGUGUGUGAUGUUGUAUUACCGAGUGGGCCCCGAGAUACCUCUCCGUCACACGGAGUGACAAAUCCCAGUCUUGAUCCAUACUAACUCAACUAACACCUUCGGAGAUACCUGUAGAGCAUCUUUAUAGUCACCCAGUUACGUUGCGACGUUUGAUACACACAAAGCAUUCCUCCGGUGUCAGUGAGUUAUAUGAGCUCAUGGUCAUAGGAAUAAAUACUUGACACGCAGAAAACAGUAGCAACAAAAUGACACGAUUAACAUGCUACGUCUAUUAGUUUGGGUCUAAUCCAUCACGUUAUUCUCCCAAUGACGUGAUCCAGUUAUCAAGCAACAACACCUUGUUCAUAAUCAGAAGACACUGACUAUCAUCGAUCAACUGGCUAGCCAACUAGAGACAUGCUAGGGAUGGUGUUUUGUCUAUGUAUCCACACAUGUAAAUGAGUCUUCAUUCAAUACAAUUAUAGCAUGGAUAAUAAACUAUUAUCUUGAUACAGGAAUUAUAAUAAUAACCAUAUUUAUUAUUGCCUCUAGGGCAUAAUUCCAACAGUUUCCCACUUGCACUAGAGUCAAUAAUCCAGCCCUCACAUCACCAUGUGAAUUACAUUGUAAUAAAUCUAACACCCAUACAGUUCUGGUGUUGAUCAUGUUUUGGCCGUGGAAGAGGUUUAGUCAGCGGGUCUGCUACAUUCAGAUCCGUGUGCACUUUGCAUAUAUUUACGUCCUCUUCCUCGACGUAGUCGCGGAUGAGGUUGAAGCGUCGUUUGAUGUGUCUGGUCUUCUUGUGAAACCGUGGUUCCUUUGCUAAGGCAAUGGCACCCGUGUUGUCACAGAACAAGGUUACUGGAUCCAGUGCACUUGGCACCACUCCAAGAUCCGUCAUGAACUGUUUCAUCCAGACACCCUCCUUAGCCACCUCCGAGGCAGCCAUGUACUCUGCUUCACAUGUAGAAUCUGCUACGACGCUUUGCUUGGAACUGCACCAGCUUACUGCACCCCCAUUAAGAAUAAAUACGUAUCCGGUUUGCGACUUAGAGUCGUCCGGAUCUGUGUCAAAGCUUGCAUCGACGUAACCUUUUACGGCGAGCUCUUCGUCACCUCCAUACACGAGAAACAUCUCCUUAGUCCUUUUCAGGUACUUCAGGAUAUUCUUGACCGCUGUCCAGUGAUCCACUCCUGGAUUACUCUGGAACCUACCUGCCAUACUUAUGGCCAGGCUAACAUCCGGUCUAGUGCACAACAUCGCAUACAUGAUAGAACCUAUGGCCGAAGCAUAGGGGACGGAGCGCAUAUGCUCUCUAUCUUCAUCAGUUGCUGGGCACUGAGUCUUACUCAAUCUCGUACCUUGUAAAAUUGGCAAGAACCCUUUCUUGGACUGUUCCAUUUUGAACCUCUUCAAAACUUUAUCAAGGUAUGUGCUUUGUGAAAGUCCUAUCAGGCGUUUUGAUCUAUCCCUAUAGAUCUUAAUGCCUAGAAUGUAAGAAGCUUCUCCUAGGUCCUUCAUAGAGAAACUUUUAUUCAAGUAACCUUUUAUGCUCUCCAAAAGCUCUACGUUGUUUCCAAUCAGUAAUAUGUCAUCCACAUAUAAUAUUAGAAACGCCAUAGAGCUCCCACUCACUUUCUUGUAAAUACAAGAUUCUCCAACCACUUGUAUAAACCCAAAUGCUUUGAUCACCUCAUCAAAGCGUUUGUUCCAAUUCCGAGAUGCUUGCACCAGUCCAUAAAUGGAUCGCUGGAGCUUGCACACCUUGUCAGCAUUUUUAGGAUCGACAAAACCUUCGGGUUGCAUCAUAUACAACUCUUCCUUAAGGAAACUGUUAAGGAACGCCGUUUUGACAUCCAUCUGCCAGAUUUCAUAAUCGAAAAAUGCAGCUAUUGCUAACAUGAUUCUGACGGACUUAAGCAUCGCUACGGGUGAGAAAGUCUCAUCGUAGUCAACUCCUGGAACUUGUGAAAAACCCUUUGCCACAAGUCGAGCUUUCUAAACGGUCACAUUACCGUCAGCGUCCGUCUUCUUCUUAAAGAUCCAUUUGUUCUGAAUAGCCUUGCGACCCUCAGGUAGUAUCUCCAAAGUCCACACUUUGUUCUCAUACAUGGAUCCUAUCUCGGAUUUCAUGGCUUCUAGCCAUUUGUUGGAAUCUGGGCCCACCAUUGCUUCUUCAUAAUUUGCAGGUCCAUUGUUGUCUAACAACAUGAUUGAUAAGACGGGAUUACCGUACCAUUCUGGAGCAGCGCGUGAUCUCGUCGACCUGCGUGGUUCAACAGAAACUUGAACUGGAGUUUCAUGAUCAUCAUCAUUAACUUCCUCCUCAACCGGCGCCGCAACGACAGAGGUUUCCCCUUGCCCUGCGCCACCAUCCAGAGGGAUGAGAGGUUCGACAACCUCGUCAAGUUCUAUCUUCCUCCCACUCAAUUCUCUCGAGAGAAACUCCUUCUCGAGAAAAGCUCCGUUUUUAGCAACAAACACUUUGCCCUCGGAUUUGAGAUAGAAGGUGUACCCAACUGUCUCUUUUGGGUAACCUAUGAAGACGCACUUUUCCGCUUUGGGUUCGAGCUUUUCAAGCUGAAGCUUUUUGACAUAAGCAUCACAUCCCCAAACUUUAAGAAACGACAACUUUGGCCUUUUGCCAUACCACAGUUCGUAUGGUGUCGUCUCAACGGAUUUUGAUGGUGCCCUAUUUAAAGUGAAUGCUGUUGUUUCUAAUGCAUAACCCCAAAAUGAUAACGGCAAAUCAGUAAGAGACAUCAUAGAUCGCACCAUAUCUAACAAAGUACGAUUACGACGUUCGGACACACCAUUACGCUGUGGUGUUCCAGGCGGUGUUAACUGCGAAACAAUUCCACACUGUCUUAAGUGAGCACCAAACUCGAAACUCAGAUAUUCACCCCCACGAUCAGACCGUAGGAACUUGAUCUUCUUGUUACGAUGAUUUUCCACUUCACUCUGAAAUUGCUUGAACUUUUCAAAUGUUUCAGACUUGUGCUUCAUCAAGUAGACAUAACCAUAUCUACUUAAAUCGUCAGUGAAGGUGAGAAAAUAACGAUAUCCGCCGCGUGCCUCUACGCUCAUUGGACCACACACAUCGGUAUGUAUGAUUUCCAACAAGUCACUUUCACGCUCCAUUGUUCCGGAGAACGGAGUCUUAGUCAUCUUGCCCAUGAGGCAUGGUUCGCACGUGUCAAGUGAAUCAAAGUCAAGUGACUCCAAAAGUCCAUCAGCAUGGAGUUUCUUCAUGCGCUUUACACCAAUAUGACCCAAGCGGCAGUGCCACAAAAAAUAUGGCGCUAUCAUUGUUUACUCUAACUCUUUUGGUCACAAUGUUAUGUAUAUGCGUAUCGCUAUCAAGAUUCAAUAUGAACAAUCCUCUCACAUUCGGUGCAUGACCAUAAAAGAUGUUACUCAUAGAAAUAGAACAACCAUUAUUCUCAGACUUAAAAGAGUAACCGUCUCGCAAUAAACAAGAUCCAGAUAUAAUGUUCAUGCUCAACGCAGGCACUAAAUAACAAUGAUUUAAGUUCAUCACUAAUCCCGAUGGUAGCUGAAGUGACACUGUGCCGACGGCGAUUGCAUCAACCUUGGAACCAUUUCCUACGCGCAUCGUCACUUCGUCUUUCGCCAGCCUUCGUCUAUUCCGCAGUUCCUGCUUCGAGUUGCAAAUGUGAGCAACAUAACCGGUAUCGAAUACCCAGGCACUACUACGAGAGCCGGUUAAGUACACAUCAAUAACUUGUAUAUCAAAUAUACCUGAUUUUUCUUUGCCCGCCUUCUUAUCUGCCAGAUACUUGGGGCAAUUGCGCUUCCAGUGACCCAUACCCUUGCAAUAGAAGCACUCUGUUUCAGGCUUAGAUCCAGCCUUGGGUUUCUUCGGCGGAUUGGCAACAGGCUUGCCGCUCUUCCUCGAAUUGCCCUUCUUGCCUUUGCCGUUUCUCUUGAAACUAGUGGUCUUGCUCACCAUCAACACUUGAUGCUCUUUACGGAGUUCAGACUCUGCGACUUUCAGCAUCGCAAACAACUCGCCGGGAGACUUGUUCAUCCCUUGCAUGUUGUAGUUCAACACAAAGCCUUUAUAGCUUGGCGGCAGUGAUUGAAGGAUUCUGUCAGUGAUAGCUUCUUGCGGGAGUUCAAUCCCCAGUUCAGCUAGACGGUUUGAGUACCCAGACAUUUUGAGCACAUGUUCACUGACAGACGAGUUUUCCUCCAUCUUGCAAGCAUAGAAUUUAUCGGAGGUCUCAUACCUCUCGAUCCGGGCGUUCUUUUGAAAGAUAAACUCCAACUCCUGGAACAUCUCAAAUGCUCCAUGACGCUCAAAGCGACGUUGAAGUCCCGGUUCUAAGCCAUACAAUACUGCACAUUGAACUAUUGAGUAGUCCUCCUUACGUGGUAACCAAGCGUUCUUAACAUCCUGAUCAGCCGUAGCGGGUGGUUCAUCUCCUAGCGCAGCAUUAAGGACAUAAUCCUUCUUCCCAGCUUGUAAGAUUAGCUUAAGAUUACGAGCCCAGUCUACAAAGUUGCUUCCAUCAUCUUUCAACUUAGCUUUCUCUAGGAACGUAUUAAAAUUCAGGAUGACUGUCGCGUGAGCCAUGAUCUACAACACAAAUAUAUUCAAAGUGGACUUAGACUAUGUUCAAGAUAAUUAGAGUUCAACUUAAUCAAAUUAUAUGCUAAACGCCCACUCAAAAAGUACAUCUCUCUAGUCAUUUGAGUGGUUCAUGAUCCACUUACACUAUCCCAAGUCCGAUCAUCACGUGAGUUGGGUAUAGUUUCAGUGGUAAGCAUCCCUAUGCUAAUCAUAUCAACUAUAUGAUUCACGAUCGACCUUUCGGUCUCAUGUGUUCCGAGGCCAUGUCUGCACAUGCUAGGCUCGUCAAGCUUAACCCGAGUGUUCCGCGUGCGCAACUAUUUUGCACCCGUUGUAUGUGAACGUUGAGUCUAUCACACCCGAUCAUCACGUGGUGUCUCGAAACGACGAACUGUAGCAACGGUGCAUAGUCGGGGAGAACACAAUUUCGUCUUGAAAUUUUAGUGAGAGAUCACCUCAUAAUGCUACCGUCGUUCUAAGCAAAAUAAGGUGCAUAAAAGGAUUAACAUCACAUGCAAUUCAUAAGUGACAUGAUAUGGCCAUCAUCACGUGCUUCUCGAUCUCCAUCACCAAAGCACCGGCAUGAUCUUCUUGUCACCGGCGCCACACCAUGAUCAUCCAUCAACGUGUUUCCAUCGGGGUUGUCGUGCUACUCAUGCUAUUACUACUAAAGCUACUUCCUAGCAAAAUAGUAAACGCAUCUGCAAGCACAAACGUUAGUAUAAAGACAACCCUAUGGCUCCUGCCGGUUGCCAUACCAUCGACGUGCAAGUCGAUAUUUCUAUUACAACAUGAUCAUAUCAUACAUCCAAUAUAUCACAUCACAUCGUUGGCCAUAUCACAUCACAAUCAUACCCUGCAAAAACAAGUUAGACGUCCUCUAAUUUUGUUGUUGCAUGUUUUACGUGGUGACCAAGGGUAUCUAGUAGGAUCGCAUCUUACUUACGCAAACACCACAACGGAGAUAUAUGAGUUGCUAUUUAACCUCAUCCAAGGACCUCCUCGGUCAAAUCCGAUUCAACUAAAGUUGGAGAAACCGACACUUGCCAGUCAUCUUUGAGCAAAGGGGGUUACUCGUAACGAUGAAACCAGUCUCUCGUAAGCGUACGAGUAAUGUCGGUCCAAGCCGCUUCAAUCCAACAAUACCGCGGAAUCAAGAAAAGACUAAGGAGGGCAGCAAAACUCACAUCACCGCCCACAAAAACUUUUGUGUUCUACUCGAGAAGACAUCUACGCAUGAACCUAGCUCUGAUGCCACUGUUGGGGAACGUCGCAUGGGAAACAAAAAUUUUCCUACGCGCACGAAGACCUAUCAUGGUGAUGUCCAUCUACGAGAGGGGAUGAGUGAUCUACGUACCCUUGUAGACCAUACAGCAGAAGCGUUAGAGAACGCGGUUGAUGUAGUGGAACGUCCUCACGUCCCUCGAUCCGCCCCGCGAACAAUCCCGCGAUCAGUCCCACGAUCUAGUACCGAACGGACGGCACCUCCGCGUUCAGCACACGUACAGCUCGACGAUGAUCUUGGCCUUCUUGAUCCAGCAAGAGAGACGGAGAGGUAGAAGAGUUCUCCGGCAGCGUGAUGGCGCUCCGGAGGUUGGUGAUGACCUUGUCUCAGCACGGCUCCGCCCGAGCUCCGCAGAAACGCGAUCUAGAGGAAAAACCGUGGAGGUAUGUGGUCGGGCUGCCGUGGAAAAGUCGUCUCAAAUCAGCCCUAAAACCUCCGUAUAUAUAGUUGGGAGGGAGGGGGCCUUGCCUUGGGGCUCAAGGAGCCCCAAGGGGGUCGGCCGAGUCCAAGGGGGAGGACUCUCCCCCUCCAAACCGAGUUGGACUAGGUUUGGUGGGAGGGAGUCCCCCUUCCUUCCCACCUCCUCCUUUUUUUUCUUUCUCUCUUGAUUUUCUUCUCCUUGGCGCAUAGGGCACUUCUGGGCUGUCCCACCAGCCCACUAAGGGCUGGUGUGGCUCCCCCCAUGCCUAUGGGCUUCCCCGGGGUGGGUUGCCCCCCGCGGCGAACUCCCGGAACCCAUUCGUCAUUCCCGGUACAUUCCCGGUAACUCCGAAAACUUUCCGGUAAUCACAUGAGGUCAUCCUAUAUAUCAAUCUUCGUUUCCGGACCAUUCCGGAAACCCUCGUGACGUCCGUGAUCUCAUCCGGGACUCCGAACAACAGUCGGUAACCAACCAUAUAACUCAAAUACGCAUAAAACAACGUCGAACCUUAAGUGUGCAGACCUUGCGGGUUCGAGAACUAUGUAGACAUGACCCGAGAAACUCCUCGGUCAAUAUCCAAUAGCGGGACCUGGAUGCCCAUAUUGGAUCCUACAUAUUCUAUGAAGAUCUUAUCGUUUGAACCUCAGUGCCAAGGAUUCGUAUAAUCCCGUAUGUCAUUCCCUUUGUCCUUCGGUAUGUUACUUACCCGAGAUUCGAUCGUCACUAUCCGCAUACCUAUUUCAAUCUCGUUUACCGGCAAGUCUCUUUACUCGUUCCGUAAUACAAGAUCCCGCAACUUACACUAAGUUACAUUGCUUGCAAGGCUUGUGUGUGAUGUUGUAUUACCGAGUGGGCCCCGAGAUACCUCUCCGUCACACGGAGUGACAAAUCCCAGUCUUGAUCCAUACUAACUCAACUAACACCUUCGGAGAUACCUGUAGAGCAUCUUUAUAGUCACCCAGUUACGUUGCAACGUUUGAUACACACAAAGCAUUCCUGCGGUGUCAGUGAGUUAUAUGAUCUCAUGGUCAUAGGAAUAAAUACUUGACACGCAGAAAACAGUAGCAACAAAAUGACACGAUCAACAUGCUACGUCUAUUAGUUUGGGUCUAAUCCAUCACGUGAUUCUCCCAAUGACGUGAUCCAGUUAUCAAGCAACAACACCUUGUUCAUAAUCAGAAGACACUGACUAUCAUCGAUCAACUGGCUAGCCAACUAGAGGCAUGCUAGGGAUGGUGUUUUGUCUAUGUAUCCACACAUGUAAAUGAGUCUUCAUUCAAUACAAUUAUAGCAUGGAUAAUAAACUAUUAUCUUGAUACAGGAAUUAUAAUAAUAACCAUAUUUAUUAUUGCCUCUAGGGCAUAAUUCCAACACGUAUGACUACAUACGGAAUACAUGCCUACAUUACAUUGACGAACUGGAGCUAGUUACAUAUCUCUCCGUGUUAUAACUAUUGCAUGAUGAAUAACAUCCGGCAUAAUCAUCCAUCAUCGAUCCAAUGCCUACGAGUCUUUUCCUACUGGUCCUUGCUAUGUUACUUUGCCGCUACUGCUGUCACUUCUGCUACUGUUACUGUGCUGCUACUGCUGUCACUUUGCUGCUACUGGUUACCGUUGCUACUAUUGCUAUCACACUACUCUGCUACUGAUACUUUGCUGCAGAUACUAAAUCUUUCAGGUGUGGUUGAAUUGAAAACUCAACUACUAAUACUUGAGAAUAUUCUUUGGCUUCCCCUUGUGUCGAAUCAAUAAAUUUGGGUUGAAUACUCUACCCUCGAAAACUGUUGCGAUCCCCUAUACUUGUGGGUUAUCAACACCUUUUUUCUGGCACCGUUGCCGGGGAAGCUUAACUAUGAGGAAUUCGAAAGAUCCAAGAAGUGAAGCCUUGCCCUCAACUACGAGGACAAGUAAGGAACUGCCAUCUAGCUCUGCACUUGAUUCACCUUCAGUUAUGAGUAAGUUUACGACACCACCUCCUGCUAGAAAUCUUGAUAUGUCGCCUGUGCUUGAUGAUGCUACUUCUGCUGCCCAUGAUGCUUAUGAUGAUGCUAUGCUUGAUACUGCUUUCCCACUAGGUGCAUUCCUUGAUGCACAAAUUGCUAGAGUUACUGCUAGAUGUGAUGAUACUUCUGAAACUGCUGAUACUAUUGAAGUAGAACCUGCUAUUUUGCGUGUUAGAACUAGCUCUCCUAGAUAUGAAUUGCCUGAUAUGCCCGAGGGUUAUGUUAUGGAGGGAGAGAUAGCUGAGGACUUUCUUGCAUGUACGGAUAGCUAUGAUGUUGAGAAAUUACUGCGCAAGUGGAAAGAAAAAUCUUUGAACGCUAGGAUGAAAUACGACCCAAAGUUUGCUACUUCACCUAUCUGUCGACCCUGAGUUAAUCACUCUGGUCGAAUCUGAUCCUUUUCAUGGUUAUGAGUCUGAAACUGUUGUAGCCCAUCUUACCAAACUGCAGGAUAUAGCAAGCCUAUUCACGAGUGAGGAAAAGAUCGGCCACUACUAUAUCCUUAAGUUUUUCCCUUUCUCGCUAAAGGAUGAUGCUAAGACUUGGUUCACUUCUCUUGCUCCUGGUUGUGUGCGUAGCCCCCCGGAUAUGAUCUACUACUUCUCCGAAAAAUAUUUCCCUGCCCAUAAGAAGCAAGCUGCCUUGCAGGAAAUAUACAACUUUGCGCGAGUUGAAGAAGAGAGUCUCCCACAAGCUUGGGGGAGGCUCGUCCAGCUACUGAAUGAUUUGCCUGAUCACCCUCUUGAGAAGAAUAAAAUACUUGAUAUCUUCUAUAAUGGACUUACCAAUGCUUCUAGAGACCACCUAGAUAGUUGUGUCGGUUGUGCUUUUAGGGAACGAACCGUACAACAAGCUGAUAUCCUAUCGAAUAAUAUCUUGUGCAAUGAGAAUGCUUGGACUAUUCCCGAACCACCUCCUAAGACAACUCCAAAGAAAAGAGGUAUUCUAUUCCUCAGUCAUGAAGAUAUGCAAGAAGCUAAGAAAUCUAUGCGAGAGAAAGGCAUUAAAUCUGAAGAUGUCAAAAAUCUACCACCUACCGAAGAGAUCCAUGGUCUUGAUAACCCGAUACAGGUUGUAGAAGUAAAUUCUCUGCGUAGGUUUGAUGAGAGUGAUAUUCCUUUUGAUAAACCUGCUAGCUUAUGCAUGGAUGAAUUUGAUAAUUUUGUUGCCAAACAACAGAGUUUCAAUGAUUAUGUUAGCAGACAAUUGGAACAGAAUGCUCGUAUGCUUAGUCAUUUAAGUGCUUGUGUGGACAGAAACGUCAAUGAUCUUAAACUUCUGAGUAAACAUGCCUCUAUGGUUACUACUCAGGUAGAACAAGUACUUAAAGCUCAAAAUGACUUGCUUAAUGAGUUGAAUGACAAUUCUGUCAGAGUCGUCACUAGAGGCGGUAGAAUGACCCAGGAACCUUUGUAUCCUGAGGGUCAUCCUAAGAGAAUUGAACAAGAUUCUCAAGGAGUUAACACUGAUGCACCUAGUCAUCCUAGGAAGAAGAAGAAAGAUGAUAGGAAUUUGCACGCUAGCAACCCUAUUGCUGCUACACCUGAGAAUCCAAAAGAUAUCUCUGUUUCCGAUGCCGAAACACAAUCUGGUGAUGAACAUGAACCUAAUGAUAAUAUCGAUAGUGAUGUUCAUGUUGAUGCUCAACCUAGCAAUGAUAAGGAUGUGGAGAUUGAACUUGUUGAUCUUGAUAACCCACAGCCUAAGAAUAGGAGAUACGAUAAGGAUGACUUCAUUGCUAGGAAGCAUGGUAAAGAAAGAGAACCAUGGCUUCAGAAACCCAUGCCCUUCCCUUCCAAACCAUCCAAGAAAAAGGAUGAUGAAGAUUUUGAGCGAUUUGUUGAAAUGAUUAGACCUGUCUUUCUGCAAAUGCGUUUGACAGAUAUGCUCAAAAUGUCUCCGUAUGCUAAGUACAUGAAGGAUAUUGUGACUAAUAAGAGGAGGAUACCUGAGGUUGAGAUUUCCACCAUGCUCGCUAAUUAUACCUUCAAGGGUGGAACUCCUAAGAAACUAGGUGAUCCCGGAGUGCCCACUAUACCUUGCUCCAUUAAAGGAAACUACGUUAGAACUUAUUUAUGCGACUUUAGAGCCGGUGUUAGUGUUAUGCCUCUCUCUCUUUAUCAUAGACUUGAACUGGAUAAGUUGACACCCACUAAAAUCUCUCUGCAGAUGGCCGACAAAUCAACUGCUUUCCCUAUUGGCAUUUACGAGGAUGUGCCUGUUGUGGUUGCUAAUGUCACUAUCUUAACAUACUUUGUUAUUCUGGAUAUUCCCGAGGAUGAUGCCAUGGCGGUCAUCCUUGGAAGACCCUUUUUAAACACUGUAGGUGCUGUUAUAGAUUGCAACAAAGGCAAUUUCACUUUCCAUGUCAAUGGUAAUGAGCAUACAACGCACUUUCCAAAGAAACAAUAUCGAGUACAUUGCAUCAAUGCUAUCAGAAAAACUUCAUCGAUUCUUAUUGGGAGCUUUGAAUGCCCUAUACCUCCUGUCAAGAUGAAGUAUGAUUUGCUUGUUGGGGAUAUUCACAUUCCCAUUGAGGUAACCUAGUGACUAUUUGAAAAUUCUCCGUUCUUCUUUAUGCGAUUCUAAAAAGUUUGUCAAGGAGACUUGAUCCACCUCAUUGACGGAUUUCUUUCGAUGACCAUGAGACGGAUGAAUCGAGGAGUCACAAACCUCUGUUCCAAGCUUUCAUCUUCGGUUGGUUAGAAGAAAAAUGAUAGAUUUAGUUUAGUUUUCCCUAUUUUCUGCUUUUAGCGUCCCGUAAAAAAGUACCCCGAAAAUAAAAGUUCUCCGAAUGUCGUGAAAAUCAAGUAUGAUUUUUUCUGGAAUUUUUGAAAAAUACUGAGACGAAGAGCUAGUCAGGGGGUUGCACCAGUGGGCCACAAGCCCUGGAGGCGCGGGCACCCCCCUGGCCGCGCCUACCAGGCUUGUGGGGCCCACGUGCACCCCAUCCACUCAUUCUAGCUCCCAUCUGCUUCGCCUACCUCCAGAAAAAUCGUUUCGCAGCUCAAACCCGUGUUCUUGCUCUUCUUGCUGGGAUUAUUGAUCUCCUUGUGCAAAGCACCAUUCACCAAGCUAUUUUGGGGAAAUUUCUCCUUGGUAAGUGACUCCUCCAUUGGUCCAAUUAGUUUUUUCUCUAGUGCCUUAUACGUUGCGUAUUUUUGCUGCCUUGGUGACCCUGUUCUUGAGCAUUGCAUGCUAAUUUUAGCUGGUCCCAAGUAGUUUUGAUGCGUGAUAUGGCCUCUAGGCACUUGUCGGAGUAGUUGCUAUGAGUUUCGUUGAGCCUUGUCCACUUUUCCUUUGAGUCACUGAAAAUUUCAAAAAAAGGAAGAUGUUCAGGAGAAACUAUCAUGGUGGUUCCUCAAGUAAGAGGGGUCCCCGUCUCGCGAUUCAGGAGCCCGAUCCUUAUCAACAAAGGGACGCACAGGUACAACCAUGUGAAUGGCCUUCUGAUGAAUUCAUGAUUGAGGUAGGUUUCAAAGAUGAGUUUUAUACACUUGUUCGCAACAUCGGACUCGAAGAAUUCAUCUCCGAUAAAUGUGAACAGUAUGUUACUCUCACUUCCUCUUUUGUUCGUAGAUUCAAGUUUUCAGCUGGCCGUGAUACAUGUGUACUGUUUGAUCUCUAUGACAAAUCGUAUACCGUGGAUUUAGAGGAUUUCAAUAGAAUUUGCAAGAUACCUGGUUGGGGUAGUCUCAAUGAUCCUCCUAAAUCUUCGGUUAGAGAUUUUUUCUCUAGUAUAACUGUUGGAGAAACUAGAGAUAUUACGCAGGCUACCAUGGGGAGCAUUCAUUUUCCUGCCUUGCAUUACUUUGCCCUCUUCAUAGGUAGAUGCAUUAACGGCAAGAUUGAGCAUUGUUACCUCUCCGCACCUGACCUCAGUAUUCUUAAGAGCGCAGUAACGGGUGAUAGAAGUUUCAACAUGGGAGCCAUAAUAGCAAGGAGGUUGAAUAAUAAUGCUAAUGAAGGGGAUUUCUUUGGUGGGAUCUAUGCCACUCGCAUAGCAAAUUUUCUUGGAGUACCCAUCCACGAAGGAGAUCCCUCGCUCCAUACAGCUUUCCUUCAUCGCGCCGCUUUGACACGCUAUCAGUUCCUUGAGAGGGAUGAUGAAUCCCUCCUAUACCGGUAAUAUUUAUCCGGCAGCGUGUUUUCCAUAUUACCCUUCCUGCUCCUGCCUUCUUUGACUUUCAGGUAAAACGGAGAUAUUACAUAACCAGAGAAGAGGCAUAGGAGUAUGAGAGGGAGGCAAAGGCUGCUCGUCUCCGUGAGGCAGCCAUUCAGGCAGUGGCUCCCGCGCUCCCGCGCUCCCGUACAACCCCCAUUAUGAUUUUGGGUAUCGCCCGGACCAACCAUGGGAGUAGACCAACUUAGGCCAAAAGCCUAAGCUUGGGGGAGUACGUGUUUCUCACCGACUUUAUAUUCUUGCUUAUCUUUUCACUUUGUUAGUCGGUGUUCACACUUUGCCACUGUAUCAUCCAUGCUAGUUUAUUUCUUUUUCUCGUUUUCUUCUCGUGUGUUUGUCUAGUUUCAGAAAACCCAAAAAUAUUUCCUUUUCUUCUUUUGCUUGUUGGGAGCUUUCCCGUGUAAAUAGUUUUCUUUUUCUUUGGGUCAAGGUAGAAGACCAUGGUUACAAUGUUUAGUGGCUCUUGCAUGCAUAUCUGUUUAUCCUUAAAAGAGGCAUAUUACUUUGUCUUCUCCUUUGUGUUUGCCUGCAGAUUCCAGCAUAGUCCAAUGCACGAGCACUCUUAUUAUUGUUCACAUAAUUCGGUCGUGCAAGUGAAAGACAAUAAUGAUGAUAUAUGAUGAAGUGACUGAGCCUGGAAAAGCUAGUAUGAACUCGAUCUAUUUUGUUUUUGUAAAUAUGACUAGCUCAUCGUUCCUGAUUCAGCUUUGUUGUGAGAGAAACAUGUUUGCAAUGGCAACUUAGAGAUCAUAGUUUCUGAUGGCAUGCUUAAUUAGCUAGGAGCUUAUAAUGGUUUGUCUUGGAUGCCAACAUGAAUUUUGAGAUGACUAUGAUGUAGUAUGAUAGGAUGGUAUCCUCCUUUGAAUGAUUGAAGUGGCUUGACUUGGCACAUGUUCACGCAUGUAGUUGAAACAAAAUCAACAUAGCCUCUAUGAUAUUCAUGUUCAUGGUGAUUUAUGUCCUACUCAUUCUUGCACUCAAUGUUGGUUAAUCUCAAUGUAUUUUGAUGACUGUUGUCGCUUUCUAGUUGGUCGCUUCCCAGUCUUUUGCUAGCCUUCACUUGUACUAAGCGGGAAUACUGCUUUUGCAUCCACUUCCAUAAACCCAAAGUUGUUCCAUAUGAGUCCACCAUACCUACCUAUAUGCGGUAUCUACCUACCGUUACAAGUAAAUUUGCAUGUGCCACUCUCUAAACCUUCAAGAAAUAAUCUAUUUGCAUGCCCGAACCGCUCAUGUGGUGACAGGGGGCGAUCAGUAUCUUCCAUGCUAGGCGUGUUAUCCUUGAUAUGUGUUUAUUCACUAUCAUUCACGAGAAAGGGGACGGUAAUUGGGAUGACCAGUUCCAUGUUCAAAUUGAAAAGAUAAUUGCAAACAAAACUCCCCCCGGAUUGUUGUUGGUAUGGACAGCACCCGAGUAUUUGGCUAGUCGUGGAGUGUGAUUGAUCGGUGGUGGCGGUGUCAAAACUUUACUUUUCUGUUUGGGAACCGCCUAUAGCAUGUGUAGCGUGGAAGAUGGUGAAAACUCUUAGUCAUUGCGUUGCCAAUGAAAGCAUGCCACCCAAAAUUAUUGUCUCUGUUUUAAAAAGCUUGCAUGCNNNNNNNNNNNNNNNNNNNNNNNNNNNNNNNNNNNNNNNNNNNNNNNNNNNNNNNNNNNNNNNNNNNNNNNNNNNNNNNNNNNNNNNNNNNNNNNNNNNNGCGAGCCCUCUCGAUCCCCUCGCCUAGCCCACGCUCGACCGAGCUUCUCGCUCGCUCGUCCCCAAACCCGCUCGCCUCCCCAGUUCCCACGUCGCCCUGGUCCAGCGCCCCCUGCCUCGCUGGUUCCCUCGCCGGUGUCAGCUGCCGCCGCCCCGGCCUCCUGCACCACCGGCCGGUGCUGCCCGCUGCCGCCAGGGCCUCACCACCGGCUGAUCACAAGAUUGGUGGAGCGUGGAGAAUGAAAAGCAAAAGGAUGGCUUGGGUUGCUUGAGAUAAAUUGACGCUCUCUAAGUUCCAAGGUGGCAUGAGCUUGAGAGAUAUAAUGUUAUUUAAAGUGUUGUAGUAAUGGUGAAAAUGUUUUUAGGACCAAUCACGGUAAAUCACCUAAUCCAUAGUGUAUUAAAGUGUUGUAGUAAUGGUAAUUUAUCCUCAGUAUUGCAGAUGAUUGAAUUUAAAUCGACACACCAUGAUUCAUUAUCUUUCACCAGUUGCUCCUCAUAGAACGAUUCACACAUUCGCUACACUGCAAACUUAGUUUAUUUUUUUUCCUUGGUCACACACACAUAGCUAAGCCCAAUUGGACCAAAUAAUUGUAUAUCAUCGAUUUUGUCAUGGGAGUAGCCACCCAGUCUAUGUAGCAAUAUGUGCGGCUGGCAUCAAAAACUCGGACAGGAUUGCUAGAAAAUCCAACGACCAGAAAUGUUGAACCUUCAAAUCUGAUGGCGGAAACCACUAAUGGUCUAAGAGGUGUGGCAAAGUACAGUUUUAAUCUCUAAAUGUGCUUGAUUAUGGACUAGAAAACUAUUACCGUAAAUGGAAACUUGUCAAAUCUUGUUUUUACUAGCAAUGCAUUUAAGGUUUGGCAUGGUCAAUACUCCCUCCAUCCCGGUGUAUAAGUCAUUCGCGUAGUUCUAGGUCACCGAUUUGAGAAAUUAAAUAUGUGUUAUAUGUCAUGAAAAGUAUAUCACUAGAUAGCUACUCGGAUGUAGUUUCUAAAUAUAUAUUUCUUAUUAUAUAUGAUACAUAUUUAGGAAGUUAAAUUGUCGACCUAGAACUACGCGAAUGACUUAUACACCGGGACGGAGGUAGUAACAUGGAUUGGAACUGCUAAACAGAGGCCUUGCUUGGUGAGUUGGCAUGUGAAAAAUAUAAAGGUUUGGACGGACCCCUAGAUCCCUCACUGACACGUCUCGUAGAAGUUCGAACGGUCACAAUGAAAGGUUAUUGUAGGUGUAAUAUGAUGAAUGAUUUUCUUGGCAAUAAUGAUCCACUCGAAAUACUAACGGUCGUCGACAUUUUAAGAAAGAGUCAAAUAAGGAAUUCUCACUACUUGUUAUUUGCAAGCGAGUGAGAUGUGUAGAUGAUUAUAGAUAGCAAGAUAAAAUAAAAACAAGUAAAUGACAACAAGGUAUUAAAGAUUUUGUAAAUAUGUCGUGAAUAGGCAAGGGGCCAUAGUUUUUUCUAGUGGCAUCUUUCAUUAAAAAUAGCAUACGGUGGGUAAACAAAUUACUAUUGGACAAUUGCCAGAAACACGGAUAAUUAUGCGAUAUGCACGGGAGUGAUCAUAUGUAUAUAUGCAUCACAUCCAUAAACAAAUAAGCUGACUCCUGCCCACACAUAUUACUAUUACUCCACUCAUCGAUCGCUAUCCAGGAUGUAUCUAGAGUACUAAGUAAAACAGAGUAAUGCAUGGAGAACAAUGACAUGAUGUAGAUAAAAUAAACUCAAACAAUAUGAAUAAACCCGAUCGUUUUAUCCUUAGUAGCAGCAACACAAAGACACAUCUUGUCCCCUUCUGUCACUCAGAUAUAGAAAUUCGCCAGGUUGAACCUACUACAACGCACCUCUCUAACCGAAGAAAUAUCAAUCUAGUUGGCCAAACAAUUUCAAUAGAUCAAAGAGAAUUACGAAGCUAUGAUAAUCACACACAUAAGAAUCAUAUAAGUAUUCGGAGAAGACUCAAAUAUUUAUCAUGAAUAAUCUAAACAUAAACCCAUAAUUCAUCCUAUCCCAACAAACACACCGAACAAAAGGAAUUACAUCAUGUGGAUCAAAGCGAAGAUGCGAUGAUCAUUGUAUUGAAGAUCAAGAGAGUGAGAUUGCCAUCUAGGUACUCGCUAUGGACCCGUAGGUGUGUGGUGAACUACUCACACAUCACCGUGAGGGAAGCGAGGUUGAUGAAGAGGCACUCCGUGAUUGAUCCCCCUCCGGCAGGGUGCCGGAACGGAGCUCCAGAUGGCCUCCCUUCGUAACAAUGACUUGCGGUAGCGUAAAAAGUGUUUCGCAAUAUGAGUAUAAGCUAGAGAACGGAGUCGGGAGGGCCUUGAGGGGCCCACAAGCCAACAGGGCGUGCCCUCCAAGCCGCACCGGGUUUUCUUGGGGGGACCCUCGUGUGGCCCCCAACCUUCCUCUAAUGCUUGUUGGUCUUCUUUUGGUCCGGAAAAAUCUCUAAAAAGUUUCAGGUCAAUUGGACUUCGUUUGGUAUGGAAAACCUGAAAAGUGGAAAACAUGCAGAAAACAACAAUUAGAACUCGGCACUCGGUCAAUAGUUUAGUGCUCAAAAAUAGUAUAAAUUGAUAAUUAAAUACCCCAAAAGUAUUCUAGAAUGAUAAUAUAUCUACAUGAAACAAUAAAAAAUAAUAGAUACAUUGGAGACGUAUCAAGCAUCCCCAAGCUUAAUUCUUGUUCGUCCUCGAGUAGGUAAAUCGUAGAAACAGAAUUUUUGAUGUGACAUGCUGUCCAUAAUGUAACCUUAUGCAUGUAUGCUCACUGAGAAAUGAUGAAUUAACAAAUAUUAACACAUCAAUACUUGUAUGUAUAAGCAGAAAAAUCAUUAAUCUUUCAAAGUAUACGAUCCUUAAAGAUUGUUUUACCCCAUCCAUCUUAUUAUAUUAGCAAGGCAUGGCUCCAUCUUCAUCACAUUAAUACAAAUAUCAAGCACCACGGUGUCCAAGUCAGGCAAUUGAACCGUACUUUUUCAAUAUGCAUCGACUUUUUAUUCUUCACACAAUACAUGACCGUGAACCAAUUGACAUACCAUAUAAGUGGAAUAGAAUAUGCUGGUAGGUUUCAAAUAGGUAACAAGUGAAGAAGAUAGUCUCACAUCAACUAGGCGUACCAACGGGCCAUGGAGAUGCCCAUCGAUAGAUAUCGAUGCAAGGAGUAGCGAUUGCCAUGCAAAUGACGCACUAAAGCUAUAAGUGUAUGAAAGCUCCACUAAAGCUAAGUGGGGUGUGCAUCCAACUUGCUUGCUCAUGAAAAUCUCAAGCAUUUGAGGAAGCCCGUCAUUGGAAUAUACAAGCCAAGUUUAUGAAAAAGUGAUUCCCACUAGCAUAUGAAUGAUAUAAGAUGAGACUCUCCAUAUGAAGAACAAGGUGCCACUUUGAGGCACAAGUGUGGUAAAUGAUAAUAGCAAAGUCCCUUCUCUCUUUUUCUCUCAUUAAUUUUUUUCUCUUUUUCAUUUUUUUUCAUUUUUAUUAUGGUGGGAUCAUUUGGCCUCCAACAUUUUUAUUUCCUCAUUGGGACAAUGCUCUAAUAAUGAUGAUCAUCACACUUUUAGUUACUUACAACUCAAUAUGAAAAUUGAUCGGAUGAUAUGACUCUGUAUGAAUGCCUCUAGCAGUGUACUAGGAUGUGCAAAGAUCUAGAAUGAAAUGUAUCAAAAAUAUGAUGAAUGGUGGCUUUGCCACAAAUACUACGUCAGCUCUAUAUGAUCAUGCAAAGCAUUAUGAUGAUUUAUGAACUAGACAUGUGAAGUGACGGUGGAAUUUGCAUGGCAAUAUAUCUAAGAAUGGCUAUGAACAUGCCAUGAUAGGUAGGUAUGGUGGCUGUUUUGAGGAAGAUAUAAUAAGGCUUAUGUGCAAUAGAGGAUGUCAUGUCACGGGGUUUGGAUGCACCGGCGAAAGUUGCACCGAUCCUCAAGGUGAGAACGGGCGAUGGAUGAUACCGAAGAGGCUAGCAAAUAUGGGGAGGUGAGAUUGCGUAUGUCCAUGGUUUCACAUUAGUCAUGAAGAACUCAUGUACUUGUUGUAAAGUUUUAUUAGUUUUAUCACAGAUCAAAGUACUACUCGCAUGCCCCGAGGGAGAGGGUUGAUAGGAAUUAACCAUCGCGCGACUCCAACUCAAAACAACACUAGGAUUUCAACAAGGAAUAGAAAUGUUCGCACAUCAUCACCAUGCCCUUUUAAUAUUUAGAUGAACAAGAAGUUUAGCAUCUCUUAAUAUUGUCACCUCUCUGAAUUAGUAUUAAUGGACUCACACCUUUUUCAUAUCACCACAUCAAUAUUAUUAACCAUAAUUUCUCUAUAUGUGCUACAUGAUGGUUUUAAUUAUCACUAAUUGAACAUCCAUUAUUUUUUAUCUAGUCUUAUGACCCAUGGAAAUUAUCGUCACUAUUUAUUGAACUAUCAAACAAAUAUAAGUGAAGAACAAGAGCAUAAUAUGUCUACAAAAUCUACACGCCACCGUGCUCAAAAUGAUAUAAGUGAAGUACUAGAGCAACUGCCUAGCUCAAAAGAUAUAAGUGAAGCACAUAGAGUAUUCUAACAAAUUGUGAUGACGUUGUAUCUCUCUCAAAUAGGUGUGUCCAGUAAGCAAUGAUUAUGGUAGACUGAAAGUAAAAGAAAGCAAAAGCAAAUGACACUCCAAGUAAAACUCAUAUCAUGUGAUGAAUAAAAAUGUAGCUCCAAGUGACAUACCGAUGGAUUGAGACAAAAAGAGGGGAUGCCUUCCGGGGCAUCCCCAAGCUUAGAUGCUUGAGUCUUCCUAGAAUAUUACCUUGGAAUGACUUGGGCAUCCCAAAGCUUAGGAUUUUGCUGCUCGUCAUUCCUUUGUCCAUCAGGACAAUACCCAAAACUUGAAAAAUUUAAUCGCAUAAAACUCAACAAAACUUCUUGAGAUCCGUUAGUAUAAGCAACAUAUCAAAUACUUUCAAGCGCUGUUACAAGUUGAUUUUUAUUUUAUUUUAGCAUAAGGAACUAUAUUCUAACUUCUCCAUGACUUGUACACGCCCGAUACAGUCUAUAGCAUCAUCAAAACAAGCAAACUAUGCAAGCAAAAACAAAAUCUGACUGAAACAGAAUAGUGUGUAGUAAUCUGUAAUGAACCUAUACUUAUGUAACUCCAAAAAUACUGAAAAAUAAGGAAGACCUGAGGAAUUUGUAUAGAAAUAUUUGUAAAAAAAUCAUCUUAUUAAGACCUUCUAGUAAAAUCAGAGAAAUUAUGCACUAGACAUCAAAUUUUAUGUUUUUAUACCGUAUCAAUUCUACUCAUCAUACAAAUCAUCCCAAAGGCUAUACUUGGCACAAACACUAAAUAAAACAUAAAAGCACAAUCAUUACAGAGGGAAUAAUAUUGUUAUUACAAACAAAUAGAAAUAAAUGAUAACUAUUGGGUUGUCUCCCAACAAGCUCUUUCUUUAUAGCCAUUAAGAUAGGCUUGAAAUUUCAAUGAUGCUCACAUAAAAGACAAGAACUGAAUCACAAGACAUGUGACAAGAACAUUUAAGUGUAACAUACUUCCUAUGAUUUUCAUUCAAGGAAUUAUCAUGGAUAACUUUAUAAAUUUCACAACUUUUGGAUUCAUGAUUUUCAAACAAGACCUCAUAAAGAUAAUCUAGUGCAUUGUCACUAGCAAUUGUUUCAACAUAAACUGGUCUUUUGAAAAGAUUAGCUAGUGGAUGAGGAUCCAUUUAUCUUAAUCUUUGCAUUUUACUUUGUGUUUUGGUGUGACAAAGAUAAAGAUAGCAUAGGUAGGCAAGUAAACUAGAGAGCAAAGGUGCAAACUAGCGACAAAUUAAGCAAGCAAAUGUAAAUAUUUUUGUAUUUUUAUUUUUUAUGAGACAAACUAAAUAUACCAGCAAAUUAAAAGGAGAACGAGGGAAUGAAAAUUUCUGUCGAGUUACUUGGUAGUUGGUGAUGAUAUUCCCCGGCAACGGCGCGAGAAAUCCUUCCUCAUACUUGUGAUGUGCGUUGGGUUUUCCAUGAAGUGGAACAGGUUAUCACAUCACAAAGUGGGUAAGUAUUUCCCUCAGUUAUGAAACCGAGGUUUAUCGAACCGAUAGGAAUAUAAACCACAACCGUCUUUAGCGGCUACACACAAAAGGACAAACAACUUGCAACCAACGCGGGAAAGAGGGUUGUCAAUCCCCUUGUACUUGUUAUUUACAAGCGAGUGGGGUGUGUAGAUAAUCGUAGAUAGCAAGAUAAAAUAAAAACAAGUAAAUGGAAGCAAGGUAUUGAAGGUUUUGUAAAUAUGCUGUGAAUAGACCCGGGGGCCAUAGUUUUCCCUUAUGACAUCACUCAUGAAAAAUAGCAUACAAUGGCUAAACAAAUUACUGUUGGGUAACUGAAAGAAAAGUGGAUAGUUAUGAAAUAUUCACGGUAAUGAUCAUGUGUAUAUAGUCAUCACGUCCAUUCACAAAUAGAUCGACUCCUGCCGCACCUAUUACUAUUAGUCUACUCAUUGAUCGCUAUCUAGCAUGCAUCCAGAGUAUUAAGUAAAACAAAGUAAUGCAUGAAGAACAAUGACAUGAUGUAGACAAAUUAAACUCAAACAACAUGAAUAAACCCCAUCGUUUUAUCCUUAUUAGCAGUAACACAAAGUUAUAUCUUGUCCCCUUCUAUUGCCGGGAUAUAUAAAUUCACGAGGUUGAACCUAGUACAACACACCUCUCUCACCGAAGAAAUAUCAAUAUAGUUGGCCAAACUAUUUCAAUAGAUCGGAGAGAAUUAAGAAGCUAUCAUAAUCAUGCACAUAAGAAUCAUAUAAGUAUUCUUAGAAGACUCAAAUAUUUAUCAUGAAUAAGCUAAACAUAAACGCACAAUUCAUAGGAUCCCAACAAACGCACCGCAAGAAAGGAAUUACAUCAUGUGGAUCAAAGCGACGAUGUGAUUAUCAUUAUAUUGAAGAUCAACAAAGAGAGAUUGCCAUCUAGGUAUUGGAUAUGGACCCAUAUGUUUGUGGUGAACUACUCACACAUCCUCGUGAGAGCAGCAAGGCUGAGGAAGUGGCCCUCCGUGAUCGAUCCCCCCUCCGACAGGGUGCCGGAACGAAGCUCUAGAUGGCCUCCCAUCGGAACAGAUACUUGUGGCAGCGUAAAAAGUAUUUUGAGAAUGCUUCUAUGUUUUUAGGGUAUUGCUACGGCAACAAAAGUCCUUCCCUUGCAAUGCCAGGAAUUCUUCUUGCUACUUCUCUUNNNNNNNNNNNNNNNNNNNNNNNNNNNNNNNNNNNNNNNNNNNNNNNNNNNNNNNNNNNNNNNNNNNNNNNNNNNNNNNNNNNNNNNNNNNNNNNNNNNNAUUCGCUCCGAGUGUGCACCAAAAGUCACACUCGGGGACUUAGCCGCGACCCAGAGUCGCCUAAGUAAAGACUCGCUCCGAGUGUGCACCAAAAGUCACACUCGGGGACUUAGCCGCGACCCAGAGUCGCCUAAGUAAAAACUCCCUCCGAAUGUGCACCAAAAGUCACACUCGGAGACUUAGCUGCGACUCAGAGUCGCCUAAGUAAACAAAUUGCUCCGAGUGUGCAUUUCAAGUCACACUCGGAGACUUAGAUGCGAACCAGAGUCGCCUAAGUAAAAAGCUUCCUCCGAGUGGGCACUCGAGAUACACUCGGAGGCUUAGCAGACCCUCAUUGAGGCUCAUGUGGAUGUGAAGACAACUGAAAAUUACAUGCUCCGCAUGUUUGCCAUUGGCUUCACCAAGAGACGCCCAAACAAAAACCACGAGCCAAAAUCGUGUAAAAAAACUCAGCGAAAGAAGAGCAAAAGAUCCGGUUUGAAUUCAAAUUGGUUCUGCGAUCAGUCGGCUCGGUGUGAAUCUAGUUUAUCCACACCGAGCCACGAAUGUACCGGCCAACAACAGUGGCCAAAGUUUAAUACAGACUCUACUCGGCAUACCGAGGUAAAUGUGCGUUAAGCAUAAAGUUUAUCAAGCGUCGCCGGGACUGGCAGGCUCCACAAAGGUGUCGAGGUCGAUUCCAUCUGCAAUCCGAGUGGCUGUGUCGAGGAAGGUCUCCAUGAAAUCUUCAAAUCGAAGCUUCUUGGUGUUGGCGACCUGCAACGUCUUCAGCUUGUCUUCGCGGGCUUCCUUGCAGUGCACUCGGACGAGAGACAGCGCCACGUCCGCACCACACCGAGCGGCAGACUUCUUCCAUGCCUGCACUCUGCUUGGAACGUCCUCCAGUCGAGUCAUCAACCCCUCUAUCUCGUUCCGAGAGUCAUCUUCAGGCCACAACUCCUUGUCGAUUCGGCCGACAACUCCUCUCAGGCGACCAAUGAAAGGACCCACCCUGUUAAGGCGAGAAUUCACUCGGAACAUGUCCCGGUUAGCUUCAUCGCCGAGUGGAACAUUCGGAACAAGCGACCGUUCAAUUUCGGCUGUUUCGGCCUCAACGUCCCGACAGAAAUCUGCAAAGAAAAGACAAGCAAAAAAUAAGCGCGGAGUGAACUCCAAAGUCAAAAAGCACUCGGCAAGAACUUACCACCAAGUAGUGCGACCAUCUUCUUCGCCCAGUCGCCGACGUAGUUCUCCUGCGCUCUGCACCGAGUGUUCAUUACCUUCAGCUGGCCCAUCCAUUCGGAUCUCUCCCUCUUCAUUUUUUCUACUUCGGCUAGCAGUGCCUUGUUAGUCUCCCGAGACUCCUCCAAAGAUUUCUCUCGUUCAGCGAGAGCCUUCUUCAUGCCAGCCAGAUCAUUCACAGCUACCUCCAAGUUCGCAGCAAGUUGAGUCUUCUCAGCCUUCAUAUCAUUAUAGGCCGAUCCCAUUUCACAAGUCUUCUGUCAAAGAGACACCAAGGGAGGAUCAGCCAUAUUCAACAAGGAAAAAGUCUCGACAGAUAUGACAAAACAAUCAAAGCUCAAAAUUCUUCAGACCCCUACCCAUGCAAGCAAUCGACAGCGGUCUCGGGGACUACACCCAGUGGGUUCACUAAGAGUGACCCCACUGGUAUGAAGCUCGAACAGGUCGGCCCUAUUGAGCUCCAUAGCAAACCAACAACACUAUGAGAUUACUAUUACUCGACCCGAGUAACACUACUCUCGGGGACUACACCCAGUGGGUGCACUCGGCGUGCCCCCACUGGUACCAUUUGGGCAGAUCAACCUUGAUCUGUAGAGUUUAUGGAAAAUACAUAUAAAGACAACUGCCGGUGCAAGCACUUGACAGAAGUCUCGGGGACUACACCCACUGGGUUCACUCGGAGUGAACCCACUGAAAAAUCAACCUACUGUAUCCGAGUAUCUCACUGAAACCCCCAGUGGGUACCAAGAGGAAUGUAAACACUUACUGGCGCACUUACUCGGAUAGCAUCCCGAAGCUCCAAGCUCUUCUAGUACAGAGACGCGAUGGAGUCAUAUGCUCCCUUGGCGUCGCCCACCAUCAGCUCCACUUGCACCAUGGCGUCCUUGGUGGCUCCUACAUGAUCCUCCGGGAGGCGUCGGGCAUCAUAUUGAACAGCUGACGGACCCGGCAUGGCAGAAGGCUCCCUCGGCAUCCCGAGCUCUGCUCCAGUCGGUUCCGCAGUGAGGGCCACCGUCCAAGUUGGCGGAACACUCAUGGAGGGAUUGGCAGCAGGUUGGAUAACCCCAGAAGCAGGCGCCAAAGUUGGUUCCGACCUCCUUUGGUCGUCAUCGUCCAGAUGGAUCACCUCCGAAGGAAGCCCGACUGAACAAAAUGAAAAUACAGAAAAAGGUCAAGACCAAAGACAACACACGCGAAACGGUAGUACAGCUCUCGGAGUCGUGACAACGUACCUUGCUGGGACGUGGCGGCGUUACCAGUGUCCAUGGGAUCAUCAUCCGGAUGCGGCAGAGAGGUGGAGGAGGUAGCAGCUCUGUUGAGUGAAAUCCACUCGACAGAUAAACAUGAAUUCUCGAAAAGAAGAGUUCAAUCGGAUACUGAAGGAAGAUGGAAGAGUAAAGAUAUUUACGCUGAUGCGACCGGAACAACGAUCCUCAUCCGGGGCAAGGCUUUCCGAGGUUUAGGCCCGUUGGGUUUAGCCACCUUGGACGGCUGGUUCAUGGGUUCGGCAGAAGCACCCCUGGUUCUCUUCACACUCCGAGCACUCGGAGCCACGGGAGGAGCCGGUGGAGCAGCGGGGUCAUGAUGGCGCUUAGUUCGGUGUUCUGGUGGUGAGGGUGACGAGCUUUGCUCUCCACUCUCCUCCUCCUCCUCUUCUGUCUCCUCCUCCGUCUCCCCACUGUCAGAGACGUACUCGGUGCUAUCCGCGCUGCCCUCCAUGCUGCCUUCCUCUUCCUCGACUGGAUUCCCAUUCGGGACUGCAGAAUGCCAGUUCGUCCACUCCUGCACAAAACACAGUCGGCAACAUCAGUCGGCGAGAGAAGAAAAGCAAUAAAGCUGAGAAGGUUAAAAGCACUCGACGACAUGACACACCUCAUUCGGAGGAGGAUUUUCGGCGCGGAAGGCCUUCACCCGCCGAGCUCCCACGGGGUUAUCACACGUGCCCGUGAUGCUGUGGACCCAUGCGCUCACGGUCUCCUCGCUCACGUCUUCGGGAUGGGACCGAGUGGUAUCUGAAGGCCCCAUGUAAUGCCACAUAGCAUGGUCUCGGGCUUGCAGCGGCUGGAUGUGUCGAUCCAGAAAAGUCUCCAGCAGGUCCAUGCCGGUGACUCCCCUCCGGACGACGGCUAUCAGCGCGUCGACCAAAGGCUGGAUCUGGGUUCUUUCUCCCUUAGAGAGCGCAAGUUUCCUGGGAGGGCCCGGACGGUCUAAGUUGAAGGGUGGCAACCCACUCGAAGCAUUCGGGCAGGCAAUGUCCUCGCAAUAGAACCAGGACGAUUGCCAGUUCCUAACCGACUCGGAUAGUUGAAGGGAGGGAUAACUACUCUUUGUUUUCUUCUGAAAGCCUAAGCCCCCGCAGAGCUGGAGGAUGUGUGUCUUAUCAUCCGACUGGCUAAGCUUCUUAACAGUUUGGGAUCUAGCGGAGAAGACAUAUUUAAAUAGCCCCCAGUGGGGAGGACAUCCUAUGAAGCACUCGCAGAGGGUGACGAAUGCGGAAAGAUGAGCUAUCGCAUUCGGAGGAAAGUGAUGGAGCUGCGCCCCGAAGUAAUUCAUGAUACCUCGGAAGAAAGGAUGGGGAGGCAAGGAGAAACCCCUGGCCACGUGGCUGAGUAGCAGAACGCGCUCCCCCUCCUUCGGCGCCGGCUCCGUCUCGCCUUCCGGCAACCUCCAGGACUUGUUGGCGACCAUGCCGUGCUCCACCAGCUCCAGCACGUCGUUCUCCGUCACCGAGGAGGGGAGGAAGCCCCCCUAGAUCCAGCCCGCCGGCAGCGCCCGCUGCCGCUACUGAGUGGAGGCCGCCCCCUUCUUCUUCUUCUUCUGCGCGUCGAGCUUGCUGGUCUGCCCCUUUGUCAUGGCGAGGGCGACGGAUCCGCAGAGGAUGAGAGGAAAGAGGUGGCUUGAGGCGUGCAGGGAGUUGCGGGAGGAGCGAGAUUAAUGGGAGGAAGAUGAGCAGCGCAACAGGAAGGGCCGCCGGGAAAGCUUUAAUAGGCCUCCGACUGGGUCACCUACAAGUGGGCCCGAGAUCUUAUCCUCCCACCGGCUGCAGCAAGAUUGGUGAAGAAGAUAACGGCGCGGUAAUCGAGGAGGCAAAACCCACUCGAUGGCGAUCUCGUCAUCCCCGCUGAGCGAGCGGCAACUGAAAUUUGAGGAUCUCGGAAAAUCCGGCGCUGUCAGUUUGACCAGUCACGUCAAAAGAUUCCGCGGAAGCACUCGGUCCCUCACGGUUCGUUUCACUGGCAUAUUCACUCGGAUCACUAGUUGAAAUGAUAAAAUGGAUCGAGGCAAACAACGCUAAAGUCACCUCAAUACCAGUCGGUUCCAAACUCCAGACAUCACUUCAUCGUUCCAACCCCGAUCUAUUCGGGGACUAAUGAUGGGGUUAUAGUCCCAGGGUAGGGUCAUAGGUCUGCCCUAUAGGUCCUACCCAAGCACUAUCCUUCAUAGAAGACAAGGCCCUUAGACAGUUCCGACUGAACUAAGGACACCCCCAUCAUCCAGUCGGCGACGAUCCACUCGGAGCAUAUCUAACGUACCGACUGGAAUCCACUAUGUACAUCGUAACCUCCCAGGAGGGCAACGGUCAUACGUUUUCAUACACCAUUAUUAGCAUUUAAGGCUUACGUUACGAGUAACACCAGUUUUAACUCACCACAACUCCACCCCUGUCCACCGGACCGUUAUGAAGGGCAACACACUCUAUAUAAGCCGCCCUUCCCCACUGGUGCAGGGGUUGGCACUUGCUAUAAUCCCACAAUACACUCGACACAAAGCUCCCCAGAGCACUGAGACGUAGGGCUUUUACCUCCACCGCACAGGGGCCUGAACUCAUACAUCCUCGCCGUAGCUAAGGCUCUGCCCAUAUACUUUCGUAACCCAUACUUCUACUGUCAGACUUAUAGCCACGGCAGUCGGGAUUCGUUCUCUAUCUAGCACACAAGGAAAAGAAGGAGAAGCGACCCCCACGACACCUAAAGUCAACCCGUUCCAUACAUAAAAUAAAUGACAUAUAACUCAUCAUCAUCUUACCCAUUUAUAACUCAUGAAAGUCAUACAUGGAGCAACGACAAACUGAAACAUAACCGAUAUUAUCACUAAUACAUCCCGAAUAUUAUCAUACAAUAUCACUGAUAAAAACCCAGUUGACGUCUCAAGGUGCACGCGGUGGCAACCCAAAGAUAUAUAAGGAACCAUCACCAGAUCAUUGCUCGAGUGAUGUCCCUGGAGAACCUGGCAUCCAACGCAGCCAUGUAGCGACCGACGUGCUCGUCCUCCUCCCUGACACUGCGACGUACCACCUCCGUGGGGUCCAGAUCCCUCGCCACCGAUAAUGACCCACGCGACCGCUACCAUAGAAGCUCCGGGUCAACGAUGAGACCUGGAUUCCUCACCAAGGUGCGCCCCCCGGAAGGUAGCACCUCCCAGUGCCAGCCCGACGGAACCCAGUCCCGGACAUGCCAGCGCCUAUCAAGCAGGCUCUCGCUAACCACUCGACGAUGAGGAUGCGGGCCGGGCAUCGUCGACAUCAAUACAAAUUCCUCUGAGAAAAUUUUCUUAUUGUUUAAUGUUUUACUUUCUAGUUAUCAUUUAUACAAUAAUCAUCUGAUUUGAAUUUAGCUAGCGCCCACUACCUAUUUUUAUCAACAUGCAAGUAUGACACCAAAUAUAUAAUAAUAAAACAUAAUAUAUAUAUAUUGCAAAUAUUUCCGCAACAACAUUCAGGGCUUGAGCAAAUAUUUUGCAAAUAUACAAGAAUCAUAUCCUAGCAAGAACCCUAGGCAUGGGGAUAUGGCGAUGUCUCACAAGAGGUUUGGGUCGGUGUCGGGGUCGAGGUCGGGGUCGAGGUCGGCGACGGGCUCGGGGCGGGGCGGCAACGGCGACGGGUCGAGGGCGGCGGCGACGACGGGCUCGGGGCGGGGGAGGCGACGACGACGGGCUCAGGGCAGGGGUAGCGACGACGACGGGCUCGGAGGCGGCGACGACGACGGGCCCGAGGGCGGCGACGGCGACGGGCUUGGGGUGGGGGCGGCGACGGCGACAGGCUCGGGGGCGGCGACGACGACGAGCUCGGGGACGGCGGCGACGAGGAGGAGGAAUGGAUCGGUGGCGACGGCGCGGGGCAAAUGGGGAAAAUUCGACAACUCCCGCCUUAUAUGCGAAAACCUCUUGUCCCGGUUCGAGGAAAAAACCGGGACUAAAGGUCAAUUUUCAGUAGCCUAACGGGCGGGAAGAAGAGACCUUUAGUCCCGGUUUGUGCCGCAAACCGACACUAAAGGGUGUCUUUGGUCCCGGUUUGUACCAUCAACCGACACGAGCGGAAGUCUUUGGUCCCGGUUGGUGCCACAAACCGACACGAGUGUCCUGUGCCUGCUGCGUCCAAAGUGCUUGGUGAAGUACCACCAAAAACAAGAUCUAUUCUUCACAUGAUUCGGCAAAACCCUAGCUCCGCCAACCCUAUAUAAUCUCCUCCCAACCACAACGCCAGCUUUCCCCCGCCCACAGCCUCCAACCCCUCCCCCAACCCGAAAACCAUCGGCGGCGGCACAACGGGACUAGGGGAGAAGGAAGAUGGUGAAGUUCGUGAAGCCGGGCAAGGCGGUGAUCCUUCUGCAGGGCAGGUAUGCCGAGAAGAAGGCGGCGAUCAUGCGUGUGUUCAAGGAGGGCACCCGCGACCGCCCCUACGGGCACUGCCUGGUCGCCGGCUUGGCCAAAUACCCGAAGAAGGUGAUCCGCAAGGACUCGGCCAAGAAGUCACGCGUCAAGGUCUUUCUCAAGCUCGAGGAUAGGUUCAAGACCGGCAAGAACAUGUCGUUCUUCACCAAGCUUUGCAUGAUUCGACAUGAUUCAAGAAAUGCCAACAAAAUCUAUUCUUCACAUGAUUCGAUAUGAUUCGACAUGAUUCAAGAAAUUCCAACAAGAUAUAUUCUUCACAUGAUUCCACAUGAUUCAAGAAAUUCCAACAAGAUCUAUUCUUCACAUGAUUCGACAUGAUUCGACACGAUUCAAGAAAUUCCAACAAGAUCUAUUCUUCACAUGAUUCGACAUUAUUCAAGAAAUGCCAAACAAGAUCUAUUCUUCACAUGAUUCGACAUGAUUCAAGAAAUGCGAACCAGAUCUAUUCUUCACAUGAUUCAACAUGAUUCAAGAAAUGCGAACCAGAUCUAUUCUUCACAUGAUUCAACAUGAUUCGACAUGAUUCGAGAAAUUCCAACAUGAUCUAUUCUUCACAUGAUUUGACAUGAGUCAAGAAAUGCCAACAAGAUCUAUUCACAUGAUUCGACAUGAUUCAAGAAAUUCCAACAAGAUCUAUUCUUCACAUGAUUCGACAUGAUUCCACAUGAUUCGACAUGAUUCAAGAAAUUCCAACAAGAUCUAUUCUUCACAUUUCACCCACAUAGCAUGUGCUAAAAAGUUAAGAGGGUUGCCUCAAAAACUGGAUGCACUUCGUGUACAAACCGGACAAUCUCUUUCGAAGUAUAAGGGUUUCAUAUGAAUACUCAUCUGUUACAAAAGGCAUUUCAUUUUUUCAAACUUAUUUGAACUCCAGACUUUUUGUGUGUUCAAAAUGAACCAUUCAAGGCCACAUCAUCAAUUUUCAACACUUUCCAACAUCAUUUGGUUUUUUUCAUGCUUUUACUGAUUUUUUGGAGCUAAAUGACCCACAAGUUGAAAAGCACUACAAAUGAACUCUUAAUAGGUUGAAAGUUGGACAUGGUAUCAUCAUUUCACCCACAUAGCAUGUGCUAAAAAGUUGAGAGGGUUGCCGCAAAAACUGGAUGCACUUCGUGUACAAAUCAGACAAUCUCUUUUGAAGUAUGAGAGUUUCAUACGAAAACUCAUGUGUUACAAAAGGCAUUUCAUUUUUUUCGAACUUAUUUGAACUCCACACUUUUUAUGUGUUCAAAAUGAACCAUUCAAGGUCACAUCAUCAAUUUUCAACAUUUUCUGACUUCAUUUGGUAUUUUUCAUGCUUUUAUUGAUUUUUUGAGCUAAAUGACCCAAAAAUGGAAAAGCACUACAAAUGNGAACUCUUAAUAGGUUGAAAGUUGGCUGUGUAUCAUAAUUUCACCCACAUAGCAUGUGUUAAAAAGUUGGGAGGGUUGCCGUAAAAACUGGAUGCACUUCGUGUACAAAUCGGGCAAUCUCUUUCGAAGCAUGAGGGUUUUAUACGAAAACUCAUGUGUUACAAAAGGCAUUUCAUUUUUUUCAACUUAUUUGAACUCCAGACUUUUCAUGUGUUCAAAAUGAACCAUUCAAGGCCACAUCAUCAAUUUUCAAGACUUUCUGACUUCAUUUUGUAUUUUUCAUGCUUUUACUGAUUUUUGGAGCUAAAUGACCCAGAAAUUGAAAAGCACUACAAAUGAACACUUAAUAGGUCGAAAGUUGGCAUGGUAUCAUCAUUUCAUCCACAUAGCAUGUGCUAAAAAGUUGAGACGGUUGCCAAAAAAACUGGAUGCACUUCAUGUACAAAUCGGACAAUCUCUUUCGAAGUAUGAGAGUUUCAUACGAAAGCUCAUUUGUUACAAAAGGCAUUUCAUUUUUUCGAACUUAUUUGAACUCCAGACUUUUUGUGUGUUCAAAAUGAACCAUUCAAGGCCGCAUCAUCAAUUUUCAACUCCAGACAUUUCAUUUUUUCGAACUUAUUUCAUUUUUUCGAGAUGGGUGCGUGUAUUAAAAACCAUGACAUCAUAUCAUGAAUAGAGAAGUGACCAAAUUAAUAGAAAUUCAUCAUCACAUUAAAGAAAAAUUACAGUAGUGAUCAAAAUAAAUACAUAACGUUCUUAUAUAGUUCUCUUUAUUGAACAACAUAUAGCUCUCUAGAGCAUCUAAUUAGAACAUAUAUUAAAACUACUAAAUUAAAAUGCAACAACAAAUGCGAUCAUAACCACAACUAAGGUACAAAUUGAUCCAACGGCAUAAUGAUACCAAGCCUCAGUAUGAAUGGCAUAUUUUCUAAUGUUUCCAAUCUUCAAGCGCAUUGCAUUCAUAUUGAUCUUGUGAUCUUCACGCACCUCAGCAACAUCCAACUCCAAUAUAAUCUUCUCCUCUUCAACUCUUUGUAAUUUUUAUUUCAAGUAAUUGUUUUCUUUUUCAACCAAAUUUAACUUCUCGACAAGAAUUUUUAUGUGGGUUGGAAUUUCCGGUUCACAUAUCUCCUAGAUUAAAAAAUAUAUGCCACCUUGGUCAUCAUAAUUGUCAUAAACACUAAAUAAAAAAAUAGUCAUAAAAGAUAAUAUAUACCACAUCCGAAUCAUAGUCAGGACGAGGGCUGACGGAGGCAGAUACCAAAACCAUCACACUAUAUAAUAACAAACAAUAAUAGAAGUAAGAAAAUUACACAAGCAUCUAUCUAAAUCAUACAAGUAAGAACUCUUUUCUUUUAGAAAGAAGAUAAGAAGAAGAGACUAACCACGGUGGUGCCGAUGCCGAGAUGGACGCGGGUGAUCGACGGCGGUGAGGACGGGGAAGGGACACGGACGGACCGCCAAAGAUACACAAAACUACUGGAAAAUGGAGCUUGGACAAGGAACUUCGAGAGGAGAAAGCUUAAGUGCGGCUUGGGCAUUUCAUCGAACACCUCAUGUUCAUAGGAUGUGAGCUAGAGCACCACAAAGCUCUCCCAUGGCCGGCCAAAAAACAGAGCAGUGCACUUCUCUGCUCGCGGUCGGGUGGUAUAUAUAGGCCAAGCAUUGGUCCCGGUUUGAGGAGGGAACCGGGACUGAAGGACAACAUUUGGUCCCGGUUCCAGCCAAAAAACGGGACCAAUUGUUGUGGGCCAGGAGCGAGGCACAUUCUCCCAGUUCAUGUCUGGAACCGGGACCAAAGGGGCCAGACGAACCGGGACCAAUGGCCCACGAGGCCCGACCGGCGCCCUCGCCUCACGAACCGGGACCGAUGCCCCCAUGGGUCCCGGUUCGUAAGUGAACCGGGACUAAUGGGAUUUCAUCAGGUGGAUCAUAGCCCUCUUUUCUACUAGUGUCACCGGAGCUGUCUCCGGAGGAAGCUUGGAGGAAAUUCGGUUCCCCUCUCCGCUUGCAGGGAAGGAAGCAACCUCCUAGGUCCUAGUGACUGAGGCCUGGACCUCAGCUAGGAUCUCCCAGUCUUCGGUGGCCAGUGUAUCAACUUCGGCCUGGACCUCUCGGUCCUUGGCGUCCAAUGUACACACCUCGGCCAUCACCACCUAGUCUCUGGCCGGUGGGGCCUAGUGGGAUACCACCUCAAUCGCUUCAUCCGAGGCCUGGGGAAGGGUAGCGCGGGACGCAUUCCCGCUCUCUGCCAGCUCGGCUGGCUGCGAACCCCCCUCUGAGACCUAGUCCAUCAGAAGGUCGUAAACAGGGCUGUGACAAGAACAACUCGUUUCUCACUACUAACAAAUAUAUGUAUAGAACAUUGGAUUUCAUACCUUUGGGACGGGGGCUUGACCCUUGCUACCACUUGAGCUUGCGUUGGUUUUUCCCUUGAAGAGGAAAGGGUGAUGCAGCAGAGUAGCAGUAAGUAUUUCCCUCAAUUUGAGAACCAAGGUAUCAAUCCAGUAGGAGUAUCAAGGCAAGUCUCCAAAGUACCUGCGCAAAAACAAACAAACUUGCACCCAACGCUAUAAAGGGGUUGUCAAUCCCUUCACGAUUGAUUGCAAGGUGAGAUCUGAAGGCGGAAAGUGCAACAAAGUGAAAGUGUAGAGCUGAAAAUAUGAAGUGAAGUAGACCCGGGGGCCAUAGUGUUCACUAGAGGCUUCUCUUAUGAUAGCAAGUAUUACGGUGGGUGAACGAAUUACUGUCGAGAAAUUGAUAGAAUCGCGCAAAGUCAUGAUGAUAUCUAAGGCAAUGAUCAUACAGAUAGGUAUCACGUCCAAGACAAGUAGACCGAUACUGUCUGCAUCUACUACUAUUACUCCACACAUCGACCGUUAUCCAGCAUGCAUCUAGUGUAUUGAGUUCAUAACAAACAGAGUAAAGCCUUAAGCAAAAUGACAUGAUGAAGAGGGAUAAAUUCAUGCAAUAGAUAUAAACCCCAUCCUUUUACCCUUGAUGGCAACAACACGAUGCGUGCCUCGCUACCCCUUCUGUCACUGGGUGAGGACAUCGCACGAUAUGAACCUAAAACCAAGCACUUCUCCCAUUGCAAGAAUUAUAGAUGAAGUUGGCCAAACAAACCCCACAAGUCGAAGAGAAUUACAAGGAUACGAAAUCAUGCAUAUAAGAGAUUAGAGGAAACUCAAAUAUCAUUCAUAGAUAAUCUGAUCAUAAAUCCACAAUUCAUCGAAUCUCGACAAACACCCCGCAAAAGGAGAUUACAUUGGAUAGAUCUCCGUGAAGACCAUGGAGAACUUUGUAUUGAAGAUCCAAGAGAGAGAAGANUCACCCACAUAGCAUGUGCUAAAAAGUUGAGAGGGUUGCCGCAAAAAUUGGAUGCACUUCGUGUAAAAACGGACAAUCUCUUUCGUAAGUAUAAGGGUUUCAUAUGAAUACUCAUGUGUUACAUAAAGGCAUUUCAUUUUUUCGAACUUAUUUGAACUCCAGACUUUUUGUGUGUUCAAAAUGAACCAUUCAAGGCCACAUCAUCAAUUUUCAACAUUUUCUGACUUCAUUUGGUAUUUUUCAUGCUUUUACUGUUUUUUGGAGCUAAAUGACCCAGAAAUUGAAAAGCACUACAAAUGAACUCUUAUUAGGUUGAAAGUUGGCAUGGUAUCAUCAUUUCACCCACAUAGCGUGUGCUAAAAAGUUGAGAGGGUUGUCGACAAAAACUGGAUGCACUUCUUGUACAAAUCGGGCAAUCUGUUUCGAAUUAUGAGGGUUUCAUACGAAAACUCAUGUGUUACAAAAGACAUUUCAUUUUUUCGAACUUAUUUGAACUCUAGACUUUUUGUGUGUUCAAAAUGAACCAUUCAAGGUCACCUCAUCAAUUUUCAACACUUUCUGACUUCAUUUGGUAUUUUUCAUGCUUUUACUGAUUUUUUGGAGCUAAAUGACCCAGAAAUUGAAAAACACUACAAACGAACUCUUAAUAGGUUGAAAGUUGGCUGUGUAUCAUAAUUUCANNNNNNNNNNNNNNNNNNNNNNNNNNNNNNNNNNNNNNNNNNNNNNNNNNNNNNNNNNNNNNNNNNNNNNNNNNNNNNNNNNNNNNNNNNNNNNNNNNNNGCGCAUAGAUCACUCAUCAUCAAAAUUGAGCAUGUCGGUCUAUAUCUUCUCGAACCAAGGCCUCUUCCUCGGGGACACCUUUCUCAAGUCCACCUUCAUGAUCUCCACCCCCAUCAUCAUGCUAGGGAACGCCACUUCUUUUGCCUUGGUCUUUGCAUUCGUUACCUUGAACUCGAGCAUCUUCCUUUGCUUCUCUGCCUUCAUCUCGAGCUUCUUCGUUUGCUUCUCCGGGUCGACCUCAAGCCUGCUCCUUUGGAUCUCCAUGAAUGCCUUCAUUUGCUCGUCUUUGUCUUGCCGACGCUUCUCCUCCCUUGUGUCUUUCUUGGUCAUCAUGCCAUCUAAAGUGGCAUGCAAGGCAGUCGACACCACGCCGCGCUUGUCCUUUUUCUUGGAGUUGGUCUUCCCCUGUGGCCGCAGUGUCUCUCCCUCACCAUGCUCCUCGACGGUUCCCUUCCCUCCACGCGCCUUGAGGGUGGCAUAUUGCUCCCUGAAAUUCUCCUCGCCGUUGAUCACCAUCUAACAAUGGACGAGGUUAAAGGACUUCUCAUGUUGGGCCUUGAAUGCCUUCAAAGCUUGCAUGCNNNNNNNNNNNNNNNNNNNNNNNNNNNNNNNNNNNNNNNNNNNNNNNNNNNNNNNNNNNNNNNNNNNNNNNNNNNNNNNNNNNNNNNNNNNNNNNNNNNNUAUCGUGCGAUGUCCUCACCCAGUGACAGAAGGGGUAGCGAGGCACGCAUCGUGUUGUUGCCAUCAAGGGUAAAAGGAUGGGGUUUAUAUCUAUUGCAUGAAUUUAUCCCUCUUCAUCAUGUCAUUUUGCUUAAGGCUUUACUCUGUUUGUUAUGAACUCAAUACACUAGAUGCAUGCUGGAUAACGGUCGAUGUGUGGAGUAAUAGUAGUAGAUGCAGACAGUAUCGGUCUACUUGUCUUGGACGUGAUACCUAUCUGUAUGAUCAUUGCCUUAGAUAUCAUCAUGACUUUGCGCGAUUCUAUCAAUUUCUCGACAGUAAUUCGUUCACCCACCGUAAUACUUGCUAUCAUAAGAGAAGCCUCUAGUGAACACUAUGGCCCCCGGGUCUACUUCACUUCAUAUUUUCAGCUCUACACUUUCACUUUGUUGCACUUUCCGCCUUCAGAUCUCACCUUGCAAUCAAUCGUGAAGGGAUUGACAACCCCUUUAUAGCGUUGGGUGCAAGUUUGUUUGUUUUUGCGCAGGUACUUUGGAGACUUGCCUUGAUACUCCUACUGGAUUGAUACCUUGGUUCUCAAAUUGAGGGAAAUACUUACUGCUACUCUGCUGCAUCACCCUUUCCUCUUCAAGGGAAAAACCAACGCAAGCUCAAGUGGUAGCAAGGGUCAAGCCCCCGUCCCAAAGGUAUGAAAUCCAAUGUUCUAUACAUAUAUUUGUUAGUAGUGAGAAACGAGUUGUUCUUGUCACAGCCCUGUUUACGACCUUCUGAUGGACUAGGUCUCAGAGGGGGGUUCGCAGCCAGCCGAGCUGGCAGAGAGCGGGAAUGCGUCCCGCGCUACCCUUCCCCAGGCCUCGGAUGAAGCGAUUGAGGUGGUAUCCCACUAGGCCCCACCGGCCAGAGACUAGGUGGUGAUGGCCGAGGUGUGUACAUUGGACGCCAAGGACCGAGAGGUCCAGGCCGAAGUUGAUACACUGGCCACCGAAGACUGGGAGAUCCUAGCUGAGGUCCAGGCCUCAGUCACUAGGACCUAGGAGGUUGCUUCCUUCCCUGCAAGCGGAGAGGGGAACCGAAUUUCCUCCAAGCUUCCUCCGGAGACAGCUCCGGUGACACUAGUAGAAAAGAGGGCUAUGAUCCACCUGAUGAAAUCCCAUUAGUCCCGGUUCACUUACGAACCGGGACCCAUGGGGGCAUCGGUCCCGGUUCGUGAGGCGAGGGCGCCGGUCGGGCCUCGUGGGCCAUUGGUCCCGGUUCGUCUGGCCCCUUUGGUCCCGGUUCCAGACAUGAACUGGGAGAAUGUGCCUCGCUCCUGGCCCACAACAAUUGGUCCCGUUUUUUGGCUGGAACCGGGACCAAAUGUUGUCCUUCAGUCCCGGUUCCCUCCUCAAACCGGGACCAAUGCUUGGCCUAUAUAUACCACCCGACCGCGAGCAGAGAAGUGCACUGCUCUGUUUUUUGGCCGGCCAUGGGAGAGCUUUGUGGUGCUCUAGCUCACAUCCUAUGAACAUGAGGUGUUCGAUGAAAUGCCCAAGCCGCACUUAAGCUUUCUCCUCUCGAAGUUCCUUGUCCAAGCUCCAUUUUCCAGUAGUUUUGUGUAUCUUUGGCGGUCCGUCCGUGUCCCUUCCCCGUCCUCACCGCCGUCGAUCACCCGCGUCCAUCUCGGCAUCGGCACCACCGUGGUUAGUCUCUUCUUCUUAUCUUCUUUCUAAAAGAAAAGAGUUCUUACUUGUAUGAUUUAGAUAGAUGCUUGUGUAAUUUUCUUACUUCUAUUAUUGUUUGUUAUUAUAUAGUGUGAUGGUUUUGGUAUCUGCCUCCGUCAGCCCUCGUCCUGACUAUGAUUCGGAUGUGGUAUAUAUUAUCUUUUAUGACUAGUUUUUUUAUUUAGUGUUUAUGACAAUUAUGAUGACCAAGGUGGCAUAUAGUUUUUUAAUCUAGGAGAUAUGUGAACCGGAAAUUCCAACCCACAUAAAAAUUCUUGUCGAGAAGUUAAAUUUGGUUGAAAAAGAAAACAAUUACUUGAAAUAAAAAUUACAAAGAGUUGAAGAGGAGAAGAUUAUAUUGGAGUUGGAUGUUGCUGAGGUGCGUGAAGAUCACAAGAUCAAUAUGAAUGCAAUGCGCUUGAAGAUUGGAAACAUUAGAAAAUAUGCCAUUCAUACUGAGGCUUGGUAUCAUUAUGCCGUUGGAUCAAUUUGUACCUUAGUUGUGGUUAUGAUCGCAUUUGUUGUUGCAUUUUAAUUUAGUAGUUUUAAUAUAUGUUCUAAUUAGAUGCUCUAGAGAGCUAUAUGUUGUUCAAUAAAGAGAACUAUAUAAGAACGUUAUGUAUUUAUUUUGAUCACUACUGUAAUUUUUCUUUAAUGUGAUGAUGAAUUUCUAUUAAUUUGGUCACUUCUCUAUUCAUGAUAUGAUGUCAUGGUUUUUAAUACACGCACCCAUCUCGAAAAAAUGAAAUAAGUUCGAAAAAAUGAAAUGUCUGGAGUUGAAAAUUGAUGAUGCGGCCUUGAAUGGUUCAUUUUGAACACACAAAAAGUCUGGAGUUCAAAUAAGUUCGAAAAAAUGAAAUGCCUUAUGUAACACAUGAGUAUUCAUAUGAAACCCUUAUACUUCGAAAGAGAUUGUCCGUUUUUACACGAAGUGCAUCCAAUUUUUGUCGGCAACCCUCUCUAACUUUUUAGCACAUGCUAUGUGGGUGAAAUGACGAUACCAUGCCAACUUUCAACCUAUUAAGAGUUCAUUUGUAGUGCUUUUCCAUUUUUGGGUCAUUUAGCUCAAAAANGUCAGAAAGUCUUGAAAAUUGAUGAUGUGGCCUUGAAUGGUUCAUUUUGAACACAUGAAAAGUCUGGAGUUCAAAUAAGUUGAAAAAAAUGAAAUGCCUUUUGUAACACAUGAGUUUUCGUAUAAAACCCUCAUGCUUCGAAAGAGAUUGCCCGAUUUGUACACGAAGUGCAUCCAGUUUUUACGGCAACCCUCCCAACUUUUUAACACAUGCUAUGUGGGUGAAAUUAUGAUACACAGCCAACUUUCAACCUAUUAAGAGUUCGUUUGUAGUGUUUUUCAAUUUCUGGGUCAUUUAGCUCCAAAAAAUCAGUAAAAGCAUGAAAAAUACCAAAUGAAGUCAGAAAGUGUUGAAAAUUGAUGAGGUGACCUUGAAUGGUUCAUUUUGAACACACAAAAAGUCUAGAGUUCAAAUAAGUUCGAAAAAAUGAAAUGUCUUUUGUAACACAUGAGUUUUCGUAUGAAACCCUCAUAAUUCGAAACAGAUUGCCCGAUUUGUACAAGAAGUGCAUCCAGUUUUUGCGACAACCCUCUCAACUUUUUAGCACACGCUAUGUGGGUGAAAUGAUGAUACCAUGCCAACUUUCAACCUAAUAAGAGUUCAUUUGUAGUGCUUUUCAAUUUCUGGGUCAUUUAGCUCCAAAAAACAGUAAAAGCAUGAAAAAUACCAAAUGAAGUCAGAAAAUGUUGAAAAUUGAUGAUGUGGCCUUGAAUGGUUCAUUUUGAACACACAAAAAGUCUGGAGUUCAAAUAAGUUCGAAAAAAUGAAAUGCCUUUUGUAACAKAUGAGCUUUCGUAUGAAACUCUCAUACUUCGAAAGAGAUUGUCCGAUUUGUACAUGAAGUGCAUCCAGGUUUUUUUGGCAACCGUCUCAACUUUUUAGCACAUGCUAUGUGGAUGAAAUGAUGAUACCAUGCCAACUUUCAACCUAUUAAGAGUUCAUUUGUAGUGCUUUUCAAUUUCUGGGUCAUUUAGCUCCAAAAAUWCAGUAAAAGCAUGAAAAAUACCAAAUGAAGUCAGAAAGUGUUGAAAAUUGAUGAUGUGGCCUUGAAUGGUUCAUUUUGAACACACAAAAAGUCUGGAGUUCAAAUAAGUUUGAAAAAAUGAAAUGCCUUUUGUAACAGAUGAGUAUUCAUAUGAAACCCUUAUACUUCGAAAGAGAUUGUCCGGUUUGUACACGAAGUGCAUCCAGUUUUUGAGGCAACCCUCUUAACUUUUUAGCACAUGCUAUGUGGGUGAAAUGUGAAGAAUAGAUCUUGUUGGAAUUUCUUGAAUCAUGUCGAAUCAUGUGGAAUCAUGUCGAAUCAUGUGAAGAAUAGAUCUUGUUGGAAUUUCUUGAAUCAUGUCGAAUCAUGUGAAUAGAUCUUGUUGGCAUUUCUUGACUCAUGUCAAAUCAUGUGAAGAAUAGAUCAUGUUGGAAUUUCUCGAAUCAUGUCGAAUCAUGUUGAAUCAUGUGAAGAAUAGAUCUGGUUCGCAUUUCUUGAAUCAUGUUGAAUCAUGUGAAGAAUAGAUCUGGUUCGCAUUUCUUGAAUCAUGUCGAAUCAUGUGAAGAAUAGAUCUUGUUUGGCAUUUCUUGAAUAAUGUCGAAUCAUGUGAAGAAUAGAUCUUGUUGGAAUUUCUUGAAUCGUGUCGAAUCAUGUCGAAUCAUGUGAAGAAUAGAUCUUGUUGGAAUUUCUUGAAUCAUGUGGAAUCAUGUGAAGAAUAUAUCUUGUUGGAAUUUCUUGAAUCAUGUCGAAUCAUAUCGAAUCAUGUGAAGAAUAGAUUUUGUUGGCAUUUCUUGAAUCAUGUCGAAUCAUGCAAAGCUUGGUGAAGAACGACAUGUUCUUGCCGGUCUUGAACCUAUCCUCGAGCUUGAGAAAGACCUUGACGCGUGACUUCUUGGCCGAGUCCUUGCGGAUCACCUUCUUCGGGUAUUUGGCCAAGCCGGCGACCAGGCAGUGCCCGUAGGGGCGGUCGCGGGUGCCCUCCUUGAACACACGCAUGAUCGCCGCCUUCUUCUCGGCAUACCUGCCCUGCAGAAGGAUCACCGCCUUGCCCGGCUUCACGAACUUCACCAUCUUCCUUCUCCCCUAGUCCCGUUGUGCCGCCGCCGAUGGUUUUCGGGUUGGGGGAGGGGUUGGAGGCUGUGGGCGGGGGAAAGCUGGCGUUGUGGUUGGGAGGAGAUUAUAUAGGGUUGGCGGAGCUAGGGUUUUGCCGAAUCAUGUGAAGAAUAGAUCUUGUUUUUGGUGGUACUUCACCAAGCACUUUGGACGCAGCAGGCACAGGACACUCGUGUCGGUUUGUGGCACCAACCGGGACCAAAGACUUCCGCUCGUGUCGGUUGAUGGUACAAACCGGGACCAAAGACACCCUUUAGUGUCGGUUUGCGGCACAAACCGGGACUAAAGGUCUCUUCUUCCCGCCCGUUAGGCUACUGAAAAUUGACCUUUAGUCCCGGUUUUUUCCUCGAACCGGGACAAGAGGUUUUCGCAUAUAAGGCGGGAGUUGUCGAAUUUUCCCCAUUUGCCCCGCGCCGUCGCCACCGAUCCAUUCCUCCUCCUCGUCGCCGCCGUCCCCGAGCUCGUCGUCGUCGCCGCCCCCGAGCCUGUCGCCGUCGCCGCCCCCACCCCAAGCCCGUCGCCGUCGCCGCCCUCGGGCCCGUCGUCGUCGCCGCCUCCGAGCCCGUCGUCGUCGCUACCCCUGCCCUGAGCCCGUCGUCGUCGCCUCCCCCGCCCCGAGCCCGUCGUCGCCGCCGCCCUCGACCCGUCGCCGUUGCCGCCCCGCCCCGAGCCCGUCGCCGACCUCGACCCCGACCUCGACCCCGACACCGACCCAAACCUCUUGUGAGACAUCGCCAUAUCCCCAUGCCUAGGGUUCUUGCUAGGAUAUGAUUCUUGUAUAUUUGCAAAAUAUUUGCUCAAGCCCUGAAUGUUGUUGCGGAAAUAUUUGCAAUAUAUAUAUAUUAUGUUUUAUUAUUAUAUAUUUGGUGUCAUACUUGCAUGUUGAUAAAAAUAGGUAGUGGGCGCUAGCUAAAUUCAAAUCAGAUGAUUAUUGUAUAAAUGAUAACUAGAAAGUAAAACAUUAAACAAUAAGAAAAUUUUCUCAGAGGAAUUUGUAUUGAUGUCGACGAUGCCCGGCCCGCAUCCUCAUCGUCGAGUGGUUAGCGAGAGCCUGCUUGAUAGGCGCUGGCAUGUCCGGGACUGGGUUCCGUCGGGCUGGCACUGGGAGGUGCUACCUUCCGGGGGGCGCGACCUUGGUGAGGAAUCCAGGUCUCAUCGUUGACCCGGAGCUUCUAUGGUAGCGGUCGCGUGGGUCAUUAUCGGUGGCGAGGGAUCUGGACCCCACGGAGGUGGUACGUCGCAGUGUCAGGGAGGAGGACGAGCACGUCGGUCGCUACAUGGCUGCGUUGGAUGCCAGGUUCUCCAGGGACAUCACUCGAGCAAUGAUCUGGUGAUGGUUCCUUAUAUAUCUUUGGGUUGCCACCGCGUGCACCUUGAGACGUCAACUGGGUUUUUAUCAGUGAUAUUGUAUGAUAAUAUUCGGGAUGUAUUAGUGAUAAUAUCGGUUAUGUUUCAGUUUGUCGUUGCUCCAUGUAUGACUUUCAUGAGUUAUAAAUGGGUAAGAUGAUGAUGAGUUAUAUGUCAUUUAUUUUAUGUAUGGAACGGGUUGACUUUAGGUGUCGUGGGGGUCGCUUCUCCUUCUUUUCCUUGUGUGCUAGAUAGAGAACGAAUCCCGACUGCCGUGGCUAUAAGUCUGACAGUAGAAGUAUGGGUUACGAAAGUAUAUGGGCAGAGCCUUAGCUACGGCGAGGAUGUAUGAGUUCAGGCCCCUGUGCGGUGGAGGUAAAAGCCCUACGUCUCAGUGCUCUGGGGAGCUUUGUGUCGAGUGUAUUGUGGGAUUAUAGCAAGUGCCAACCCCUGCACCAGUGGGGAAGGGCGGCUUAUAUAGAGUGUGUUGCCCUUCAUAACGGUCCGGUGGACAGGGGUGGAGUUGUGGUGAGUUAAAACUGGUGUUACUCGUAACGUAAGCCUUAAAUGCUAAUAAUGGUGUAUGAAAACGUAUGACCGUUGCCCUCCUGGGAGGUUACGAUGUACAUAGUGGAUUCCAGUCGGUACGUUAGAUAUGCUCCGAGUGGAUCGUCGCCGACUGGAUGAUGGGGGUGUCCUUAGUUCAGUCGGAACUGUCUAAGGGCCUUGUCUUCUAUGAAGGAUAGUGCUUGGGUAGGACCUAUAGGGCAGACCUAUGACCCUACCCUGGGACUAUAACCCCAUCAUUAGUCCCCGAAUAGAUCGGGGUUGGAACGAUGAAGUGAUGUCUGGAGUUUGGAACCGACUGGUAUUGAGGUGACUUUAGCGUUGUUUGCCUCGAUCCAUUUUAUCAUUUCAACUAGUGAUCCGAGUGAAUAUGCCAGUGAAACGAACCGUGAGGGACCGAGUGCUUCCGCGGAAUCUUUUGACGUGACUGGUCAAACUGACAGCGCCGGAUUUUCCGAGAUCCUCAAAUUUCAGUUGCCGCUCGCUCAGCGGGGAUGACGAGAUCGCCAUCGAGUGGGUUUUGCCUCCUCGAUUACCGCGCCGUUAUCUUCUUCACCAAUCUUGCUGCAGCCGGUGGGAGGAUAAGAUCUCGGGCCCACUUGUAGGUGACCCAGUCGGAGGCCUAUUAAAGCUUUCCCGGCGGCCCUUCCUGUUGCGCUGCUCAUCUUCCUCCCAUUAAUCUCGCUCCUCCCGCAACUCCCUGCACGCCUCAAGCCACCUCUUUCCUCUCAUCCUCUGCGGAUCCGUCGCCCUCGCCAUGACAAAGGGGCAGACCAGCAAGCUCGACGCGCAGAAGAAGAAGAAGAAGGGGGCGGCCUCCACUCAGUAGCGGCAGCGGGCGCUGCCGGCGGGCUGGAUCUAGGGGGGCUUCCUCCCCUCCUCGGUGACGGAGAACGACGUGCUGGAGCUGGUGGAGCACGGCAUGGUCGCCAACAAGUCCUGGAGGUUGCCGGAAGGCGAGACGGAGCCGGCGCCGAAGGAGGGGGAGCGCGUUCUGCUACUCAGCCACGUGGCCAGGGGUUUCUCCUUGCCUCCCCAUCCUUUCUUCCGAGGUAUCAUGAAUUACUUCGGGGCGCAGCUCCAUCACUUUCCUCCGAAUGCGAUAGCUCAUCUUUCCGCAUUCGUCACCCUCUGCGAGUGCUUCAUAGGAUGUCCUCCCCACUGGGGGCUAUUUAAAUAUGUCUUCUCCGCUAGAUCCCAAACUGUUAAGAAGCUUAGCCAGUCGGAUGAUAAGACACACAUCCUCCAGCUCUGCGGGGGCUUAGGCUUUCAGAAGAAAACAAAGAGUAGUUAUCCCUCCCUUCAACUAUCCGAGUCGGUUAGGAACUGGCAAUCGUCCUGGUUCUAUUGCGAGGACAUUGCCUGCCCGAAUGCUUCGAGUGGGUUGCCACCCUUCAACUUAGACCGUCCGGGCCCUCCCAGGAAACUUGCGCUCUCUAAGGGAGAAAGAACCCAGAUCCAGCCUUUGGUCGACGCGCUGAUAGCCGUCGUCCGGAGGGGAGUCACCGGCAUGGACCUGCUGGAGACUUUUCUGGAUCGACACAUCCAGCCGCUGCAAGCCCGAGACCAUGCUAUGUGGCAUUACAUGGGGCCUUCAGAUACCACUCGGUCCCAUCCCGAAGACGUGAGCGAGGAGACCGUGAGCGCAUGGGUCCACAGCAUCACGGGCACGUGUGAUAACCCCGUGGGAGCUCGGCGGGUGAAGGCCUUCCGCGCCGAAAAUCCUCCUCCGAAUGAGGUGUGUCAUGUCGUCGAGUGCUUUUAACCUUCUCAGCUUUAUUGCUUUUCUUCUCUCGCCGACUGAUGUUGCCGACUGUGUUUUGUGCAGGAGUGGACGAACUGGCAUUCUGCAGUCCCGAAUGGGAAUCCAGUCGAGGAAGAGGAAGGCAGCAUGGAGGGCAGCGCGGAUAGCACCGAGUACGUCUCUGACAGUGGGGAGACGGAGGAGGAGACAGAAGAGGAGGAGGAGGAGAGUGGAGAGCAAAGCUCGUCACCCUCACCACCAGAACACCGAACUAAGCGCCAUCAUGACCCCGCUGCUCCACCGGCUCCUCCCGUGGCUCCGAGUGCUCGGAGUGUGAAGAGAACCAGGGGUGCUUCUGCCGAACCCAUGAACCAGCCGUCCAAGGUGGCUAAACCCAACGGGCCUAAACCUCGGAAAGCCUUGCCCCGGAUGAGGAUCGUUGUUCCGGUCGCAUCAGCGUAAAUAUCUUUACUCUUCCAUCUUCCUUCAGUAUCCGAUUGAACUCUUCUUUUCGAGAAUUCAUGUUUAUCUGUCGAGUGGAUUUCACUCAACAGAGCUGCUACCUCCUCCACCUCUCUGCCGCAUCCGGAUGAUGAUCCCAUGGACACUGGUAACGCCGCCACGUCCCAGCAAGGUACGUUGUCACGACUCCGAGAGCUGUACUACCGUUUCGCGUGUGUUGUCUUUGGUCUUGACCUUUUUCUGUAUUUUCAUUUUGUUCAGUCGGGCUUCCUUCGGAGGUGAUCCAUCUGGACGAUGACGACCAAAGGAGGUCGGAACCAACUUUGGCGCCUGCUUCUGGGGUUAUCCAACCUGCUGCCAAUCCCUCCAUGAGUGUUCCGCCAACUUGGACGGUGGCCCUCACUGCGGAACCGACUGGAGCAGAGCUCGGGAUGCCGAGGGAGCCUUCUGCCAUGCCGGGUCCGUCAGCUGUUCAAUAUGAUGCCCGACGCCUCCCGGAGGAUCAUGUAGGAGCCACCAAGGACGCCAUGGUGCAAGUGGAGCUGAUGGUGGGCGACGCCAAGGGAGCAUAUGACUCCAUCGCGUCUCUGUACUAGAAGAGCUUGGAGCUUCGGGAUGCUAUCCGAGUAAGUGCGCCAGUAAGUGUUUACAUUCCUCUUGGUACCCACUGGGGGUUUCAGUGAGAUACUCGGAUACAGUAGGUUGAUUUUUCAGUGGGUUCACUCCGAGUGAACCCAGUGGGUGUAGUCCCCGAGACUUCUGUCAAGUGCUUGCACCGGCAGUUGUCUUUAUAUGUAUUUUCCAUAAACUCUACAGAUCAAGGUUGAUCUGCCCAAAUGGUACCAGUGGGGGCACGCCGAGUGCACCCACUGGGUGUAGUCCCCGAGAGUAGUGUUACUCGGGUCGAGUAAUAGUAAUCUCAUAGUGUUGUUGGUUUGCUAUGGAGCUCAAUAGGGCCGACCUGUUCGAGCUUCAUACCAGUGGGGUCACUCUUAGUGAACCCACUGGGUGUAGUCCCCGAGACCGCUGUCGAUUGCUUGCAUGGGUAGGGGUCUGAAGAAUUUUGAGCUUUGAUUGUUUUGUCAUAUCUGUCGAGACUUUUUCCUUGUUGAAUAUGGCUGAUCCUCCCUUGGUGUCUCUUUGACAGAAGACUUGUGAAAUGGGAUCGGCCUAUAAUGAUAUGAAGGCUGAGAAGACUCAACUUGCUGCGAACUUGGAGGUAGCUGUGAAUGAUCUGGCUGGCAUGAAGAAGGCUCUCGCUGAACGAGAGAAAUCUUUGGAGGAGUCUCGGGAGACUAACAAGGCACUGCUAGCCGAAGUAGAAAAAAUGAAGAGGGAGAGAUCCGAAUGGAUGGGCCAGCUGAAGGUAAUGAACACUCGGUGCAGAGCGCAGGAGAACUACGUCGGCGACUGGGCGAAGAAGAUGGUCGCACUACUUGGUGGUAAGUUCUUGCCGAGUGCUUUUUGACUUUGGAGUUCACUCCGCGCUUAUUUUUUGCUUGUCUUUUCUUUGCAGAUUUCUGUCGGGACGUUGAGGCCGAAACAGCCGAAAUUGAACGGUCGCUUGUUCCGAAUGUUCCACUCGGCGAUGAAGCUAACCGGGACAUGUUCCGAGUGAAUUCUCGCCUUAACAGGGUGGGUCCUUUCAUUGGUCGCCUGAGAGGAGUUGUCGGCCGAAUCGACAAGGAGUUGUGGCCUGAAGAUGACUCUCGGAACGAGAUAGAGGGGUUGAUGACUCGACUGGAGGACGUUCCAAGCAGAGUGCAGGCAUGGAAGAAGUCUGCCGCUCGGUGUGGUGCGGACGUGGCGCUGUCUCUCGUCCGAGUGCACUGCAAGGAAGCCCGCGAAGACAAGCUGAAGACGUUGCAGGUCGCCAACACCAAGAAGCUUCGAUUUGAAGAUUUCAUGGAGACCUUCCUCGACACAGCCACUCGGAUUGCAGAUGGAAUCGACCUCGACACCUUUGUGGAGCCUGCCAGUCCCGGCGACGCUUGAUAAACUUUAUGCUUAACGCACAUUUACCUCGGUAUGCCGAGUAGAGUCUGUAUUAAACUUUGGCCACUGUUGUUGGCCGGUACAUUCGUGGCUCGGUGUGGAUAAACUAGAUUCACACCGAGCCGACUGAUCGCAGAACCAAUUUGAAUUCAAACCGGAUCUUUUGCUCUUCUUUCGCUGAGUUUUUUUACACGAUUUUGGCUCGUGGUUUUUGUUUGGGCGUCUCUUGGUGAAGCCAAUGGCAAACAUGCGGAGCAUGUAAUUUUCAGUUGUCUUCACAUCCACAUGAGCCUCAAUGAGGGUCUGCUAAGCCUCCGAGUGUAUCUCGAGUGCCCACUCGGAGGAAGCUUUUUACUUAGGCGACUCUGGUUCGCAUCUAAGUCUCCGAGUGUGACUUGAAAUGCACACUCGGAGCAAUUUGUUUACUUAGGCGACUCUGAGUCGCAGCUAAGUCUCCGAGUGUGACUUUUGGUGCACAUUCGGAGGGAGUUUUUACUUAGGCGACUCUGGGUCGCGGCUAAGUCCCCGAGUGUGACUUUUGGUGCACACUCGGAGCGAGUCUUUACUUAGGCGACUCUGGGUCGCGGCUAAGUCCCCGAGUGUGACUUUUGGUGCACACUCGGAGCGAAUUUUUACUUAGGCUACUCUGGGUCGUAGCUAAGUCCCCGAGUUUGACUGUUAGUGUGCACUCGGAGAGAGUUGUUUACUUAGGCGACUCUGGGUUGCAGCUAAGUUCCCGAGCGUGACUUUCCGUGCACACUCGGAGCGAGUUGUUACUCAUGUNNNNNNNNNNNNNNNNNNNNNNNNNNNNNNNNNNNNNNNNNNNNNNNNNNNNNNNNNNNNNNNNNNNNNNNNNNNNNNNNNNNNNNNNNNNNNNNNNNNNACGGCCGAUAAUGUUGCGCCAUACAACUGGUGGUUCGGUGGCACCUACACUUCAUGGCAGCAGUUUUAACAUCUCUGGAGGUUGAUAUAGGUACUCAUCUCAUCAGGGUACUCAAAUAGGCAUAUGCCCGAUGAUUUCGUCCGAGGCUGUAUCUCCUCUUUUGUUUCUUUAUAUUUGUAUCUCUGUUUUGGUUGUCCAAAUUUAUGUGCAUGGCUUCCAUUAGGUCUUGUUCGGUUGCAAAGGGUUUGAAAGGGAUUGGAGUGGAUUGGAGAAGAUUAAAUCCCCCGCAAGUUAAAUUCCUCCUCAAUCCCCUCCAAACCUCUUCAAUCCUCUUCAGGGGAGGUUUAACCGAACAAGGUAUUAAUUAUCUUGUGGCAUAAGAUCAUCAGAUUAUAUGUGUGUGCCCAACAUUCGAAGAGUAAUUUAUCUUCAAUCAAAUAUCUACUGUUUAACACAGGAUCACCUAUUUGUGCCUGAGUUUCAAUUGAUUUUCUUUGCUUUUGCUUUGAAAUACAAUGAUUGGGACAUCUUCCUCCUCCAGCUUCUUCCUUUUCUGACCAAAUACCAACUUGUAUGUAUUGCCAACCAACCGCAUGUACGUGCUAACCGUGGUUGGCGGCACUAUCGUGCAUGCCUUGCCGCCCCUAGCGAUCUCUCUAAACCCCGCCAUGGUUAUAUGGCCGGCGACCUUCCCGAACUACUUACACCUGAAACCGUUAAGGGGGAGCCGAUGCUCGGUGACUCAGUGUUGUGGUGGUAGAAUGUCGAUCAGGAGCACCAUAGUCAUGCUUGUUCAUUGAACGGUUACCAAAUCGUGUGGUUGCUUCCCCUAUUCUCGAUAAAUCACCGUGUGCUUCCUAUUCUAAUAAUUAAUAUCAUAGUCUGGUGUGUGAGUGAUAUCCAAAAAUCUAUUUCCUGACAUCUAAAAAACCCAUAAAAAACUUUUAUGCAUAUGACUCGACUUUGUUUCCCAAUUUCAUGUUUUGUGAAAAUCACAACUCAUUCAUGACUUGUUGAAAAAUAACAAACAUAAGCUUCAUACUUGCAACUUUUUUUGAACCAUGUGCCAUAUGCAUCAUCCACAUAUUUGAAGAAUAGGGAAGCUAUUCGAAGUUAGCAUGUUGAUGCCGAUCUUGAAAUAGAGGAGCAUUCUAUGGACGGAUGCAGUACCGACAGCGAUCAGGACGCAGUAGAUGUCGCGGGCGGAGCAGUAGGAGUCGAGCAACGCCUCCUGCUCCGCCACGUCCAUGUCUAGCGUGAUGGUUGUGCUCGCAGUGAGUUCCUCCUCCAUGCUCCGAUGCUCAUCGAGGAGAUGGAGGUUGUAGGCCUGGUCGCCCUGCGCCUGUCAGAAGUUGGCCUCCCUCUCCUCGUGCACCAUGUCCUGUAGUGGGCACAGGCCUCGCUGAUGGUGAUGCCGGCAUGCACCAGCGAGGAGGGUGGCACUGGCUCAUCCUGGUUUUGUCCUUCAUUAGGACAUCGGUGGCCUCCGUAUGCUUGUCAGCUAGGAGCCGGUAGCAAUGGCCGCCAUCUCCCUCUUCUGCUCGGACGAGGGGUUCUCCCAAAGGUUUUUGGAGCGCNNNNNNNNNNNNNNNNNNNNNNNNNNNNNNNNNNNNNNNNNNNNNNNNNNNNNNNNNNNNNNNNNNNNNNNNNNNNNNNNNNNNNNNNNNNNNNNNNNNNUAGAAUUUUUGGCGCCGUUGCCGGGGAGUAUCAAGUCAAUAAUAGUCUCCCUUCAACGUGUCAAUUUCUAGCACCGGGGACUAUUCUAAGUGAAGCUUAUCCAAGUAACUGUCGCAAACUCAGCUCUUGCAUUUACUUUUUUUGCCUUUUGACUCUCGUUUUCCUCUCCCCCACUUCUGAAAAACAAAAAUUACAAAAAUAUUUGCCUUUUUCGUUUGCCUUUACUUUGCUUGUGUGCUAUGUGCCUUCAAUAUGCUUGCAUCUUCGCUUGCUAAAAAUCUAUUGAUAUGGAUCCUCAUCCACUUGCUAAUCUCUUUAAGAGAUCCAAUUAUGUUGAACCAAUUGCUAGUGAGUUGAGUGCACUUGACUUUCUCUAUGGAGUUUUGCUUGAGAUGCGUGAAUCUGAAAAUCGUGAUGAAGAAAUUUAUGAAGUGAUUCACGAAGGCUCCUUGAAUGAAAAGCAUGAUUGCAAUGGUUUCACUAUGAAUUCUAUUAAUGACAAUCCUGCUAAAAAUAUGCAAAACCCUAAGCUUGGGGAUGCUAGUUUUGCUAUGUCCACUACUUGUUGCAAUGAUCAUGAUUGGGGUAAUGAUUUUUCUUAUGAUCUUGAAAAUUUGUUUAAGCUUCAUGAUGAAUAUGAUAUUUGCAAUAAUAUUGAAAGUGGGUUUGGAGAAGUCAUGACUUUAUUUGAUGAUAAUCCCACAAUUUUUGAAGAGCGCCAACUUUGCAUGCAUGUGGAUCAUGAAAAGAAUAUCCUAUGUGAUAGCUAUAUUGUUGAAUUUGAAUAUGAUCCCACAUGUAAUUGUUAUGAGAGAGGAAAAUAUUUUGGUAUAAACUUUCAUAUCACUAAUUCACCUCUCGUUAUGUUGAGAUUGCUAUUGUCUCUUUCUUCUUCUUUGCAUAUGGUAACUAUUGGUUGUCUUGACAAUCUGUUUUCUUAUAAAAAUGCCUAUGCAUAGGAAGUAUGACUUAGAUAUGUUUGUCACAUGUUUCAUGAUGCUCUCUUUGUGUCUGAUUGCUAUCUUUUAUGUGAGCAUCAUUGAAUUAUCAAUGCCUAGCUAAGGGCAUUAAAAAAUAGCGCUUGUUGGGAGGCAACCCAAUGAAUUUAUCUUUGCUUUUUGAUUUCUGUUUUGUUGUGUCCACACCAUCAUAAUUCUGUUAUGAUUGUGUUUUUUGUGUUUCGUUUUUUGCGUUUGUGCCAAGCAAAACCGUUAUGAUUAGUCUUGGGGAUGAUCGUUUGGUCAUGCUGGAAAAGACAGAAAAUUUCUGCUCACGAAAAGAAUUUUCAUUAUUUUUCUGUAAGAGCUUUUGAGUUGAUUCUUUUUUCUGCUGAUGGCUAUGCAAAUUCUUAAGACUGUCGUAAUUUUUCAGAAUUUGUGAAGUAGCAGAAGUAUACGAAGUAUACAGAUUGCUACAGACUGGUCUGCUGUUAACAGAUUCUGUUUUUGUUGUGUUGGUUGCUUAUUUUGAUGAAACUAUGGAUAGUAUCGGGGGGUAUUAGCCAUGGAAGAUUGAAAAUACAGUAACCCAACAUCAACAUAAGUAGAAUUCAAGUUUUCUACAGUACCUAAGGAAGUGGUGGUUUGCUUUCUUAUACUAAUGUUAUCACGAGUUUCUGUUUAAGUUUCGUGUUGUGAAGUUUUCAAGUUUUGGGUGAAGUUCUUAUGGACAAAAAGAUAAAGAGUGGCAAGAGCUUAAGCUUGGGGAUGCCCAAGGCACCCCAAGAUGAUUCAAGGAUGCCGUAAAAUCCUAAGCUUGGGGAUGCCCCGGAAAGGCAUCCCCUCUUUCGUCUUCAAUCCAUCGGUAACGUUACUUGGGGCUAUAUUUUUAUUCACCACACGUUAUGUGUUUUGCUUGGAGCGUCUUGUAUCGUAGGAGUCUUUUAUUUUUGUUUUGUCACAAUCAUCCUUGCGGCACACCUAGAGAGAGAGACAUGCACUCACCGUGAUUUUGUCGAGCUUCACUUAUAUCCUUUGCUAGACAAUCCAGCUCACAUGUGCUUCACUUAUAUCUUUUGAGCUAGUUGCUUUUGCUCUAUGUGCUUCACUUAUAUCUUUUAGAGCACCGGGGUGCGUGCCUUGGUAGUUGAUCUAUGCUAUGAAAGUAGUCUCAAAAGGGGUAGUUAUCCAAAUGGAUACGAAAACUUCCACCUUCAUGUGCAUUGAAUAGUUAGAGAAGUUUGAUUCAUCUCAACUAGUUUUGAGUUGUGGUUAUGGUAAUAUUGAAGUUAUAUUAGCAAGGUGUUGUGGAUCUAGAAAUACUUGUGUUGAAGUUAGUGAUUCCCGUCGCAUGCUAUGUGAUGAAGUCUGAGCAUGAUUAGUCUAUUGAUUGUCAUCCUUUGCGUGGCGGUCGGGAUCGCGCGAUGGUUUAUACCUACCAACCCUUCCCCUAGGAGUAUGCGUUGAAUGCUUUGUUUCGAUUACUAAUAAAACUUUUGCAAAAAGUAUAUGAGUUCUUCAUGACUAAUGUUGAGUCCAUGGUUUAGAUGCACUUUCACCUUCCACCAUCACUAUCUUCUUUAGUGCCGUGCAACUUUUGCCGGUGCACAAAACCCACCAUUAGCCUCCCUCAAAACAGCCACCAUACCUACCUACUAUGGCUUUUUCAAAGUCAUUCCGAGAUAUAUUGCCAUGCAACUACCACCAUGACAUGUGCCACCACGUCUACAUUGCCAUUGCAUGUUCGUAAGAUAGCUAGCAUGAUGUUUCCAUUAAUGUCCAUGCCAUGCUAGAUCAUUGUCACGGUACACUACCGAAGGCAUUUCAUAUAGAGUCAUCGUUGCUCUAAGUUUUGAGUUGUAAGUGUGAAGAUCAUCAUUGAUGGAACAUUGUACCAUGUGAGGAAAUAAAAGAGGCCAAAGAUGCCCACCAAAAUAAAUAAAUAAAAAUAAAUAAAAAAGAGGCCAAAGAGCCCAUCCAAAAAAAUGAGACAAAAAGAGAGAAGGGACAAUGCUACCACCUAUCCACACUUGUGCAUAUUAAGCACCAUGAUCUUCAUGAUUGAGAGUCUCUCGUUUUGUCACCACCAUAUAGCUAGUGGGAAAUUUUCAUUAUAUAACUUGGCUUGUAUAUUCCAAUGAUAGGCUUCCACAAAUUUGCCUUAGGUCUUCGUGAGCAAGCAAGUUGGAUGCACAACCACUAGUUUUCUUUAAGAGCUUUCACAUACUCUUAGCUCUAGUGCAUCAUUUGUAUGGCAAUCCCUACUCAUUCACAUUGAUAUCUAUUGAUGAGCAUCUCCACAACUCAUUGAUAUGCCUAGUUAAUGUGACCAUCUUCUCCUUGUUUGUCUUGCAACCUCCACCACACUCCACACCACUUAUAGUGCUAAAACCAUGGCUCACGCUCAUGUAUUGCGUGAGAGUUGAAAAAGUUUGAGAAAGUAAAGGUGUGAAAACAAUUACUUGGCCAAUACCGGGAUUGUGCAUGAUUUGAAUUCGUUGUGCAAUGAUGAUAGAUCAUAGCCAGACUAUAUGAUUUUGUAGGGAUAACUUUCUUUUGGCCUUGUUAUUUUGAAAGUUCAUGAUUACCUUGCUAGUUUGCUUGAAUUAUUAUUGUCUCCACGUCAAUAGCAAACUAUUGUUUUGAAUCUAAUGGAUCUGAACAUUCACGUCACAUAAGAGGAGUUACAAAGGACAUCUAUGCUAGGUAGCAUGAAAGCAUCAAAAAUUCAUUCUUUAUCACUUCCCUACUCGAGGACGAGCAGGAAUUAAGCUUGGGGAUGCUUGAUACGUCUUAAACGUAUCUAUAAUUUUUGAUGGUUUCACGCUGUUAUCUUGUCAACUUUGGAUGUUUUGUUUACCUUUUAUAUAUUUUUUGGGACUAACUUAUUAACCCAGUGCCAAGUGCCAGUUCCUGUUUUUCUGUGUUUUUGACUUUUUUCAGAUCUGAUUUUGGAACGGAGUCCAAACGGAAUAAAAUCCCCGAAAUGAAUUUUUCCAGAACGGAAUAAGAUUGAGGGCCAAGCAAGUGGGCCCACAGGGGGCCCACAACCCCUGUUGCCGCGGCCAGGGGGGAGGCCGCGACAACCAAGCUUGUGCCCCCCCUGGCGCUCCCCUACCCUAGGUCUUUGGCCUAUAACUUCCCUAAAAAUCCAGAAAAAAUCAGGGCGUCCACGAAAACAUUUUUCCACCACCGCAAGCUUCCGUUUCCGCGAGAUCUCAUCUGGAGACCCUUCCCGGUGCCCUGCCGGAGGGGACUUUGGAGUUGGAGGGCUUCUUCAUCAACAUCAUCGCCCCUCCAAUGACUCGUGGGUAGUUCACUUCAGACCUACGGGUCCGUAGUUAGUAGCUAGAUGGCUUCUUCUCUCUCUUGGAUCUUCAAUACAAAGUUCUCCAUGAUCUUCAUGGAGAUCUAUCUGAUGUAAUCCUCUUUGGCGGUGUGUUUGUCGAGAUCCGAUGAAUUGUGGAUUUGUGAUUAGAUUAUCUAUGAUAUAUAUUUGAGUCUUUGCUGAUUUCUUAUAUGCAUGAUUUGAUAUCCUUGUAAGUCUCUCUGAGUCUUGGGUUUUGUUUGGCCAACUAGAUCUAUGAUUCUUGCAAUGGGAGAAGUGCUUGGUUUUGGGUUCGUACCGUGUGGUGACCUUUCCCAGUAACAGAAGGGGCAGCAAGGCACGCAUCGUGUUGUUGCCAUCAAGGGUAACAAGAUGGGAUUUUAUCGUAGAUAUGAGAUUGUCCAUCUACAUCAUGUCAUCUUGCUUAAGGCGUUACUCCGUUCUUUUGGACUUAGUACACUAGAUGCAUGCUGGAUAGCGGUCGACGUGUGGAGUAAUAGUAGUAGAUGCAGAAAGUAUUGGUCUACUUGUUUUGGACGUGAUGCCUAUAGAUAUAAUCACGACUUUGCGCGGUUCUAUCAAUUGCUCGACAGUAAUUCGUUCACCCACCGUCUACUUGCUUUCAUGAGAGAAGCCACUAGUGAACACUACGGCCCCCGGGUCUAUUCACACCUAUCGUUUCCACUUUUGCUUUUACUUUGCUUUGUUUCUUUGUUGCUUUCAGUUCUCACUUGGCAAACAAUCUAUAAGGGAUUGACAACCCCUUCAUAGCGUUGGGAGCAAGCUCUUUGUGUUUGUGAAGGUACUUGUGAUAUUCCUUCACUGGAUCGAUACGUUGAUUCUCAAAACUGAGGGAAAUACUUACCGCCGCUGUGCCACAUCACCCUUUCCGCUUCGAGGGAACACCAACGCAAGGCUCCCAUGCCACGGGGGAAUCCUUUGCAUAUUUGCCAAGGAAGUCCCUAAAGGCGUAGCCGUAGCAGAAGGAUUCCUAGUGCCAUUGCUGAGGAGUAUCAAGACAAGAAUAGUCUCCCGUCAGCACGCUUGUUUCUGGCACCGUUGGAAGGUCUUUUGUUGCAGUAGCAUGCAUGGUUCGCACGUGUCAAGUGAUUCGAAAUGAAGUGACUCCAAAAGCCUAUCAGCAUGGAGUUUCUUCAUGCGCUUUACACCAAUAUGACCUAAGCGGUAGUGCCACAAAAACGUGGCGCUAUCAUUGUUAACUCUACAUCUUUUGGUCUAAAUGUUAUGUAUGUGUGUGUCAUCACAAUCAAGAUUCAAUAUGAACAAACCCCUCACAUUGGGUGCAUGACCAUAAAAUAUAUUACUCAUAAAAAUAGAACAACCAUUAUUCUCUGACUUAAAUGAGUAACCGUCUCGCAAUAAACAAGAUCCAUAUAUAAUGUUCAUGCUUAACAUAGACACUAAAUAACAAUUAUUUAAGUUCAUAACUUAUCCUGAUGGUAACGGAAGUGAUGCUGUGCCGACGGCGAUUGCAUCAACCUUUGAACCAUUUCCCACGCGCAUCGUCACUUCAUCCUUCGCCAGCCUUCAUUUAUUCCGCAGUCCCUGCUUCGAGUUGAAAAUAUGAGCAACAUAACCGGUAUCAAAUACCCAGGCACUACUACCAGAGCUGGUUAAGCACACAUCAAUAACAUGUAUAUCACAUAUACCUGGUUUGGCGUUGGCCGCCAUCUUAUCAGCCAAAUACUUGGGGCAGUUGCGCUUCGGGUAACCCAUAUCCUUGCAAUAAUAGCACUCUGUUUCCGGCUUAGGUCCAGCCUUGGGUUUCUUCGUCGGAUUGGCAAUAGUCUUGCCGCUCUUCUUGGAGUUACCCUUCUUUCCUUUGCCGUUUUUCCUUAAACCAGUGGUCUUAUUGACCAUCAACACUUGAUGCUCUUUCCAGAGUUCUGACUCUACGACUUUCAGCAUCGCGAAUAACUCGCCGAGUGACUUGUUCACCCCUUGCAUGUUAUAGUUCAACAUAAAGCUCUUGUAGCUAGGUGGCAGUGAUUUAAGAAUUCUGUCAGUGAUAGCCUCUUGCGGGAGUUCAAUCCCCAGCUCAGCUAAACGGUUUGAGUACCCAGACAUUUUGAGCAUAUGUUCACUGGCAGACGAAUUCUCCUCCAUCUUGCAAUCAUAGAAUUUAUCGGAGGUCUCAUACCUCUCGAUCCGGGCGUUCUUCUGAAAGAUAAACUUCAAAUCCUGGAACAUCUCAUAUGCUCCAUGACGUUCAAAGCGUCGUUGAAGUCCUGGUUCCAAGCCAUACAAGACUGCACAUUGAACUACUGAGUAGUCCUCCACAUGAUUGCCAAGUGUUCCAAACAUGUUGGUCAGACGUAGCGGGUGGUUCAUCUCCUAGCGCAGCAUCAAGGACAUAAUUCUUUUUCCCAGCUUGUAGGAUGAGCCUAAGAUUACGAGCCCAGUCUACAAAGUUGCUACCAUCAUCUUUCAGCUUAGCUUUCUAUAGGAACGUAUUGAAAUUCAGGGUUGCUACCGCGUGAGCCAUUGAUCUACAACAUAAAAUAUUGCAAAGUGGACUUAGACUAUGUUCAAGAUAAUUAGAGUUUGACUAAUCAAAUUACUAAUAAACUCCCACUNNNNNNNNNNNNNNNNNNNNNNNNNNNNNNNNNNNNNNNNNNNNNNNNNNNNNNNNNNNNNNNNNNNNNNNNNNNNNNNNNNNNNNNNNNNNNNNNNNNNCAGAAAACAAUAGCAACAAAAUGACACGAUCACAUGCUACGUUCAUAGUUUGGGUCUUGUCCAUCACAUCAUUCUACUAAUGAUGUGAUCCAGUUAUCAAGUGAUAACACUUCCAUAUGGUCAGAAAACCUUAACCAUCCUUGACCAACUCGCUAGUCAACUAGAGGCUUACUAGGGACAUUGUUUUGUCAAUAUAUCCACACAUGUAUCUAUGCUUUCAUUCAAUACAAUUAUAGCAUGGAUAAUAAACGAUUAUCUUGAAACAGGAAAUAUAAUAAUAACUAUUUUAUCAUUGCCUCUAGGGCAUAUUUCCAACAGUGCACGCAACAUAAAAACGUUUUUCCAACCGAGCUACAGCCUGGGACCAUGGCGGUAGGCCGGCCGGCCGCCUCGGCUAGUGGCGGCAGGGCCCCACCUUUGUCCGUUUUCAACGUGGAACGACAUUGCAACAUGAUUCCUUGCCAGCCGCCAGGACUAGUAGCGACAUGCCCCAGCCGCUUAGCCCGCUGGCGGCAGGUGCCAAGCGUCACCUGACACGCUUGUUGCCAGAAUGGCGCGGGGUCUUUUCUCGCAAUGAGCCUUGUAGGUGGUACUUUCUGACAAAUCGAUUGAGGUACUGGUCCUUUUGGACAAAAAAUCGUACAAUCACCUCAUUCUCUCAUUUCCCAAAAUACUCUCCCCCCUUGCGCUUUCGCCCGCUCGCCAUGAACGACGACACACCCAUCCUCAUCGCCACCGGAUGACUAGCCUCCCUAGGCUUCUUCGACCUCGCCUUUGUCGUGACCUCCAAGGGCAAGCCCCGCGUCGCCCACAAGAUGACGCCUAAGAAGAAACUGACACAUAAGGAGCGACACGUGCAGUCGGCUAAGAGAAAAGAGCGAAGGCACACGCAACAACGCAAGUUCGAAGACGACUUCGCUGCCGCCAUGGCCACCAUCACACAACAAGAGGAAACCAAUGCUAGAGUCCCUGCGGCAAUGAGAGAGGCGCCGAUCUACCUUGGGUUAAACCCUAGUCAGCACGGGCUGACCAACGUCGCCGCCGUGGUUGCGGACAGCAUGGGCUCACCGGCCUUUCCUCGCGUAGAACUACUAGUCGUCGCACACGUCAACCACGCCGUCGAUUGUUGGUUUCCAACCCUAGCCGCAAUCCUAUCAUUUCUCCGGGGAUGGUUGCUAGAGGUGAAGCAUGGUGGCGCGAGACACCCCCGCGCCUGUGGCCUUCGACCUCAACGCCACACCUGUGGCAGGUGGAUCAUCCCCCAACAGUAGCGACUCUGGGCGCCAGCAACCUGUUCAACAGAAUGCCGGCCACAGACGAGGACACGGCCAACCGUUUCAUCAUUGAGAAGAUCAUCUUCGAAGGUGGUGCUGGUUCGCUGCAUUUGAUCCCGAGGAGACUCAAAGCCAAGACGACGGAAACUCCUUCAUGACCGACACUUUUGAGCCUGUUAGCAUGGUCGAUCCCUUCAUGCAAGGCCAAGAUGUCAUUGGCGGCACCUUCCCCGUCGACCACGAGUUCCUGAAGGACUACGACUUGAAUGAAGAAGAUGAAAUGGACAUUGACGGAUUGCCUUUGUUCGAAGUCGAGAUUUCCAACCAAUACAAUGCAAACAAGAAGCGCAAAUGCAUGCCGACGAAGGCAUACACAAAGGAUGAGGACAAGCUCCUUUGUGAAUGUUGGAGAGGCAUUGGAAAAUACCCCAAGAUUGGCGUCGAGCAAAAGGCAUCUACCUUUCGGCUACAUGUUCAUGGUGAAUUCCAUGAACGCAAGAAAUUCCCGCCGUAUCAAAUGGAGAGCAAGCACGUGCGAGUGUCGAUCUGAAGCGUUGCAGGGCGAUACAACUAGAGUGCAACAAUUUUUGUGCCACCCUUGAGAGCAUCGAGAGACGCCCCAUAAGCGGCCUCGACAUGAAAGACAUGGUACACACGCGUGCAUCUUCAUUUUCAUUGUGCUUCAAUGACCAUUUGCCAAUAUGCUUGCACGUAAAUUUGCCCAUAUGCUUGCAUGCUAUUCAUUUGUAGGCAUUUCAAGCUUUGAAGGCAUUCAAGGCCCAACAUGAGAAGUCCUUUAACCUCGUCCAUUGUUAGAUGGUGAUCAACGGCGAGGAGAAUUUCAGGGAGCAAUAUGCCACCCUCAAGGCGCGUGGAGGGAAGGGAACCGUCGAGGAGCAUGGUGAGGGAGAGACACUGCGGCCACAGGGGAAGACCAACUCCAAGAAAAAGGACAAGCGCGGCGUGGUGUCGACUGCCUUGCAUGCCACUUUAGAUGGCAUGAUGACCAAGAAAGACACAAGGGAGGAGAAGCGUCGGCAAGACAAAGACGAGCAAAUGAAGGCAUUCAUGGAGAUCCAAAGGAGCAGGCUUGAGGUCGACCCGGAGAAGCAAACGAAGAAGCUCGAGAUGAAGGCAGAGAAGCAAAGGAAGAUGCUCGAGUUCAAGGUAACGNNNNNNNNNNNNNNNNNNNNNNNNNNNNNNNNNNNNNNNNNNNNNNNNNNNNNNNNNNNNNNNNNNNNNNNNNNNNNNNNNNNNNNNNNNNNNNNNNNNNCAUAGAAUGCUCCUCUAUUUCAAGAUCGGCAUCAACAUGCUAACUUCGAAUAGCUUCCCUAUUCUUAAAAUAUGUGGAUGAUGCAUAUGGCACAUGAUUCAAAAAAAGUUGCAAGUAUGAAGCUUAUGUUUGUUAUUUUUCAACAAGUCAUGAAUGAGUUGUGAUUUUCACAAAACAUGAAAUUGGGAAACAAAGUCGAGUCAUAUGCAUGAAAGGUUUUUUAUGGGUUUUUUAGAUGUCAGGAAAUAGAUUUUUGGAUAUCACUCAUACACCAGACUAUGAUAUUAAUUAUUAAAAUAGAAAGCACACGGUGAUUUAUCAAGAAUAGGGGAAGCAACCACACGAUUUGGUAACCGUUCAAUGAACAAGCAUGACUAUGGUGCUCCUGAUCGGCAUUGCUACCACGACAACACUGAGUCACCGAGCAUCGGCUCCCCCUUAACGGUUUCAGGUGUAAGUAGUUCGGGAAGGUCGCCGGCCAUAUAACCAUGGCGGGGUUUAGAGAGAUCGCUAGGGGCGGCAAGGCAUGCACGAUAGUGCCGCCAACCACGGUUAGCACAUACAUGCGGUUGGUUGGCAAUACAUACAAGUUGGUAUUUGGUCAGAGAAGGAAGAAGCUGGAGGAGGAAGAUGUCCCAAUCAUUGUAUUUCAAAGCAAAAGCAAACAAAAUCAAUUGAAACUCAGGCACAAAUAGAUGAUCCCGUGUUAAACAGUAGAUAUUUGAUUGAAGAUAAUUUACUCUUCGAAUGUUGGGCACACACAUAUAAUCUGAUGAUCUUAUGCCACAAGAUAAUUAAUACCUUGUUCAGUUAAACCUCCCCUGAAGAGGAUUGAAGAGGUUUGGAGGGGAUUGAGGAGGAAUUUAACUUGCGGGGGAUUUAAUCUUCUCCAAUCCACUCC